rnacentral:lncRNA from 1 species
UUUUAUUUAUAAUAUGAUAAUAACAACCACCUAGUGGUAGCUGAUUUAUUUAUUACAUGCUAAUAACAACCAUGAGUUGAUAGUUGAUUUAUUUAUUAUAUGCUAAUAACAGCUAUCAGCUAGUGGUUGAUUUAUUUAUUAAUUGCAGUCUUGUUCAUUUACUUCAGUCUUUUUAUUUAAUUAUGUUAAAUCAUAUGUGAAUCCUAAUUUGUACUUGUACUCACAGAAAAUAAACCUAAGAAUUCAUCAAAGGAAAUAAAAGAUAAACGACAAUACAAAUAUUGCGUUUUGUUUUGUCUUAUUUUUUAAAAUUUUAUUUUCAAAUAUAUACGCAUGCAUGAUAAAGAUUCACAAUUAUAUAUAUAUAUAUAUAUAUAUAUAUAUAAUCCGUCGAGGUGUUUUAGUUGACUAGCUAGUAUAAACUACCAUCUACCAAAUCGUUAUUAGCUAACGAGCUAGUGUAAAUUUUCAUCUUGGAAGCUAGUAUAAACUAUCAUCUAUAAAAUUGUUAUUAGUAGAGGAACUACGAAUGUAAACUAUCGUCUAACAAACUGUAUUAGUUGAUGAGCUAGUGUAAAUUACUAUCAUUUACCAAAUAGUUAGAUAGACUGUUGGCUACAGUCAAAUGUGUUUUGGAUCAAUUCCUAUAUAUGUGUGUGUGUGAAAAAUUCAUGAAAAUCUAAAACUUAGUUGUUUUGGUACUAUUGAAUUGAUUUAUCUUUUCAUCUUUAUUUUUUUUUAAUUUACUACCCGACCCAAAUCUUUUCUCUUCUCGUAUCAAUAGUAAGUUUAAGAUUGGAUGAUAUUUUUGUCCCUUCAUUUUUUGUCAAUUGAGUCCUUAAAGUGGUCAAUUGAUGUCAAUUCUGUCUCUUUUCUCCAAAUUAACCCAAUUUCUUCUAAAUUGAAGUACAUGCUCGGCAUAUAUAUGCGAUUUAAGUUGGGGCAAAAAUGUCUCCUAACACAAUAAUAAUAAUAAUAAUAAUAAUAAUAAUAAUAAUAAUAAUUCAAAAUUAUCUAAUGAAAAGACAUAAUUUAAGCAGUACCAUCUUGUAAUUUAUGUAAUCACUUUAUUUAAUAUCACAAUAAACCAGCUAGUGAUAGUUGUUUUAUUUAUAAUAUGGUAAUAACAAGCACCUAGUGGUAGUUUGAUUUAUUUAUUACAUGCUAAUAACAACCAUGAGUUGAUAGUUGAUUUAUUUAUUAUAUGCUAAUAACAGCUAUCAGCUAGUGGUUGAUUUAUUUAUAUAUCGUGCUAAUAACAACCAUCAACUAGUAUAUAGUUUCUUGAUUUACUGUUGAUCGGAAGAUUACUGAUCGUUCAUUUAGGUGUUGGUGGGACUAAUGUUAACACCAUAGAUAACUAAACCUGUCUUCAUAGUCACGUUUUCAGUCCCGUCAAGAGCAAAUAUGAUAUCUCCAUAGUCAAACUUAUUGAAGAAUUCCCCAGCUUUGAGCGAAAAUGGUGUGUUUCUCGGAUAAUUCAUCAAUCCAUAUCCGUUCACUUGCGAGGAUCCAUUCGGAAGAGUAAGUGUAAGACUCACCGGACUUGCUAUGUUAAAGUUGUCUUUCAGCAGCACCACAAAAGAUACCUCAUAAGAUAAAUUUUCAAGCUUUUCUGUCAUAUAGUUUCCGUCAACAUGUAGGACUAAGCUACCAAUUAAUUCAGCACUGUCAGGACUGUACAAAAUGAUAGUAGAAUUAAAGUCAGAAACUUUUGAUAUAAGGAGCUUAAAUUCAUUAGGUGAUUUUAUUGAUUUAUUUAUUUUUUGCUGGAAUAUUUUUAAUGCGAGUCCUUCUAUCUAACUAGACUUCAAUAAAAUUUCUAUAGUCCUUCUAUCACUUUAAUUUAAUGACAAAGUUGCUUAUAUAUCCCUAUUUUUAACUGAAUAAAAUUCAGGUGUUUAAACACAAAUCUUGACCUUUGACGUCAAUUAAGUUAACUAAAUCUUAUUUCUACUUACGUAAACUUCCAGCCUGAAGGGUUGGCAUAAUUGAGUUUACUGGCAGGUACAUAAGCGCCAGAACUCUGAAUAAGACGAGAAAAAAAAAUUCAUAUCAUCCAUUACAAAAAAAUUUCACUUGCAAAAUUUACAAAUAUUAAGGAUUAUUUUUGUUCUAUAGCCAACUUUAGCUAUAUAUAUGAUGUUUGUUUACAAUUUCAGUAGACUUACCUUCUGGCCUAUUCCGCCGUUUUGGAGCAACUCCAUUUCCUUGGCUUGGGACAACAAUGCCUUGAGGUCAACCUCAUUAUGCCUCACUACUUGUGCCAUCUCCUCGAUCGAUCGAUAACUAUCCUUUAAUUCUGCUAUAUAUAUAUAUAUAUAUGUAUUUUCUGUUUCUAUUCUUGAUGUCUAUAUAUCUCUCUUCCAAAGGCUAGCUCUAUUUAUACUGGCACAAACAGAGGGUACUGCGAUUAUUAUAUCCCAUAAUAUCCUAUCUUCAAAUAUUCCUUCCCUUUUCAAAGUAGGGAUCCGAUCCUGAUAAGUUUAACAUCAUCAUCAUCAUCAUCAUCAUCAUCGCCAAGGAUAUAGAGCAGCAGAUUCUGUUUAAUAAUUUUGUUGGAAUAAUUCUUUUCCAUUUCCCAGUUCAAUAGUUCUUUCUUUAGCUUGUUGCGCAGGCAAAAUUCCAUGAAGGCGAAAGGCACGUAGGCAUACUAGUUGUGGGCAAGGAAAUUGUACCUUGCUAGGGUUAGGAUUUCGUGUUGGCUGAGGAGGAGAGAAAUUCACGAAGAGCACGGAAUUGAUUGGUUGAUUGAAGAGGGGAGAACGACAGGUGGGCGAUUACUCCAACGACGUGUGGCAGAACCCCUAGAAUCCAGGAACCGUGUUAGGGUAGUAGGGAUUCCAAGAGCCUUCUUGAGUCCUUCGUUCUUGAGAGAAUGUCUAAACCCCUUUUAGUGCUUUUAGGUGGAAUCUCCGAGCCUUUAAGUCACCAAAAAGGGUUCUUUGAUCUUCCGAGAGUCCAAGUCUUGAGUCUAAAGAGAAGUCUCUUUCCCAAUGGAAUGGAAGGGUAUUUAUAGGGUUUUCUGGAAAGUAGUCAUGUGCGAGGCACAUGCUUUCAGGGAAAUUCCAGAAAUGCCCUUUAGUCAUUAGAAUAAUGCCCAUGUUGCCCUGUCCUUCUAGCCACCAAUCCAAUCCCUCAAUUAAUUCCCACAUCGAGCCGCCUCCACGAGUCUUCUGCCUCGGGACACGUGGAGGCUUCUCCCGGGUCUAGCACAUUUAUUUAUGACUUUUUCAUCUUCAUUCCAUUCGGUUAUGCGAACACUAAUUUGCACAUUUAAUGAGGCCGUGGAACCCUAAUUGCGCAUUUAAUUCAAUUAGGUCAUGUGAACUCUAAUUUUACACUUUGGCCCACAUUUGCCCCCUGCGCGAGAGUCGCAUUUUCAAAUAGACGAUCGUGCAAGAAAACUGCAAGCCUUUGAAUGAUUUUGCGGGACUUCACUUUACAUGUCUUGAAGACAAUAGUCCUAGAAGAGGGAACUCCUAGGGAGCCAAACCCUUAGAGUUAAACCCUAGGAAGGCAAGACCUAGCGAGGCUCUUCCUUGGACAUAUUGAAAAAUCUUCUGAAAUCUUUCUGUAUUUUGCCCAAUAUUUAUUUCCAAUUCCGCAAGCAGAUCAACUGUCCGAGCAGCCUCAAUACGAACAGAAACAGAUUCCGAUAACUUGGAAUGGAAAAUAGAAUUAAGACCAGGCAAAACAUUGAAUAGAGCGAUGUAGAGAUCUAAAAUUUCAAACAACUUGAGAAACGAUGGACGGGUACUACUAACGCCUUCUGCAAAGUUAAUCAAGUGCAAGGCGGAUUCUUUAACUAUACCCAUAAAACACACAUCAAAUGUGGAGUUACCAAGUCCACUAAAGAUUUGUUCACAGAGUUUCUUCUCCUUUAUGAAGAGAUCUUCAAAACAAACACGAGAUGCUCGUAUCCACAAUUUGAUCUUUGGUGCCAACAUAUCCCACUCCAAACUCCGGAACUCACCGAUGCUAUAUUUACCGACGCCGAGGUGUCGAAAUUCUGCAUCCACAAUCAACUUCCUUGAAGUCCUGUAGAAUUCAACGCAGUCGCCAACAUUACCGGCUGAGUUCAAUCGUUCAAUGAUACUCCUAAAACCAUAAACUUCGUCAAUAUGUCCAUCAUCCUGUAAUUCAUAGCUAAAAGUAUCGGUUAUUGUACUUGAAAAAAUGGUAGAACUCCUAUCGGCCAAGAAAGCAUUGUGGACUCUGUUGGUUUGUCGGGUCAAUAUGACCCGAAACUCUAACGGAAGGGUUUCCAUGCCCGUUUAGAUCAUGUUUUGAUGCUUUCAGUUUGGGGAUCUGAGAUUAUUCUCGAUCGUCUGAAGCUCGUCAAAAGUACUGAUCAAUCUCAUGGCGGUCUCCGUCGAAGUCGAAGAUGAUGAAUUUAAUAAUUCCGCCCGAAUAUUUUGUGUUCUACCAAUUCCAUUCAGACAAUACAAAAGAGAUAUAUAUAUCUGCCUAAAAAUUGAAAACCGAAAAUCAUCUCUGAACAGCAGGCUUUGAAAAUUACUCCUACUAGUAGUUUAUAAAUAUAAAUACUUUGAAGAUUGUAAGAAGUUCAUAGCCAUCCACUAGUAAAAGUACUUACCAUUACUAAUUGAUGUCACGUUACCGCAAUUAGGACGGAGAGAGAAAGUCGGACCAACUCUUUUUUUUUUUCAAAUCAAACAUUAAUUUUUUAUUUCCAAAAUCAAAUCUUAAUUUUUAUUUUCAAAAUAAAAUCAAAUCUUAAUUUUUUAUUUCCAAAAUAAAAUCAAAUCUUAAUUUUUUAUUUCCAAAAUAAAAUCAAAUCUUUCUUAAUUUGAAAAGAGAUUUUUUUUUUUUGAAAAUGAAAUAAAAUAAAAUCUCUCUUUUUUUUUUUUGGCAAAUCAAAUCAAAUCAUUUUUUUUUAUCAUUCACGCAAAAGAUUUAAGUGCAUGAAUAAAAUAAAAUAAAAAUGCAUGAAUUUAAGAGUCAUAUAAUCUCACAGAUCUAAUGAAGGGGAAUUGCCACAUGCCUACGACAUUCUCUAUGAAAAAAAUGAUGAAUUAAGGCAAAACGAGAUCCAAUCAUGUAUUAUUUUUUUUUUGAAAAUAAAAUAAAUCUUAUUUUAUUAUCUUUCAAAAAAAUAAAAUAAAAUCUUAUUUUAUUAUUAUUAUUUUUUAAAAUAAAUAAAUAAAUAAAUAAAACAUUUACUUAUCUUAUUUUUAAGAAGUAAGGAGUCGAUGAGAAUGUCUUGUAUCCAUAUUGAAGCCUUUGAUAAUUCUUUGAGCAAAGAUGAUUAUAGCUUUUUGAUGAUUCUGACAUCUUUUAUAUGAGACAAGUCUUCACAUGCUUCCGAUUUUUAUUUGCCAUAAAGAAAGAAUCCAUUAAAGCUUCACAUGCCAGUUGCCACUCCUCUGUUAGCCAACAAAAAAAAAAAACAUUGUUUUGCUGCUUUAUUUGGGUGUUAUAGCCACAGGCAAGCCUCUUUCUAUCCACGCCGAACCCUACUGAUUCAAUUUUUUAUUAUUUUUUUUUUAUUAAAAAAAAUCAAGAACUUUUGGAACACUUAUAUUUAGAAGAAGCUUGUACGUAUGGGAAUUGAUGAUCCAAAAACCCACAACCCAAUUCUUAAUCUCAGUUUCUUUCUUGCUAAUCUUUCUCAGUUGAUGAACCCUUUGGAUAAUAUUAACGAUCCUCUUAGGAGGUUGCAAUAUUCAGAUCCCACUCAACUACUAGCCAAAAUCCAAAUUUUACAUAACCUAUUGCAGGCCAUAAAUGUGAGUCCUUCUUUCCCAAAUAUUAAAGUAGUAAACGUGAAUAAUCUCUUGGGAUCAUAUAAUUAUCUUAGCCAAUUUGAUGGAGUGAUCACGAGUGAAGCUAUCAACCCCAUGAUUAAUCCUAUCCCCAACAACCGGCCUUUAAUAUAUAUACUCCAAUCCCAAACUCAUUUGGAUUCUUUAGCCCACAAAUAUUUAACAAUGUUAAUAGCUUAAGUGGUGUUGCAUGCAAUAUUACUCAUCAAACUGAAAAUCAGCUUCCGGAAAGUUCCAAUACCAAGGAAAUGGACAGUAUGAAGCCUACAAACAUCCCCUCCGGUUCAACCAACUCUGACAAUAUCUUUGAGGUUUUGGAGAAAUUUGUUGAUUGUGAUCAAGCCAAUAGUACUUCCUUCUUGCUUCUUUUUUUUUUUUAUUCAGGUAACUCUAGUCUUUCUUUUGUCUUCCGAGCCCCAUUACCUUGAUCAUAUCUUGGUUUUUUCCCUCGGAUCAUAAAGAAAGAUUGGUAUUUUUUUUUUCUUGCAGGCCCUCCCUGUUGAACAUUCUGCAGACUUGGGAACAACCAAGGAGGCCCCGUUUCUCAAUAAUUGGGGAAGGGAUCCCCUCUUUUGGUCUUUCCGACGUCUUUUGAGAGCGAGUCUAGACUUAUAAUCGUACAACACUUCCUCCGCCAGAGAAGAAAGGCGUGUUUCUUUAUGUCGCGGCUUGCGGAGGUUUGGGUGACUUCCUCCCUUCCGAUCGCAUUCUCCGCAUGUGCAUAGAGAAACAAGAAUAGCCUUUCAGUCCCUUUCGCUUCCUGUCUGACUCAUCUGACCGCCUUCAAGGAUGGCAACAUUGGACCGACUUCCCGUUGUGUGCUCUUCUUCAUACACAUUCAUUACUACUUGGGGGGGAAUUCACCCCUAUUCUAGAGGAUGUCUCUGCCCUCCACCAGUAGGUCGUACUUCGGUUUGCCCCCUGCACGUGAGUCACACCUUUGGUGGGACAACCGUGCAUAAUUUCUCCAGCAUUGAAAUCUUGCUACAAAUUUCUUAAUGAUUCGCGGAGCACGAUGGUGCAAGCCUUGAACAUAAAAUCCCUAGGAGGGGAGACCUGUAGGGGGCGAGCCCUAGAGAAGCUCUCCCUGGCUAUCUUGGAAAAAAUCUUCUAUCUUAUCCUUCCGAAUAUUACUUUCUUUUGGAAGUUCUCUCAUUUUCAAAAUUAAGAAGUCAACGAGAAGGCACCGAGUGAACAUACUUCAAAUUGGGGUGAACAAGCGAUGAAGGAGAUCUUUCCUCUAGGUACCCGAAUCCUGAGCGGCUUCAUUCUGGAACAUUGAUUAACGAGCUAGGAGAAGUAAAAGGUAAGAGGGGAGAGCCUCUGUAGGUGUUUGAACCCCAGGGGCCGAACCCUAGAAGACUGCCUAUUCCUUCACUCUUUUUUUCCUUCUUCCUUUCACUUGAAUCUUGGUCGUGUCCUAGCUUGGUUCCCCAAUAUAGUUGAUCGGAUACAUCUUCAUAGGACCCUUCUCCAGAUUUUCUUGCUCGAUUGUCUUCUGAGACUUAUUCUCGAAAUGCACAUUCUCUCUCUAUUAUCUGUGAGCAGAAGACUUAGAGGUGUUUUAGUUGUGAAGUUGAUGACUUCUCGAUCCUUCUUGGGCCUUGACAUGUCUCCCUUCCGUGCUAAGCUGGAUCUCUUCACUUUCAGUUAUCAUGUCAUUGCACUUUGUUCGGAGGUCACUUCACGUCCUCAUGAGAAUGACUUUCUUUAUGUAAGGGCCUCAGGAGCUUCAGGACGUCAUGGAUAGAUUGAAGGCCAAGCUUCGGGAAAUUGAUUCAUCUGCCCAAGACCUUAAGGAACUGUUAGCCUGAAGUUCGAAAGGCUCGAGAUACUGCCAUUGUCGACUUGGAGGCUUUAGCUAUGCCCCCAGUUCAGUUUGAUGUAUCAUGACCUUUGGAUCAUGACUUCAUGUAGCUUUUAUUUCUUCCAUCACUUUUGAAGAUAAAGUGUAUUAUCGAGGAUUUCAGGGUCAAGUGUCUCAAUCACUUUUGAAGUUGAAAGUAUAACUCUUUUUUUUUUCUGGAUCGAGGGCUGAUUAAUCAGGUGCCUCAUUACUUUUGAAGUUGAAAGUAUAACUUUUUUGGGUCGAGGGCUGAUUAAUCAGGUGCCUCAUUACUUUUGAAGUAGAAAGUAUAACUUUUUCGAGUCGAGGGCUGAUUAAUCAGGUGCCUCAUUACUUUUGAAGUUGAAAGUAUUUUUUUUUUGGGUCGAGGGCUGAUUAAUCAGGUGCCUCAUUACUUUUGAAGUAGAAAGUAUAACUUUUUCGGGUCGAGGGCUGAUUAAUCAGGUGCCUCAUUACUUUUGAAGUUGAAAGUAUAACUUUUUUGGGUCGAGGGCUAAUUAAUCAGGUGCCUCAUUACUUUUGAAGUAGAAAGUAUAACUUUUUCGGGUCGAGGGCUGAUUAAUCAGGUGCCUCAUUACUUUUGAAGUUGAAACUAUAACUUUUAAGAAAUUUGCUCUGAUCAAAAUUUGAUGUAUUUAUUUAACGAUCAAGAUAUAAUACAUUUUUUUUUCAUUUUCUAGUCUGCUAGGGCAGUAGCUUAUUCAGCAUUAUGCUUCUUAUUAUAGUUCGAUUUCACCUGCCGCUAAUUUUUCAUGAUAAAUUCUCCUCAAAUUACGACAAUUCAUGAUGGAAUGUCCUGGGUAUUGAUGAUACACGCAAAAGUCUGAUCUCUUCUUCAUCUCCUCGGUCACAACAAAUCUGGGUUUUGGAGGCUUCACCAUUCCAUUUUCUACCCAUUUCUCAUACAAAUCUUUAAAUAUCUCCUCACCACAAGUGAUAGCUUCGGGCUCUAGCGAAUUUAUAUUCUUUUUGAUUCUUUCCCUCUUGCCCCCCUGUGGCUCUGACUGAGAGUCUGUCAAAGCCGUAGUAGCUGUCCUCUUACUCUUCCAGGUAGCAAUCGGAUGGUUCACAGAUACUGCCAUAAUUUCUCCAUGGUCCUGUGCAAAGGUGGAAAGUGUCGCAAAGGAAUCACAAGACUUAGUGAUCAAGUGGGGCUUGAAGGCGUCGAGGGCGCCGUUGUUGCAAAUACUCACUAAAUUCUUCUCUUCGAUUGGCUCCACACACUUCCGCGCCUGGGCCCGAAAGGUGGAAAGUGUCGCAAAGGAAUCACAAGACUUAGUGAUCAAGUGGGGCUUGAAGGCGUCGAGGGCGCCGUUAUUGCAAAUACUCACUAAAUUCUUCUCUUCGAUUGGCUCCACACACUUCCGCGCCUGGGCCCGAAAUCUGUCAACAUAAUCAGAUAACUCCUCAUUCGAAUUUUGUUGAAUUCUCAUAAGCUCUAUAAUUGACACUUCCUUCUGAACAUAAAAGAAUUUUUUGAAAAACUGGUGUUUCAUAUCAUCCCAAUCUCGAAUCGAACCCUUCUCCAAAUUGUAGUACCAGCUGAAGGCACCGUUAGUGAGCGUCUUGUUAAACUCCCUCAAUAGAAUAUUGUGGUUGCUCACUUCAUCUAUUCCCAACCACGAGGACAUCGACUCCACAAAUCUUGCAAUAUGCUCUCUCGCAUUCCCUUUCUCUCCACUAUACUUAGGGAACUGAAGUGGAUGUUCAAUGUACCCAGCAGGGUAUGGCUGUCUUCUCACAUGCGCCGGGUAUGGUGGGGUGAAAUCCAGUUCCGCAGGCCUGACUGUCUGUCUACGCAUCUGAUUGAUUACAUCCAUCAUGUCUUCCCUUGUCGCAUAUUGACUGGUUUCUGGAGCCUUUUGGGACGUCAUCGCAUACUGGUUUAUCUGAGGUGUAUGUGGAACACAUGUUGAUGCACACUUGCCUCAUGUAAGAUUGGUUGUACUUGCUGGAUUAUUGGUUGUAUAUGGCUUGGGAUGGUUGGUAUCUGCACUUGUGAAAAUGCUGGGAGUGUAAUCGGGAUGAUGUUUAGCUGAGGCUGGCUAGCUUCCAAUCUAAGUGGUGGUACAUCACCACUGUUCUGGGGCUCCAAGUUGAUGACUGGAAUCGGCUGACUCUCCAUUGCUGGAGGUAUAAUCUGAUUCUCUUUGUUGUUGUUGUUGUUGUCCUCCACUUCUCCUGCUCGUCCCCCUUGCGAACUUCCUGGGAACAUGGUCUUGAAAGUGGGGAUUUGCAUCAACUGCUGGCAAAAAUUCUCCAUUUCUUCUUGCUUUCUCUGCAUCUCUAGCAUCAUGGCCAUCAUCAUCCCUUGCCCUUCUCGUGCUUCUUUCAAUGCUUUAAGCAUCUCCAGUUGCACAGCAUUCGUCUGGUCUCCCCCUGCAUCUUCGCCUUGCCUUCUUGCAUUGGUUUGUUGUUGAUUGGCCAUAUGUGGUGAUGUCGAACUCCCUUCCAAAGCGUCUUCAAUAAUUGGUUGGUCAAAAUCCAGGUUUGCGCCUUGGAAAACUUGAGUUACUUGUCUUGGAACUGGAUCCGGUGACGUAAUGCUAUUUGUUGGUGAAGCAGCUCUUCCUGUAAUUCUCCCACUUCGAGUCGUGGGCAUACCCUUCACGAAUUAUACACCUCCCCAGCAGAGUCGCCAAAGAAAUGUGGGCAAGGAAAUUGUACCUUAGUAGGGUUAGGGUUUCGUGUUGGCUGAGGAGGAGAGAAAUCCACGAAGAGCACGGAAUUGAUUGGUUGAUUGAAGAGGGGAGAACGACAGGUGGGCGAUUACUCCAACGACGUGUGGCAGAACCCCUAGAAUACAGGAACCGUGUUAGGGUAGUAGGGUUUCCAAGAUCCUUCUUGAGUCCUUUGUUCUUGAGAGAAUGUCUAAACCCCUUUUAGUGCUUUUAGGUGGAAUCUCCGAGCCUUUAAGUCACCAAAAAGGGUCCUUUGAUCUUCCGAGAGUCCAAGUCUUGAGUCUAAAGAGAAGUCCCUUUCCCAAUGGAAUGGAAGGGGUAUUUAUAGGGUUUUCUGGAAAGUAGUCAUGUGCGAGGCACAUGCUUUCAGGGAAAUUCCAGAAAUGCCCUUUAGUCAUUAGAAUAAUGCCCAUGUUGCCCUGUCCUUCUAGCCACCAAUCCAAUCCCUCAAUCAAUUCCCACAUCGAGCCGCCUCCACGAGUCUUCUGCCUCGGGACACGUGGAGGCUUCUCCCAGGUCUAGCACAUUUAUUUAUGACUUUUUUGUCUUCAUUCCAUUCGGUUAUGCGAACCCUAAUUUGCACAUUUAAUGAGGUCGUGGAACCCUAAUUGCGCAUUUAAUUCAAUUAGGUCAUGUGAACUCUAAUUUUACACUUGGGCCCACACUAGUAAAUGAUGAUUUUCUUCUAACCAGAAGUAUGAGCAGGUUAAAAGUAGAAGAAUAAGCAUCUCGCAGGCCAAAAAUCAAUAAAAAAACGAAAAGAAGAAAAAGAAAAGAAGAAGACAGCAAUAGCAAGACCAUAUUUUUCUUCUUCUUUCUUUUUAUCUUUUCUUUCUUUCUUUUUUGUUUCUUUUUAGACGGAGGGUUUUAUUUCAUCUUUGAAAAUAAACCUAAGAAUUUAUCAAAGGAAAUAAAGGAUAAACGACAAUACAAAUAUAUAUUUUUAUUUUAUUUUCAAAUAUAUACGCAUGCAUGAUAAAGAUUCACAAUUAUACACACAUAUAUAAUAGGCUACAACCAACAAUCUACUAAACAAUUUGUAAACCAUCGAGGUGUUUUAGUGACAACCUACCGUCUACCAAAUCGUUAUUAGUUAACGAGUUAGUGUAAAUUUUCAUUUUGGAAGCUAGUAUAAACUAUCAUCUCUCAAAUUGUUAUUAGUAGAGGAGCUACGAAUGUAAACUAUCGUCUAACAAACUAUAUUAGCUGAUGAACUAGUGUAAACUAUCAUUUACUAGAUGUAUGAGCAUGUUAAGAGUAGAAGAAUAAGCAUCUCGCAGGUAAAAAAAUAGGAAAAGAAGAAGACAACAAUAACAAGGCCACAUUUUUCUUUUUCUUCCUUUUUAUCUUUUUUUUUCUUUUUUGUUUGUUUUUAGACGGAGGACUUCAUUUCAUCUUUGAAAAUGUGGGUAAAGAAAUUGUACCUUAGGUUUUCAUGUUGGCUGAGGAGGAGAGAAAUCCACGAAGAGUACGGGAUUGAUUGAUGAAUUAAAGAGGGCAGAAGAACAUGUGAUCAAUUACUCUAAUGACAUGUGACAAAACUUUUAGGAUCCGAGAACCUUCUUAGGGUGCCAAAGAUCCAGGGAGUCUUCUAGGGUGUGCUUCGGGUUGAGAGAGAAUCUCCAAGUCUUCAAUCUUUCGAAAAGCCCUCUUCUUCAUAGAAUAGAAGGAGUAUUUAUAGAGUUUCCUGGAAAGUGGUCACAUGACAGACAUAUGACCUCGAGCAAAUUCCAAAAAUACCCUUAGUCACCAGAGUAAUGCCCAGAUCGUCCUGUCUUUCUAGCCACCAAUCCAAUUCCUCAAUCAAUUCUCAAAAUGAGUUGCCUCCAUAAGCCUUUUACCAUGGAGGCUCUUCCUUGAUCUCAUGAUACAAAGCUCUUAUUGCUCAAACCAUGCUUACUUGCUCUUCCUUCUUUAUUUAAGAAUCUCGUCGCCAGAAAUCAUCGGAAGAACUCUGCGCAAGACCCGGGAAGCCGCGUGUUACAAACCAGUCCCACAUCGAAAGAUAUGGAAAAAAAUUAGUCUAUAUAUAAGGAAUUAUGUUACUACCAAUAAUAUACUUUUAAGUCAUGACCUUUUGGGUGAGCCUGUGGUGGGAUAAGAUGACCCAAUAAUAUACUAUUGGGUCAGUGGUUUAAGGCCUUGGGAUUCGGACUUGGGAUUUGACCCAAGAUUUGUUUUGGGCAAUUUUACUCAGGUUGUUACAUAUGGUAUUAGAGCCGACUCUCGAAAGCUCGGGUCGGAUCAUCCGAUCGGGUUGCCGGAAGUGGGGACACGAAACCAGCCGAUAUUAUCCCACAAUGGCUAAAGAGGCAAAGAUCUGUGGAACGUAUAUGUGAUCGAUUUUGAUGGAGAUGUCAAAAAUUUAAGUGGGGUAGUUUAUAACACCUCAGUCCCACAUUGAAAGAUAUGGGAAAUACUAUUGUGCAAUGAUUUAAGCUAUCCAGCUAUAUUGUUAUAGUUUGGAUAUAUUCCAGUAUGAGAAUUAACAAACCCUGAAAUGGGAUAUUUUUAUUGCACUCUGGGAGUGGUGACGUUGAACAUGGAAGUUGUUCUGGAUAAGAUAGUAUUGAUUAAUAAAGGGCAUAUAUAAAGGGCUGAUCAUCCAUCGUGCUCAUAAGAUAAGAUGGUUCACAAAUAAAUUUUUAAGAAAACCUUUUCAAGAAAAGAAAAAGCUUGUUCACGGUCUUAUGACCUCUCAGAUGUUCAAUAUUGAUAUGAUAUUCCAGGAAUAUGAAUGAUUCAAGAUUUAAUUGCUUUACAGUUUUGUUUCACUGUUAAAGCAUGUCUCAAAGAAAACAUUUAAUUAUUGUUAAGAUAUUAAAGAAUGCUAUUACUUAUUGAGCAAUUGAAUGCUCAUUCUUGUUUUGUUAUAAAUGUUUUCAGCUAAUCAGGCUCCAACGGAGGGGUCUAAUAGAGACAAAGGAAAAGGAAAAGCUACUGAGUAGUAGGUAUAUGUUGUAAUAAAUAGUUUAUAUGUUUGUAGAUAUUUAACUAUCAUGUAAUAAGCACUUAAUGGUUACGUACCUGGUAUUAGAAGAACUCUGAUAUAAUAAAUCUAUCAAGUUUGAUAUUAUAUUAUGUUGAAUGCUUGAUAUCUUGAAGCACUGAAUAAGGGUUUAAAAUACCCGAAUUUGGGGGCGUCACACGCCCGAUUCGCCUCCUUUGCGUAUGUUUAACAUGCUCAUACAACUUGUCUAAUACUCCAUUGAUUAAUUCUAAGUAUCAUUAUAUUUCAUAACUUUCAUGUUUAAUAACUUAGAAUAACAUAUUUUAUCGUCAAAAGCAUCCACGUAGUACGAGCAUGCCCGACGCCCUCCGAUCGCCUCCGAUCGAAUGCACAAUAGUCCUAAAAAUAGCCAUUUUAGCCCCUUCUCCCGACCUCAAAUCUCAAAACUUAUAAAAUAAAAGUUUUAGGUCAACUUCUAAUAUUUUCGAAUCAUCUUGAAUCACCUCAAUCAGAGUUCGUAUAAAAAGGUUAUGCAUGUUUUACUAAAGAACGUCAAAGCUGACUUUCUGCACUUUUGGUUCAGCGCCCAUCCUAGGCCUAUUUCCAACGCCCCGGGGCUGGACGGCAGUACGUUCUCAGCCAAAAACUUCAAUUUUCAAAAAUCUUCAGUUUUGAAUGAUUUCAACAUGUCUACUUUGAAAUAUCAUAAAUUUCUCCUCCGAUAUCGAAAUGAGCUCGUUCUUAAUGGGUUGAAAAGCUUGCAACACCCUCUACAAAUUUCUCAGGACAAAAUAAUUUUCUGGAUUCUCUAACAAUCCUUUAAACUUUCUCAAAAGUCCAUCGAGACUAAGAUUUUUAUCAUUCAACAUACUUUACCAAAAUUUUCUGCCAUGACUUCGUUUUAACAUAUUUUUACUCCGUUCCAAUUAGAAUAUCUUCAUAAAUUCCUUAUCUAUAAAUCCUUAUUCCCGAAUUUUAUUUAUUACAACCCUAUCAACAAUAUUAAAAUCCAAUUUAAGUACUCUAAAUAAAUAAUGUCUAUCCUUUAAGCUUUGGCCUACGAUUCCAUUCUUGUUACCACUUCUUAUGCAAUUUAACAAGUUAUUUAUCAUGAUCAAAGCACACAUAACUUUAUUUACUCAAGGUCCUUCAUACUCUUUCAUUAAACAACCAUCGCCAACAACUAAUGAUUCAAGAAAGACUUCACAGAAAUGAAAAGAUGGAUGGUUCUUACCUUCUUAGUUAUUCUUCUUCUUCCUAGCUUAUGCUUUGUUAGCAUGAUAUACAUUGUUGGGCCCUCCAUCUACCAACUUAAGCUUUUAAGAUAAGUUGGUUACUUAACAUGGUAUCAAAGCUUUGGGUGUGCAAGGUCUUGGGUUCGAAUUUUUCCAGCUGCACAAUUAUCUUUCUAUUAAUUUAACAGUGCAAAUGCACUUUAAUUUCUCCCUUCUCUAUAAAAAAAAGUUGCGUUUGAGAGGGAGUGUUAGCAUGAUAUACAUUGUUGGGCCCACCAUGCAUCUAACAGCUUAAGCUUUUAGAUGAGUUGGUUACUUUGCUCUUCUUUCUCUUCUUAUUGGUAUUCGGCCUCUCUAUUUCUCUCUCUCUCUCACUCUCUUGUUUUCUUUCUCUUCUCUCUAGUUUGCCCUCUCUUCCUUUUUUUUUCUUGCAAAUGAAAUGAAUUGGCUAAGUGAAAAAUCCUCUAGAUCAAUUGAAUUCUCCACUAACUAACUCAACCAUACUUCUAAGGUUAGGUUAACUCGUGUAGGGUUAGGGAAUGAUAGGAUGACACUUGUAAGCUUAAUGUUUAAGGAUGACAAGAAGAUAUAAGCUAGCAUUAAAUUAAAUUUUCACCUUGCUAGAUGAGUCACACAUACUCUCCCUUUUGCUUCUUUAAUUGGUUGGAUCACCCCUCCCUUUCUUAGCUCAUAUUUUAAUUAUCCCAUGUGGGAUAAACAUCAAUCCUCUCCCUUAUCUUACUUUUUCACCCAACUUAUCUUUUAUGAGAUAACUACUAAGUCUCAUUCCUUAUCUUUUCUUCGAUAAGCCUUGUCAUUAAUCCUUAUCUCUUCCUUGUUUUCCUUCAACCCAAACUUACCAUAAAUAGAAAGUUUCCAUCUCACCUUCUCUCUUCUCCUUGUCCAUAUUCAAAUCCCCACAUGUUUAAUUCUAGCAAAUGACACUUGCCCUCUUAUAACUUUGGCUCCUAGUUUGGCUCACUUUUUGGCUCAAAGACCAAGCCAUGGCUCCUAUCCUUUGACUCUAAGCUUAAGCCACUCAAACCUUAGGCUCAACCCUUAGCUAAGCCCCUUUAAAUUCCUAACCAAGUCAUUUAAACCUUAGGUUUGGUUAGACUAGAAUUAAUUUAAUUUCUCUUUUUCUUUUAAAUUAGUUAGAUUUCCUAAUUUUUUAGUUACAUUUUUCGUAAUAUGCUUGGUUAGCUGACAAUCCGACUUUUGAUUUUCAAAAAUCCAAUUUCGCCACCAUUCCUUCUUUCCCGAAUAAACGCUAUGUAGUUCUUCGAAAUUUUAAAAAAAACGAAGUUGGGUUUUUAGCGUGAAUAGUUUUUUUUCAUACGACUUUUUCUAGAAAAAUAUUUUAUUAGAGAUUUCAUCUCGCCUUCUCAAAUAAACACUAUGAUGUAAUUCAAAAUUCUCGAAAAAGUAUGUUUAUUAGCGUUUUUCUGUGAUUUUAAAAAUAGUAACUUUUUCGUCUUUUUCUCGAAAAAAUUAUAUUCUCCCAAAACUCCCAACACUUAUACAUAAUCACGUAACACGUAAACUAGGUCAUUAAUCGACCUAAAUCAUGUAACACAUAAUAAUAUCUAUAAAAUUUUAUUUUAUUAGAUAUUCACAAAUAAAACCUAUUUUCAAGCCUAUCUGAAUUCUCGGGUCGUCACAUAGUAUUUAUAGAGUUUCAUGGAAAGUGUUCACAUGCCAGGAACAUGACCUCAUGGAAAUUCAAGAAAUACCCUUAGUCACCAGAGUUAUGCCUAGAUCAUCUUGUCCUUCUAACCACCAUGCAAUCCAAUCCCUCAAUCAAUUUCAAAAAUGAGUUGCCUCCAUAAGCCUUCUGCCUUGGGACCCAUGGAGGCUCCUCCUCGAUCUCAUGCUUCAAAGCAAUUGUUGCUCAAACCAUACUUUCUUACUAUUCCUUCUUUAUUUGAGAAUCUCGUCGAUGGAAAUCCUCGGAAGAACUCUGCGCAAGAACCAGGAGGCCGCGCCUUAGGGGGGCAAUCCUUAGGGGGCGGAACCCUAGGGAGCUGAACCCUAGGGGGGCCUCCUUCAGUUCUUUUCGUUCGUUUCAACCUUUCUUGGUCAGUUUUCAUCAUUUUCUCAUGAUUCUUGGUCCUGUAAGAAGCCUUUCUUGUCAUAGAGAUUAUAAGGCUAAUCAUUAUUUGGAGUUUCACAAGAUUUUAGUUUAUUUUUGUAGUCCAGGCUUAUUUCUUUGUCAUUGCAUCGAUGAAACCCCUUCUAGCAUGCCAAUCGAGAAAAUGAGGUAGCAUAUGCCCUAGGGUGCCGAACCCUAAGAGGUAAUUUAGAUUUCUUUUGUCCAUCUUUUGUCUGUUUUCCUUUUUUCAUUACGAUAGUUCCAACCAAAUCCAGUCGGAGAAGAAAUUGGUUUUAUCUUUUCUUUAAGGAGAAGUCAUCUUGGAGUGGUUGAACCAUAGGGUGGCCGAACCCUAAGGGGCCAAAAUCCUAGGAUUUUUCCCUUUUUGCUGAUUUAAUGCUUCGUUCAUUAAUUGAAGUCUUGUUCAUUUACUUUCGUCUUUUCAUUUAAUUCAAUUAAAUCAUAUGUAAACCCUAAUUUGUACUUGGGCUCACAGAAAAUAAACCUAAGAAUUCAUCAAAGGAAAUAAAAGAUAAAUGACAAUACAAAUAUUGCGUUUUGUUUUGUCUUAUUUUUUUAAUUUUAUUUUCAAAUAUAUACGCAUGCAUGAUAAAGAUUCACAAUUAUGUAUAUAUAUAUAUACAUAUAGAUACAUAAUAUGGUAAAUAAUAGGUGGUAGUUGUUUUAUUUAUAAUAUGGUAAAUAAUAGGUGGUAGUUGAUUUAUUUAUUACAUGCUAAUAACAGCCAUGAGUUGAUAGUUGAUUUAUUUAUUAUAUGCUAAUAACAGCUAUCAGUUAUUGGUUGAUUUAUUUAUAUAUCGUGCUAAUAACAACCAUCAACUUGUAUAUAGUUUCUUGAUUUACUGCUGAUCGGAAGAUUACUGAUCGUUCAUUUAGGCGUUGGUGGGACUAAUGUUAACACCAUAGAUAACUAAACCCGUCUUCAUAGUCACGCUUUCAGUCCCGUCAAGAGCAAAUUUGAUAUCUCCAUAGUCAAACUUAUUGAAGAAUUCCCCAGCUUUGAGCGAAAAUGGUGUGUUUCUCGGAUAAUUCAUCAAUCCAUAUCCGUUCACUUGCGAGGAUCCAUUCGGAAGAGUAAGUGUAAGACUCACCGGACUUGCUAUGUUAAAGUUGUCUUUCAGCAGCACCACAAAAGAUACCUCAUAAGAUAAAUUUUCAAGCUUUUCUGUCAUAUAGUUUCCGUCAACAUGUAGGACUAAGCUACCAAUUAAUUCAGCACUGUCAGGACUGUAAAAAAUGAUAGUAGAAUUAAAGUCAGAAACUUUUGAUAUAAGGAGCUUAAAUUCAUUAAUAUAGUACAAUUAAUGCGAGUCCUUCUAUCUAACUAGACUUCAAUAAAAUUUCUUUAGUCCUUCUAUCACUUUAAUUUAAUGACAAAGUUGCUUAUAUCCCUAUUUUUAACUGAAUAAAAUUCAGGUGUUUAAGCACAAAUCUUGACCUUUGACGUCAAUUAAGUUAACUAAAUCUUAUUUCUACUUACGUAAACUUCCAGCCCGAAGGGUUGAAAUAAUUGAGUUUCUCAGCAGGUAUAUAAGCGCCAGAACUUUGAAUAAGACAAGAAAAAAAAAUUCAUAUCAUCCAUUACAAAAAAAUCUCACUUGCAAAAUUUACAAAUAUUAAGGAUUAUUUUUGUUCUAUAACCAACUUUAGCUAUAUAUAUGAUGUUUGUUUACAAUUUCAGUAGACUUACCUUCUGCCCUAUUCCGUUGUUUUGGAGCAACUCCAUUUCCUUGGCUUGGGACAACAAUGCCUUGAGGUCAACCUCAUUAUGCCUCACUACUUGUGCCAUCUCCUCGAUCGAUCGAUAACUAUCCUUUAAUUCUGCUAUAUAUAUAUAUAUAUAUAUAUUUUCUGUUUCUAUUCUUGAUGUCUAUAUAUCUCUCUUCCAAAGGCUAGCUCUAUUUAUACUGGCACAAACAGAGGGUACUGCGAUUAUUAUAUUCCAUAAUAUCCUAUCUUCAAAUAUUCCUUCCCUUUUCACAGUAGGGAUCCGAUCCCGAUAAGUUUAACAUCAGCAUCAUCAUCAUCACCAAGGAUAUAGAGCAGCCGAUUCUGUUUGAUAAUUUUGUUGGAAUAAUUCUUUUCCAUUUCUCAGUUCAAUAAUUCUUUCUUUAGCUUGUUGCGCAGGCAAAAUUCCAUGAAGGCGAAAGGUACGUAGGCAUCCUAGUAAAUGAUGAUUUUCUUCUAACCAGAAGUAUGAGCAGGUUAAAAGUAGAAGAAUAAGCAUCUCGCAGGCCAAAAAUAAAAAAAAAAUCGAAAAGAAGAAAAAGAAAAGAAGCCACCAAUAGCAAGACCACAUUUUUCUUUUUCUUUCCUUUUUAUCUAUUCUUUCUUUGAUUCUUUUUUAUAAUUUUUUUUAGAUGGAGUCUUUGAAAAUAAGCAUAAGAAUUCAUUAAAGGAAAUAAAAGUGUUGAAAGUUGUCUUGCAUUAGUCUUCUCCAAAUUCUGUUCCCCUUAGACUUUAGAAUUUAGCCUUUCCCAAAAUUCUGUUCCCCUCAGAUUUCGGAAUUUUGCUUUCCUCAUUUCUUGUUCUCCUCUCCAGAUUUCUCCUAUAAAAGGGAGCUUUGGUGUAAGACCCCAACUUUUAUGAAUAAAGACGAAUUUUUCUAUAAAUAUAAUUUUUGAUUAUUAAGAUGUGAAUUUGAAAAAAUAUUAUAGUUGUGAGUAAUAUUUAAAAAUUUUACAAAGUAAACAAGGUGUUAUAAAAUAUUCGGUUGGUCGAGGAAUAUUCGUUUUAACAGGGAAUAUUCAUACGACGACACAAUCAUUGGUGGACCCCACAACGAAAGUAUUGUCGGAGUUAGAAAACGACAGAAAUAUCUUAUUAUGAAAAUAAUGGCGAAAAUUUUACCGUUAACUGUUGAAAUACCCGUUAGUAAAAGUACAGUAAUACGUAUGGUUGCAUAGUAGUACACGGUAUUAAUUAUUGAUGCUUACGUGAGAAGUCACUCAGUUAUACUCAAUUAUUGUUACAGUAAUUGUUGUAUCAUAUCUCUUAUAUUAUUGAUUCAAUUAUUGUCAGUAUCAUCUGCAUAAUAUUUUAUAUUAUUAAAUCAAUAAUUGAGACGAUAAAGUUAUUCAUAUUAUUAUUUACAAUAUUGACGAUGUCUAGAAGUUCUGUCAAGGAGAGGUUAGGUCAUUUAAUUGCGCGCCAAUAGGGAGAAAUCCUUAUCGGAAAGCCCCUCUUUCCUGAAAACGAUCUGGUUGUUAAUAUUGCGAGUUAUAAUAAUGAUGAAUAAAUUGAAGGAAUUUUAUGAAAUAUUUGUUGUAAGUUUUGCUUAUUAUAUGGACCCCCAUUUAACCAUUUUUCAAAAUAAUCGGUAAAAAAUUAUUCAGUAUUUUUUUUAAUAAAAAAGGUGGGGCCACAUGUGGGGCCCACUGAAAGAAAAAUGGGGGGGGGGAGAUGUUUAUGUUUGUCAUGGGUGAAGGUUUGAUUAUAUAUAUAUAUAUAUAUAUAUAUAUAUAUAUAUAUUAUAAUAAGUCUUUUUUUUAUGAAAAAUAGAAUAUAUUAAAUUUUAUUUGCAUAGUAUUUUACUAUGCAGUGCACAGUAAAGUUUUGUGAAUUAGAAAUUCGGCGCCCGUGAAAUUUUCGAUUGUUUUGUCCGUGAGAAUUUCAAACAGUACCCCUUCCAUCAUCCUAUAAAUAUGACGCUUAUUUUGAAUUGAAAAUCACACAAGAAUCAGAGAAUUUUUUUCUAUAAUAUUGAGUAUAUUUCUUUCGAGUUUUAGAAAGUUUUGAGUGUAGAAAACAGUGAAAGUUUUUUUCAAGAAUAUCCCCGCUAUACCAGUCGAAAUACUCUUCUUAGGAUGUUUUUUUGUUCAAUAUUCGUAUGAAAUAAUAUUUUCUUCCAUACUCUGUAGUAUGUAAAUAAUAUUAUUUCGUUUUAGAUUUCGAAUUCUAUAUCCAUUUUGUUAAAGUUUUGGCUCCUAUACUCCAUGAAAUUAGUAGAAUAUCCUUAAAAUUUGCGUUUCAUCCAGUAUCUUUUCAUGGAAAUAUUAUUCUGAGCAUUCUUGAUAAGUUUUAAUUUUUUCAUGCCAGAGUACUAUAUACGGGGUACUAUUCUCAAAUUACUAUUCACGGGGUACUAUUCACUCGGUUACUAUUCAUCCGAGGCACUAUUCAUGACAAAAAUUAAUUUUUUUUCGGUCCAAAUCAUUUUUGUUACAAUAUUAUUCGUGAAUUUUACUCCAUAAUGCAGUAUCAUAUUGACAAUUUGGACAUUAUUAAAUUAUGGAUAAAUUAAAUUAUAAAUCUUUAAAAAUUUAUCUUUUGCUUUCAUUUAAUUGAAUUCUUAUAUCAUUGUCAUCAUCCUGAUGCUUAUAUUAUAAUGAAAGUCAUUUGUGGCCCGUAGUGCAUAGAUGGACUUGGUAUGAUUAUGACCAGGGAUUAUUUGGUAUAAUCAUGACUGUAAUAUUACAAAUGAUGUGGUAAAAGUCCUCAUUGGCCCGUAGUGCAUUGAUGAACAGUUGUUUUCAUGAUCAUGACCAUUGAUGAAAACACGAAUAUCUUUGGCCCGUAGUGCAUGAAUAAUUUGUGGUUGUGAUACUAAAGAAUAUCCUUGGCCCGUAGUGUAUGGAUAAUUCAGUGAUGUGUAUUAUUUAUUAAGCUGAGUCUCAGCGAUACAAUUGAUGAUAAACCUUUUAAAUAAUAGAAGAUAGUAGAUUUUAUGCUCUACUUAACUCUUCUAAUAGAUUGCUUGUUCCUCUGCAAUUAAACUUGAUGUUUAUUAUAUUUUAUCAGUUUAACAUUGUUGAAGGCUAAUGAUAAUUUAUUCUGUGUUAUCUUAGUCAUAAUAUUUCUUACUGGCUAGUUGAGCUCACCCUUUACUUUCAUUGUUCUCUUCAGGAAAUGAGAAUAUAGCUGGGAUCGACUAGUCGGGGAACGGAGUGACGGUCCAAAUGAUAACAUUAGUAGUCCUCACUAUUCUGUGAAAUAGUGUGAUAAUAAAUGUAAUGAGGACUUAUUUUGAGUUUGAAUACUGUCUAGAAGACAAUAUUUGUAUUAAAACUCACAACUCAUGUUAUAUAUUUAAGUUUAUAUUUGUAUUCUGUACCAUGUAUUUAACGAUUCAAAAUGGGUGAUGUAUACCUAUUCUGGGGGCGUCACAGUUGGUAUCAAAGCUUGGGGAUAUGAUCCCUGGCUGAGAUGAGAGACUAGAACUAGGAGGGGAGAGUCAGGUAAUUCCUUUGCUAGUAUGACCUACCUAAGUUUAUUUGUUAUUUAAUUAGUCGGUCAGAAUAUAGGGAUAAUAUGUUGCAUGUCAAUUAACCCUUGUUUUGUGGCAGUAUUUGAAAAUGACAUCCGAGAAUGUUGAGAAUAGCAAUGGAGUACAUGAGACCGUUGAAUCACCAACGAUCAAUAACCAGGAUAAUGUGCAUCAGGAAGGCAAUAAUCCUCAUGCAAACAAUAACUCCAACAAAAUAAUGAACGACAAAAUGUUUAUGAGCUUUCUUCAAUUCAUGCAACAUCAGGCAAGAGAGACUCCUGUUCAAAAUGUAGGUGGAAAUACCGGCAACUCUCGAACGGUCACCGCUAAGCAAUUCAAGGAGCUGGGACCACCGAAGUUUUUGGGAAAGCCAAAACCACUUAAGGCGGAGACAUGGUUAAAGCAGAUCACUAAGAUAUUUGAUGUCUUUGGAUGCUCCGAGGAGCAAAAGGUUCCCUUUGCCACCUUCAUGUUGCGAGGAGAGGCAGAUCAUUGGUGGAAAUCUGUAAAAUGUACCCAGCUUGCCACAUUAAAGAUGUCUUGGGAGAAGUUUCAAGAACUGUUCAACGACAAGUACUUUUUCGAAAGUAUUCGUUAGAUGAAGGAGGUGGAGUUCAUCAGGUUGGAAUAAAACAAUAUGACCAAGACGCAGUACGAGGCUAAGUUUGCGGAGUUAUCCCGGUUUGCAUCUCAUUUGGUUGUUAAUGAGGAGAGAAUGACGCGGAUAUUUUUAAGAGGUUUGAAACCUGAGAUAUGUCAAUAUCUCAUUCUCACAAACUUUGCUUGUAUUCAGAUGUUGUGAAUAUUGUAAUAACUCGAUAUUUUCUAUAUAAUUAAAUCAGAAAUUUUACGUAUGAAUUUUUUUAUUUAAUUAUUAAAGUUGGAAAUAUGUGCCAGGUAAUGUGUAUAUGUAUAUAUGUGAUAAAUAAAAUAUAUUUAUUACAUGAAUAAUUACCAAUAGUUUUAUUUUAGAAUUAUUGCUCAUUAUAAAUUAUAUUAUAAUAAUAAUUAGUUUUAUACUAAAAAUGUUUUCAUUAAUUCUAUUCUAUGAAAAUAUGUUUAUAUAUUAUUUAAAAAUUAUAUGAAAUGAUUAUAUAAUUAUUAUAAUGAUUAUUCUAUUUUAUUAUAUGAAUUUAGUUCAGAUUAUUUAAGUUAAUUAUUUUAACUUAAUUAUUAUUGUUAUGUAUGCAAGAUAAAUCAGAUAUGGAAUCCAAACCCUAAUUUUGGAUUUUGAACAAGGAAUGAGAAUAUUAAUAUAAUAUUAAUUAUAUUUUUAUUUUUCAGUGCUAUAAAUAUAUAUGUUAUGUUUGUAAGGUUAAUCUGGGGAGCAAUUUUCUUAUGACCUGAUAAAACCCUAAUUUGAAAGUCAAUUACGACUGUAAAAUUUGUUAAGUCAUUGUGAUAUGUGGUCUAUGAUUUGUAUUAUAAGUAUUAAUGUUAAUUCUAUAAAACCCUAAUUAGUAAUUUAAAACUCUAUUUUUCUUAAAUUAGGAACCCUAAACAGUACUUAGCUAUCCGCUAAGUGAAAACCCUAAUUUAAAACUCAGCUAUGAGUCGAGACUGUUAUGUAACUGUAUUAUUAUGUUUAAGGUUAAGUAUUAUAGAAUUUUAUAUUAAUUAAAGAAACCCUAAUUAACAUUUAGAAAUUCUAAUUUCUAGAAACCCUAAUUUCUAAAUUAGUAACCCUAAUUUGCUAAAACAAAACUCUAAUUGUUAAUUUGGCACGCUUAAUGAUAAUUAGUAAAAUUUAAACCUAAUUUUCAAGUCUAUGUAAUGAGGAAACCAAAUUAAUUAUGAAACCUUAAUUUGUAUUUUUAGAAACUAAAAAUUUCAAUUUUUUUAAAAUUAGAAAUCCUAUAACACUUUGUGCUAACCCUAAGGGUCAAACCCUAAGGGUUUGAUAAGUUACUAGUUUGCCCUUAAAUUGAUUAGCCAAAUGACAAAAAUACCCCUCUUGCAUUAUUGGACAUAACUUGUAAGACUAGCCAAUUUUGAGUUGCUCAACAACUCUUACCAGCCCCAUGUGACUAAAAUGCCAGCAAUCAAGCUCUAGAUAUCAGCCAACUUGAUUUCAUGUUUUAUAUAUAUAGACAUCAAGAGAGAGAAAUUUCAUUUAUUAGCCACAUUUGUACACAAACUCCUUACCAACUCUCUCUCCCAAAACCCAUGAAAUGUUGUAGUAGAUCAGUCCCGUAUUGAAGCCCCACUAACACACUUAAGCAAAUCAGCAGCCAGAAUCAAGAAUUGAUGCUUAAAGGUAUAAAAUCCUAAGUCAAAUUUUGAUCUUGUAUGCUAUAUUGGAUUUGUGGUUUUAAUGUUUAAUCAUGUUGAAUAAGGUGUUAAUAGGUGAUCUGGGUUGGCACAUGUUAGAUCCAUAACAUCAAAGUGCUCGAAAUCUAAGUUUUUCAAAAUAUGGAAAUUUUUGUUUUUGUUGUCUGACAGCGAAUGUCAGGCCUUGUAGAUCUGUGCUUAUUUAUUAUUUUGAUGAUUUAAAUGUUUGAAGUGGUAGUCUGGUAUGAGGUCUUUCAUAUGAAAAUGGAAUCACUGUUAUUGGAUGUCUAGAUCGAAAAUUAUUGAUGGUCAAAGGUCGUUGACUGACCAUGACCGAGUAUGAAUCUGGGCAACCUUGAAAGCUUUUUCAGCGUCUGAAAAUGUUUUGGAAGGCUUAGAUCUGUCAGUGUGUAAAUGAUUUGAUGAUGUUAUAAUAUCCAGUUUAUAGCUUGUCAUAUGUAAUUUAUAUUUGUGGCUUUAUAUCCUUUAAACAAACAAUUGAUCGAACUUAGUGGAUGGUCAAACCUGGCCCCUCGGUCACGAUUUCAUUUCUGGGAAUUUCCAGAAAAUCGAAAGAACAGCCCUCUGACAGGGUUUGACCGAGUAAUAUCUUGUAGAUCUGUUGAUGUUAAACUGAUUUGUUGUUAUAUUAUUGUUCCUGGACAUAAGGACUACAUCUUUGAGGCAUUAGAUCACUUGAAUCAUGAACGGAACCUAGAUUAAAUCGAGGAUGAAAGUGACUGGUCGACCACCUGGGUUUCUGGAAAACCCAGGAAUGCUCUGACAACAUAUUUGCAAGCCUAGAUCUCCUUGUGUGUUUGUUGUAUGACCUAGAUAUUGAUUGCUAGUUAUAGUGUUGUAUAAUGACUUCAAUAUUGAUGCUUAAGUUUGCCCAAAAACGAAUUAGACAGAGAAUUAUUAGUGGUCAAAGUUGACCCCUCAAACACGAAGCUGUCAGUGUUCUUGAGCUCAAGAACACCAACAGCGACGCUUAGUGUCACUAAAGGCCAAUAGCGAUGGUUUCUAAUAUUUUUAAUUUCUGAUUUUCUAGAAAAUACUUAAAAAUAGAAAAUAAAUUAUAAAAAUUACAAAAAUGGUUUUAAAAAUUAUUUUAAAUUAUGAAAAUUAACUUUUAAUUAUUUGGGAUAUUUUUUAUUAAUAUUUAUAAUUAUUUGAAUAUUAUUAAUAUUUAAUUUAUUUAAUUAGUGUAUUAAAUAAAUUAGAGAAAAAUGAUUUUAAUGUUAUAAAAAUCAAUUUAAAUAAGAAUAAAGUGUUUAAAAAUAUUUUUGAGUUAUAUAUGUAACUUUUAAUAUUUUUGUGAUGAAUUUCAUUAAUUAAUUAAUAUUAAUGAUAAUUAAGUUAUUUAAUAAAUGUAUUAAAUAAAUUAUGAAAAAUAGAAAUUAUGAUUUAAAAAUCAUAUAAAAGUGAUUUAAAGAUUAUAAAAAAAUAUUUUAAGUUAUAAAAUAUAACUUUUGAUAUUUUGUCAUGAAAAAUAUUAAUAAUUUUAUAUUAAUAAUAUUAGAUUUAUUUAAUGAUUAUAUUAAAUAAUUUAGUUUAAAAUGAUUUUAUUAUUAUAAAAUUAUUUUAAAUGAAAAUAAAGUGUUUAAAGAUAUUUUAAGUUAUAAAAUAUAACUUUUAAUAUUUAAAGGAUAAUUUCAUUAAUAAUUUAAUAUUAAUGAUAUUAAUUUAAGAUUUAUUGAUAUUAAAUUUAUUCAAUAAUUAUAUUAAAUAAAUAGUUUUAAAAUGGUUUUAUUAGUUUAAAAAUUAUUUAAAAAGGAUAUAAAUGAAUUAAAAAUAUUUUAAGUUAGAAUUAAUAACGUUUAAUAUUUGGAUAAAUAGUAGAUUAAUAUUUUAAUAUUAAUGGUAAUUAUUUAAAAAUGAUUUUAAAUGUUUAAAAAAUUAUUUAAGGGUAAUAUUAGCACUUUAAAAAUAUUUUGAGUUAUUAUUAAUAACUUUAAUAUUUUGGCAAUGGUUUCAUUAAUAGUUUAAUAUUAAUUAAAUAUUAAUGAUAAUAUGAUUAUUUACUAUUUAAAUCAUUUAAUUAUGAUUCUAGUGUUUGAAAAUUCAUAAUAAAUUAUAAUAAAUGUUUAAAAAUUAUUAUAAGUCAUUUAAAAAUAAUAUGACUGAUAUUUGUAGAUAUUGAGAUACAGGAUAGAGUCUUAGACUCGAUAUUUACCUGAUAAAGCCGUCGGUAGACCGACAUGUUUCAAAAAUUGAUCUAGACUUAGAUAUUUUGACUGUAUUAAUAUUUGUUUGUGAUUCAAUGACUGUUGAAUAUGUGUGACAAUGUGAUUAGGUUAUAUGCUGACUGCAAUAAGCAGUGCUAUGUUAUUCUAAUCGAACGAAUGAUCUUAUUAAUGAUAGAUUUUGGUAUUAAAGAUAAAACUAAGUUGCGUAUUGUAAGCAGCAGACCAGGCAAGUAUCAUAUAUUUGCAUUUUGUUUAUGUGACGCCCCCAAAUCCGGGUUAUCUUUAACUCGGGUUUGGUGCUUACGAUUCUAGAAUACCCAUUCAUACUAAAAAUAAAACUGUCUUAUAUUACAUAAACAUUGAACUUAAAUCCCAGGUUCUAGAGACCUUUACAUACAAGCCAAAUAUUAUUACAUCAUAGUGCUACAGUAUUUAUUACAUGCACUACUUAGGUUCAUUUAAGCACAUGCGCUUAAUAAUUGACUACUCAACAACCUUGCCCUUUCCUUUGUCUUUUCCAGAUGGACCGGCAACCUCAAUUUUAACUGAAAACAUUAUAUUUAACGCAAGGGUGGGCAACAAGUUUGCCCAGCAAGGAAAUAAGCAGCUAAAUAUAAGAGAACAAAAAUAUUACAGUAAUGGGGAUAUCAUACAGAAGGUAUAGAACAAAGUAAUUCUUAAGAGUGUUGAGUCAAAAGUCAGGAUUUAUCAUGCUGUAAGGUCAAAUGACCAGUGAACACUAUACUAGAAUUUACAGUAAUAAUACUGCAAUCUAUGAAUACAAACAGUUAUAAAGCUGUUUUAUAUCCUAGACUCGUACUUCAGGGGAUCAGCCUAAGUACCCUAUAUUGUGCACAACAUAACAGUCUAAUAAAACUUUACAUGUCCUUCAGAAUCAUAUAUACGGUACAAUACGCCCCUAAAAAAGGGUUGUUCGUUCACAGCAUUAUAUAAGAAUCCAUACCACAAUAACAAAAUGGUUUGGAAAGAAUUAACUGAUAAAUUCAUAAACAAUAUCAAUAUAUCUCAACCUUUGUCCAAGCGAAGUAAUGGUAUUGACAUACUUUCAAUAUAACUUUUAUUCAAGAUAGAAAAGUUGAUAUACUAUUCUUUUGAAGCUGAUUGGAAUAAAAAGGCUAUUUAACCUUAUAUUAUUCAUAAAUAAGGACAAACAGUUCAGAAAUUAAAGAACCUGUCCACUGCAGAAUAUUUGCUCAAUAAAGAGUAAGGAUUAGAAACUUGCCUUGUUUGUAGUCUAUCGUUUAGGAUUUCAGCUUAAUUGAAGUAUUUCUCAAAGUCCUACACAGUUAUUUGUAUUAACAAGCAUGUUAAUCACAUAGCUAUGUUAUAUAGUUUGUAAGCUCACAUAUCACAUAAUUUCAGUGAUUAUGGUUGUAGUUAAAUUAUUAUUUUUGAUACAUUUUUCAAAUAUCUCAUCCAUGCUUUCAAGAGACAUUUUUCACUUUGAUGGGUUUCAACAAGCUUUCAACAAGUAAUAGAAAUCAUAUUACAGUCAUCAUUUGCAUUAACCAAGUAUGUUAGCCACAUAGCUAAGUCAUAUAUCAUGUAGUUUUAAUGGUCAUGGUUAGAUUUCCUAUAUUUGAUACAUUUUUCAAAUACCUCAUCCAUGCUUUCAAGAGACAUUUUUCACUUUAUUAGUGUUCAAUAUGCAAUACUUUACAACUACCAUCUCCAUUUCCUUAGUAACAUAGUAUAUAAUCAUUUUAUGUUUCCUUUACUUAAUUUCUAGCAUAUAAGGUGUUUUCAUAGCUUAUUGUCGGUUUUGAAGGUAUUUCUUAUAUGUAUGGUUAACCUAUAGUCUUCCUCAUAGUUUAUAGAUUCAUUUUGACACACCAGUGUAUCAAUUAUCACUGUUUUCACCUAUGAUGCUAAAACAGCCCUUUGAGGCUUUAAUUUUUUUAAACAUGACUUAAUGAUCCCAAUUUAGGUUUACUGUUUAUAUUAGAUUUCAUUUAGAAUUUUUCUCCUACACUUGCUUGCAUCAUAACUCUACUCAUUUAGAGAAACAUAAUCUAUCCUUUAUAGAUAAUCUGGUUACUAAAACUAAAUUUGGAUUCAAACAUGAAUUUUACAAAACAGUCAUUAUUGUAGCUGCUAUACCACAACUGUUGUUUCCCAUUCUACUUGUUGUGGCUAUUGGUAUCAGCUAUAUGCUGCCACUAUUAGGCAGUAAGUCACAUCACUCAUGCCCAAAAAUGCUUCUAAAUUAACCUUUUCAGCUGGCUUUGCAGGCUUUGCAGCCCUUAAUUGAGCCUUACAGCUCAAUAAUCUCUGUAACACAUUUCAGUUAUUAGUCUUAUCUUAUAACUUGCUAUUCCAUUAACAUUUUCUAUGUAUGAAUGCACUGCCAACUGCUACUGCUGGUGUUGCUGUUGCUGCCAAUGGGCAGCGACUAUUAUUUUCUUACCAUAAGCUGUUUGGUCUGUUUCAAGUGCUGCAGUCACAUGUCAUCAUGCUCCAUCAACUAGAGUAAACAAAAAUGCAUGAACUUAACUUACUAACUGCAGCCCAAGAAAAACAAACUCAGCUGUCAAAAUGACAGUGCAGUCAUCUACUUGAAGUUGCCAAGGACAACAGCUAUCCGAAGCUUUUUGCUACUGUCAUUAGCAGCCUCCCUUGCUCCUUAACCCAUUCCCAACAAUCCUCUAACCUCAGUUUUGCUAUAUUUCUAGGAAUAGGCCUCAUGGCUAUAAUCUUUUAGAGUUAUAAGGUUAUCCCAGUUGGCCUAUUAAGCUUUGGCUCCUUGGUUUAGUGACUGUUUCAACAGAGUAGGCAAAGGAGUUUGUCAAGCUAGAAUUACUUAGCCUAAAAACUGAACUAUGCUAAAAAUUUCUAUGCCAAAACAUUACAGUCAUCACAUAUGUUGGGUAAAUCAGGUAAAUAGUGUACUAGUUCUACUAUUCAGUUUCUUUUUACUAAAACAGUCCUCUUAGGUCUUUUAUCAAACAGUUGGUGGGCAUGGUUAUAAGCUACUAGUUCCAUAGCCAUUUGUUUAUAUUCCAACUCAUAUUUUCCCCUUAUUACUCCACAGCCCACUUAUCUCCUUGUGCUUAAAUUAUAACAAUAUCAUAAUGGCAUAACAAUCAAUGAAAUGUUACAACAGUUUAUAUAUAGCAGCUUAACACCCACAUAGCAGUCCUCAAAUCCAUACUAGGCCUUUUAGGCUAAAUGAUCAAAACAGUCCUUAAGUUUUUAACACAAGGAUUAAUAUAACAUGUACAUACUAUGUUUUAUGGUUUAAAGACCCCAAUACCAACCAUCCUGUCUUGACACUAUAACAGCUUUAGACUAGCAAUUUGGUCAUGGUUUAUCACACCAAACCAAUAGCAAGCACUGAUAUGUAUGCCUUUCUAACACUAAAACAUUUUACCUACCAUAUUUUCAUGGUUUAAAGCAUCUAGAGGCAAGGUCCUUAAGUUUAAAAUCAAAACAGCCUCUCAUAGGCUUUUAAAGUAAUAUAAGAUAGCAUGCUUGGGCAACAUGAAAACAAGGACUGCCUACUAUGAAUAUAUUAGAAGUAAGGCAUGAUCAUCAUAAUAAACUUCUAAUAACAGUCCACAUAAUGCAAUAACAGUUCAUAUAAGGCAAUAAUAAUUUAUAUAGCAACUAAAGUCCUUCUAACAGUCAUUUAUGCUUAUUCUAGUCACCACAACAAGUAUACUGUCUUAGUCCAUUCUGUAUACUAGUUCUGGGCAUGGUAAUAUAUUUUACAAUCAUAAAUAACCAACCAUCUUGGACUCCUUUCCAGCCACACUGUUUUGCCAUUAUAGCAGUUUUAGACUAGCACCUUAGGCACAGUUCAUCACAGCAAAACAGUAGCAACAUAGCAUAGCGUAUCAGUCCAGUUAUUACAAUAACAGUUGGUAUAUCACAAGGAUGAUGCUACAGCUAUUCAAGUCUCUUUUAGGCCAUUUUGGCAAGGUUUUAGUAAUAAGUUAUCAAAGCGGUCAUUAGUGUGCAAUACAAAGAUUAUUACCUCAUGUACAUGCUAUAGAAUAUAUGUUCAUGUUUUAAGAGCCUAUAUACAAGGUUUCUUGCUGUUAGUUCAUAACAAUCCCUUAUAGGCUUCAAUUUAAUACACGGAAGCAUGAUCUGAAAAAUUUAGUUAUCAAAAUAACAUGUUUAAACAUAAACAUAUACUCGAGGUAUUCUUUUUCUUUCUAUAUAAUCAAGUAGACAUGCUAUUAGGCUCUAUUUACAGCUAGCAUACCUUGAUACCAUAACAGUCCAAUUAGAGCAAUAUUUUAGGCAUGGUCUAUUACAACAAAAUGGUAGCAAGCACUGACAUGUUUUCCUUUCUAACACAGGCACCUUUUAUUUAUCAUAUAUUCAUGAUUUAAAACAUCUAAAGGCAAAAUCUCUUUGCUUUAAGCCAACACAGCCCUCUUUAGGACCCACUUUCCAAAAAUAACCAUGGUUUACCCUUAUGUUUACAAGGAUAACAUGGAUGUGCAACAUAGAAGUUUAGACUAUCUUCUUUAUAUGGUAUUUAAGAUGCAAAAAUAUAUUUGGAUGUCAUAGAAUGCCUUACCCCAUAUAUAUCAGUCCUUAUUAAGCCUCAAAUCUAGCAUACCAGUUUCUCAGAAUAGUGGCCAAGUCUUGGUUAAUUGCUUAGAUUACAUAUAUGCUAGUAUACAAUAGUUAUACCCAAUACAUCAUGCCACAUAUAACAUAUAAGCAGUCCUUUAUUAAUAAUCAUAGCAUAACAGUCCAUUUAACAUCAUAGCAAUUCAUAUGGUAACACAGAUCAUGCUAACCGAAAUCAUAAUAUCAUUAACUUUUUAGCAGCUCCUUAGCUUGACAAAUUAUCAAACACCUAGAGUGCAGUCUAUAUACUUGCACUUAAUACAUAAUUUCUAGCCCUCUGCCCCCAGCCGUAUGGCUUAAACAAUAUCAAGCAUAAGACCACACUUAUCAGUACCAAACCCAGCAGUUCAAAUAACAUGAAAGCAGUCAGUUAUCAUAACAGCCAUACACGUUUUUGGUCAUUGACAAUUCAUUUUACUAAUUAAUUUAAUAGCCAUCCUAAUCAUUUAUCAAUUCAGUUGUUACCCGGAAUGAAUGGAAAGAUUAGAAAGGCCAGAAUUGGCUUACCUUGCUGAUUCGAAGGUAUCAAGUGGUUGAGCUGCUUAAUUCCUUUUCCCCUCUAGCCGAACUCUUCACUCUUACUCUAUAUGACCGUUGCUGCUAAUUCUUUUGGACUCAGUUAAGUGAUGAGGCUAAUUGAUUUUGGGUAAUAACCUGGCCUUUUUAUGGCUGAGCUUAGCUUCCUUACAGUUGAUCGCAUCACCUUCUACUUGCCCCCUAACAUAUAAUCUAUUACCUCUAGCAGUUAGACUGCUCUGCAGCCACCCUACAAGACCCUAGUCUCUCUGCCAUGCCUUAUCUGUUGCUAACCUGUCUACUAACUAAUAACUGACUAACUUAUAGACUAACUACUGCUAACAACAGAACAGCCUCAGCUCCUAAGUUUACCCCUGUGGGCUGUUGGAAAAAAUCCUAAGGCAAGGCUGGGCAGUGGUUUCAUUUUGGGCCUAGUCCCUUUAACCCAAAGUUUUACUUGUUAAUUUGCUAUACUCCAAUGGGUUUACAGGAUUGGGUUUUGGACAUCCAUUUCACUCUUUAACACUUGGAGCUGCCGAAUUGGGCUAGCAAAUAGACUACAUGCAACGAUCAUGGCAAAAUUAUUAAGGCCCAAUAUUUUAAUAUGGACUCUUGUUACAUUAAAACACAUGGACUAUUAUUUUCUCUAGCAACAAUAGUUAUAACAUAUAUCAUUAAAAUGACUAUUCUAUGUAAUCUUAAAUAAUUCAUGAUGGCACAUAAUUUCUUUGCCCUUUAUAACUCAAGAUGCUAAACGAACUAUUAAAUAAAUAAUAUUUUUAUCACAAUGAGAAUUAACAUAUCAUAAAAAAAAAUUUAUACUCAAAAAUUGACAUUACAAUAAUUAAAUAUUACAUAGGAUGAACUACAGGCCAAUGAGGACUUUUACCACAUCAUUCGUCACAUUACGGUCAUUAUUAUACCGAAUCAUCCCUGGUCAUAAUCAUACCAAGUCCAUCUAUGCACGUAAGCCAAAGAUGACUUUCAUCACAAUAUAAGCAUGAGGAUGAUGACAAUAAUAUAAGCAUUAAUCAAACGAAAAUAAUGAUAAAUUUUAAAGACUUUAAAUUUAUCCAAAUGUUUAUCAAUCACUUAAUAAACUCAUAAUCUAAUAUUAUUAAUAUUAUAACAAUAUUUUAAUCACUUCUUGAACUUAUAAACAAUUUAUUCUAAUUGUUUACACUUUCCCAAAUAAUACAUUUUAAUCAUUCAAAAAUACCAUACUCAUAAGAUUUCAUCACCAAUGAUCAAAUCCCUUAUCAAAAAUCUGCAUAUACCUUAUAUAGGAUUUCCAAGCCAUAAAAUCCAUUUUACCAAUUUUUCAACUUCACAUAACAUAUUUAAUUCAUAUGUUCGUAACUAAACUAUUUUCAUGAAAAAUACCAAAUCAGUCCAAAAAAUUAUUCUUUUUUGGGAUUUAGCAGAAUAUAGUCCCAUAUUGAACAUAUAUUUUUCUCAUAAUUUUUAAAAUUCAUUUACUAUUUUUCAUAUGGCCAAAACUGCCGAAUAUUUAGACAUUUAUCAUAAAUUGUACUUUUGUCCAAAAAUUCCGAAAUUUACAAGGUAUACUCCUAUUAUAUAUGUGUACUCCCAAUAAAAAUUUAACCAAUUUUGGAGUUAACCACAAGGAGUUAUAAGGGUUUACUUUUAAAAUAGUUUUUUCCCAUAAAAUUCAUAACUCCUAAUCUAUACAUCCAAAAAUUGCCAUUUUUGGACACAAUCUAGAAAUCUCAACAAACUAUCAUUUCAAAUGUUUCCAAAAUUUUUGAGGGUCAGAAAAAUUACGAAACUGCAAAUAGAUUUUCACCCGUCAUUCGGUAAUCCAGGUAGACAGAUCAUUUCCACAAUUUAAUAAGGAAUGAAUACAAAGGAUCAUUCACCAUGCAUGCGGUAAUCCACAUAGACAGGUUAUUCCAACAGAAUAAUAAAAAAUAGAAUAACAACAGAAUUCACCAGGCAUACGGUAAUCCGCGUAUACAGGUUAUUCCAAUAGAAUAAUAAAUAAUGGAACCAGGUCAUGCGUAAUCCGCAUAGACAGGAUAUUCCAACAGAAUAAUAAAGAAUGGAAUAACAACAGAAAUUCACCAAGCAUACGGUAAUCCGCGUAUACAGGUAAUUCUAACAGAAUAAUAAAGAAUGGAAUAACAAUAGAAUUCACCAGGCAUACGAUAAUCCGCGUAUACAGGUUAUUCCAACAGAAUAAUAAAGAAUGGAAUAAUAGAAAAUUUUCACCACGUAUGCGGUACUUCGCAUAGACAGGUUACUCCAAUAUAAUAAUAAAGAAUGAAAUAACAAAAGAAUUUCACCAUGUAUGCGAUACUUCGCAUAAACAGGUUAUUCCAACAUAAUAAUAAAGAAUGGAAUAACAACAGCUCUCUUCAUGAAUACGAAAGAAAUAAUAAUACCCCUUACCUUAGAAGAAACUGGAUACUGGAAUAGUGAGGUAGCAGGCUUCUCUUCUUCUUUCUCUCUAUAAUUUCUCUCUAUAAUAAUUGCUCUAUAGCUUUAGUGAAUUGGUGAGAAAUGAAGGAAGAAUGAGCUUCUGUUUAUAGGAAAACAUAGUUUCAAUAAUUGCACAUUUUGGGGCUCGAAAUAUUACAUUAUAAUACCUUCCUCUUUUUCUUUAUUUUUAAUUUAGCCCUGCAAGUAUUAUCAAACUUGCACCACCUCCUCUAAUAGUAAAUCAUGUGAAUUAAUAGUAAAUCAUGUGAAUCAAUAGUUCUAGACAUGUGAAAAUACGAAUUACAGUAUAGUACCUCCAUCUAUACCUCUAUUUUUAACUUAGUCAUGCAAGUAUUAUCAAUCUUGCACCAACUCCCCUAAUAGUACCAUAAUGUGAAUCAAUAGUACACACAUGUGAACAAAUAGUUAUAAUCAUAUGAAUUAAUAGCAAUUAAAAGCUCAUUUAUCCGGAUAAUUACCCGAUUGGUCAAUAUAACCUCCAGACAUCAAUUAUCAUCGAAAUAAAUGUCGAUUCCCACUAACACUAAUAAUUCCAACACAAUGGAACUAUCAAUUUCAUCUUUAAUCAACACAAAUUUAUUCAUCAUUAAUAUUAUAACUCAUAAUAUUUAACAACAAGAUCGUUCCCAGGAAAGAGGGGGCCUUCCGGUAAGGAUUUCUCCUCACUGGUGCGCAAUUACCUAACCUCUCCUUGACAGAACUUCUAGACAUUGUCAAUAUUGCAAUUUAAUAAUAUUAAUAAGUUUACCAUCUUAAUUAUUUAUUUAAUAAUAUAACAUAUUAUGCAGAUGAUACUGUGACAAUAAUUGAAUCAAUAAUAUGAGAGAUAUGAUGUAAUAAUUACUGUAGCAAUAAUUGAGUAUAACUGAGUGACUUCUUACGUAAGCAUUAAUAAUCAAUACCGUGUGCUACUCAAUUCGUCAGCUACCACGUUCGCUCUUUCAUGAUGAUAUUGAAUGGUACGAUCGUAAUCUUCUACAGCUCAAGCCAACGUCUUUGGCACAUUAUACGAUUAUUUUAGGUAAAGAAAUAUUUGAGGGUUUUAGAAAUGAGUUUUGUACUUGGGUCAAUACAAAAUAUGAUUUCACGCUCUGGGGUAGGCAAGGAAGUUCUUCGAGAAUACGUCAGAAUAUUUAUUAACAAUAGAAAUAUCAUUUAAAAACUGUGACUCUCAUCCAAGACUUGGACAACACAUGAAAUGAAGGUUUCUACUAACGAAGUUUCAACCAAUAAGUCAAAGUCUAACUUCUCUGGGGUCAAAUUUAAAUGUUGAGCGCAAGCAAGAGAGAUAAAAGAAUGGGUAGAACCGGUAUCUAAUAAGGUAUAGACUUCGCAAAAAUUUAUAAUUAACUAACCCGUGCUAACUUCGUUCGGGUUACUCGCUUUUUGAGAAGUCAUGAAAAACGCUCUUCCUGAAACCACCGACUUUGUUUUGUCCAUAUCCGCCUUUGGUGCCACCGUCCCAGCUGGACUUGACUUUGGUGCACGACAAAAUCGGGCUAAGUGUCCUUUUCCAUAAUUAUAACAUGUUUUGGACUGCAUCACGCAGUUUGGACUGAUAUGUCCCUCCCCUCCGCAUUUGAAGCAUACAAUUGGUGGUCGUUCUCCUUCCUUGAAAACGGGUGUUGGUGCUGCUGUCUUUGCAUCUUUGUUGAACCUUCUCUUCUUGAAAUUUCCACUCCUAUUAUCUUGGUCAUGAUUACCACCGAAGUGGUUACCAUUCUUGGUGUAAGACCCCAACUUUUAUGAAUAAAAAAUGAAUUUUCUAUAAAUAUCAUUUUUGAAUAUUAUGGAGUAAAUUUGAUAUAAUGUUAUAGUUGUGGGUAAUAUUUAUAAAUUUUGAAAAGUACGCAAGUUGUUAUAUAAUAUUCGUUUGGUCGGAAAAUAUUCUUUUUGUCGGGAAUAUCCGUACGACGACACAAUCAUUGGUGGACCCCCACAACGGAAGUAUUGUCGUAGUAAGAAAACGACAGAAUUAUCUUUUUAUAAAAAUAACGGCUAAAGUUUUACCGUUAAAACUGUUGAACUACUCGGUAGUAAAAGUACAGUAAUACGUGUGGUUGCAUAGUAGCACACGAUAUUGAUUAUUAAUACUUACGUGAGAAGUCACUCAGUUAUACUCAAUUAUUGCUAUAGUAAUUGUUGCAUCAUAUCUCUCAUAUUAUUGAUUCAUUUAUUGUCACAGUAUUAUCUGCAUAAUAUGUUAUAUUAUUAAAUCAAUAAUUGAGACGACAAAGUUAUUAAUAUUAUUAAAUUGCAAUAUUGACAAUGUCUAGAAGUUCUGUCAAGGAGAGGUUAGGUAAUUGCGCGCCAAUGAGGAGAAAUCCUUACCGGAAGGCCCCCUCUUUCCUGGGAACGAUCUUGUUGUUAAAUAUUAUGAGUUAUAAUAUUAAUGAUGAAUAAGUUUUGUUGAUUAAAGAUGAAAUUGAUAGUUCCAUUGUGUUGGGAUUAUUAGCGUUAGUGGAAAUCGACAUUUAUUUUGAUGAUAGUUGAUGUCUGGGGGUUAUAUUGAUAAAUCGGGUAAUUUAUCGGAUAAAUGAGCAAUUAAUUGCUACUAAUUCACAUGUUUAUAUAACUAUUUGUUCACAUGUGUGUACUAUUGAUUCACAUUCUGGUACUAUUAGGGGAGUUGGUGCAAGAUUGAUAAUACUUGCAUGACUAAGUUAAAAAUUGAGGUAUAGAUGGAUGUACUAUACUGUAAUUCGUAUUUUCACAUAUCUAGAACUAUUGAGUCACAUGAUUUACUAUUAAUUCACAUGAUUUACUAUUAGGGGAGUUGGUGCAAGAUUGAUAAUACUUGCAGGACUAAAUUAAAGAUAAAGAAAAAGAGGAAGGUAUUAUACUGUAAUAUUUUGAGCCCCAAAACGUGCAAUUAUCAAAACUAUAUUUUCCUAUAAAUAGAAGCUCAUUCCUUCAUUAUUUUUCACUAAUUCACUAAAGCUAUAGAGCAUUUAUUAUAGAGAGAAAUUAUAGAGAGAAAGAAGAAGAAAAGUCUACACUUCACUACUCCAGUAUCCAAUCUUCUUUGAGGUAAGGGGUAUUAUUCUUUCGUAUUCAUGAAGAGAGUUAUUUUUUUUCAAUACUCGUUAUUCCAUUCCUUAUUAUUAUGUUGGAAUAACAUGUCUAUGCGAAGUACCGCAUACAUGGUGAAAUUCUUCUAUUAUUCCAUUCUUUAAUAUUCUGUUGAAAUAUCUUGUUUGUGCGUUUUACGCAAGACCUGGUUCCAUUAUAUAUUAUUCUGUCAGAAUAUCUUGUCUGUGCUUUACGCAUGACCUGGUUCCAUUAUUUAUUAUUCAGUUUGAAUAACAUGUAUACGCGGAUUACCGUAUACCUGGUGAAUUUUGUUGUUAUUACAUUCUUUAUUAUACUCAGUUGGUUAAAGUUUUGGCUUUUAUACUCUAUGAAAUUAGUGGAAUAUCCUUGAUAUUUGCGCUUCAUCCAAUAUCUUUUCAUGGAAAUAUUCUUCUGAGCAUUCUUGAAUUUUACAUCACAAAGCAGUAUCAUGUUGACAUUUUGGACGUUAUUGGUUCCUGGAUAAAUUAAUUCUUGAACUUGUUUUAUUGAAUUCUUAUAUCAUUAUCAUCAUCCUCAUGUUUAUAUUCUGUUGAGAGUCAUCUGUGGCCUGUAGUGCAUAGAUGGACUUGGUAUGAUUAUGACCAGGGAUUAUUCGGUAUAAUCAUGACUGUAAUAUUACAAAUAAUAUGGUAAAAGUCCUCAUUGGCCGUAGUGCAUUGUUGGACAAUUGUUGGUAUGAUCAUGACCAUUGAUGAAUACACGAAUAUCCUUGGUCGUAGUGCAGGGAUGAUGUUGAUUAUUUAUUAACCUGAGUCUCAGCGAUGAAAAUGAUGAAAAACCUUUUUAAAUCAUAGAAGAUAAUAGAUUUUAUGCUCUAUUUGACUCUUUUAAUGGAUUGCUUAUUUUCGCUGCAGUUUUUGAUCUAAAACUUGUUGUUUAUUAUAUUCUAUCAGUUGUUAUACUGUUGAAGGCUAAGGAUAAUUUAUUCUGCAUUAACUUAGUCAUAAUAUUUCUUACUGGGCUUGUUGAGCUCACCCUUUUCUUUCAUGGUUCUCUUCAGGAAAUGAGAACGUAGCUGAGACUAGUCAGGGAACAGAGUGACGGCCCAGAUGUUUGCAUUAAUUGUCCUCACUAUUCUGUGAAAUAGUGUGAUAAUAAAUGUAAUGAGGACUCCAUUGAGUGUGGAUAUUGUCUAGAUGACAAUAUUCUUCUUAAAACUCUUAGAUUAUGUUUUGUCGUAUUUUACACGACUGUUGUAUAAUUAAGUUGUAUUUGAAUUUUGUACCAUAUAUCCGGCGACUCAAGAUGGGUGAUGUAUACCUAUUUUGAGGGCAUCAUAGUUGGUAUCAAAGCUUAGGGAUAUGAUCCCUGGUUGAGAUGUGAGAUAAGAACUAGGAGGGGAGAGACGGGGAAUUCCUUUGUUAGUAUAACCUACCUAAGUUUAUUUGGUAUUUAAUUGGUCGGUCACAAUAUAUGGAUAAUAUGUGACAUGUCAAUUAACCCUUGUUUUGUGACAGUAUUUGAAAAUGGCAUCCGAAAAUGUUGAGAAUAGCAAUGGAGCACAGGAGACCGUUGAGUCACCAUAGAUUAAUACCCAGGAUAAUGUGUAACAGGAAGAAAAUAAUCCUCAGGUAAACAAUAACACCGAUGAAAUGGGGAACGAUGGGAUGUUCAGAGGCUUUAUGCAAUUCAUGCAACAUCAGGCGAGGGCGGCUCCUGUCCAAAAUGCAGGUGGAAACACUGACAACUCUCGGACGGUCACCGCUAAGCAGUUCAAGGAGCUGGGACCACCGGAGUUUUUUGGAGAGCCAAAACCACUUAAGACAGAGACGUGGAUAAAGAAGAUCAACAGGAUAUUUGAUGUCUUGGGAUGCUCCGAGGAACAAAAGGUUCCUUUUGUCACCUUCAUGUUGCGAGCAGAGGCAGAUUACUGGUGGGAAUCCGUAAAGCGUACUCAACUUGCCGCACUGAAAAUGUCUUGGGAGAAGUUCCAAGAACUGUUCAACGAAAAGUACUUUCCCGAAAGUAUUCGUCAAAUGAAAGAGGUAGAGUUCAUCAAGCUUGAGCAAAAAAAUAUGACUGUGGCGCAGUACAAAGCUAAGUUUGUCGAGUUAUCUCGGUUUGCGUCCCACUUGAUUGAUAAUAAGGAGAGAAUGACGCGGAUGUUUUCAAAGAGGUUUGAAACCCGAGAUACGUCAAUACCUAAUUUCUCACAAACCGUGUUUGUAUUCAGAUGUUGUGAAUAGGGCUCAGUUAUUGGAGCGCGAUAAUGAAUCAACCCAACCAAGAGAGAGCAGCCGACAAGUCGAUAAUACCAGUGGUAGCAGUCAUCGAAGCGGUGACAACAAGCGUGGAGGGAAUCAACAUGCCAAAAAUGGUAAUCACUUCGGUGGUAAUCAUGGCCAUGACAAUAAGAGUGGACAUUUCAAGAAGACGAGAUUCAACAAUGAUGGAAAGACGUCAGCACCAGCACCUGUUGUUAAGGAAGGAGAACAAUCGCCGGUCGUAUAUUAUAAAUGCGGAGGGGAGGGACAUAUCAGUCCAAACUGCGUGAUGCAGUCCAAAGCAUGUUACAAUUGUGGAAGAGAAGGUCACCUAGGCUGAUUUUUUCGUGCACCAAAGUCAAGUCCAGCUGGGAUGGAGGCAUCAAAGGCCGUCCCAGACAAGACAAAACCGGUAGUUCAACGGAGAGCGUUUGUCGUAACCUCCCAAAAAGUGAGGAAUCCGAAUGAGGUGAUCACGGGUAAGCUAAUCAUAAACUCUAGCAAAGUCUAUACCUUAUUUGAUACCGGCUCUACCCAUUCUUUUAUUUCUCCUAUUUGCGCUCAACGUUUAAAUUUGACUCCGAAGAAGUUAGACUUUGACUUAUCGGUUAAAACUCCAUUGGGAGAAACCUUCAUUACAUCCACUAUUUAUAAGUCUUGUUUGAUUCAAAUCGGUAACCGUACAUUACCUGUCGAUCUUUUUUCUUUGAAAAUACUUGCAUUUGAUGUGAUUUUAGAGAUUAAUUGGUUAACUACUCAUCAUGCUAAAAUCGAUUGUUUUCGUAAGGUUGUUAGCUUUCAUAUUCCUAACCAACCUAUUAUGCGAAUUCAAGCAACCAAACAACUAAAAUCAAUCACUAUCAUAUCAAGCCAUAAAGCUAUUCAUUUAUUAAAAAAUGGAUGUCAAGCUUUCUUAGCCCAUGUCACGGAUUUAAAUAAAAAUACGUCAGAUUUGAAUGAUAUUUCUAUUGUUCAUAAAUUUCCUGACGUAUUCCUUGAAGAAAUUCCUGGCCUACCCCUAGAGUGUGAAAUUGAAUUUUGUAUCGACCUUGAAUGUGGUACAAAACCCAUUUCCAAAGCCCCAUAUCGAAUGGCUCCUAUUGAACUUCAGGAGUUAAAAACCUAACUACAGGAAUUAUUAGACAUCAGUUUCAUUCGUCCUAGUACAUCUCCUUGGGGUGCUCCUGUUCUAUUCGUGAAGAAGAAAGAUGGAAGUAUGCAACUUUGUAUUGAUUAUCGGGAGUUGAAUCAUGUCACCAUCAAAAAUAGGUACCCGUUGCCUCGCAUUAAUGACCUGUUUGACCAGUUGCAAGGAGCUAAAUUCUUUUCAAAGAUUGAUCUUCGUUCCGGAUAUCAUCAGUUGAAGAUUAAAACUGAUGACAUUCCAAAGACUGAUUUCAGAACUCGGUAAGGGCAUUAUGAAUUUCUAGUCAUGUCUUUUGGAUUGACUAAUGCUCCUGCUGCCUUCAUGGACAUGAUGAACCGAGUAUUCAAGGAAUAUUUGGAUCACUUUGUGGUCGUCUUUAUUGAUGACAUCCUCAUAUACUCCAAAAGCCGUGAAGACCAUGAUCAACACUUGAGGCUGAUACUUCAAAAACUUCGUGAGAACAAGCUUUAUGCCUAGUUAAAGAAAUGUGAGUUCUGGCUUGAGGAAGUUGCAUUCCUUGGGCACGUGAUAUCAAAUCAUGGAAUAUCUGUUGAACCAGCAAAGAUUGAAGGAAUCCAAAGCUAGGAGCAACCAAAGUCAGUGACUGAAAUACGUAGCUUUCUUGGCUUAGUUGGUUAUUAUCGGAGAUUCGUGGAAGGAUUUUCUCGAAUCGCUACUCCAUUAACUCAGCUGACUCGAAAAGAUACAAAGUUCAGUUGGAGCGAGAAAUGUGAGAAGAGUUUUCAAGAACUCAAGAGAAGACUCAUUUCAGCACAUGUUCUGACAAUACCAUCUGGCUCGGAGGGAUUUGUCAUCUACAGUGAUGCUUCAGGCAAAGGGGUUAGGAUGUGUUCUCAUGCAACAUGGAAAAGUCAUAGCCUAUGCCUCACGACAACUCAAAGAAUAUGAGAGGAAUUAUCCUACUCAUGAUCUAAAGUUGGCAGCAGUCGUUUUUGCGCUUAAGAUUUGGAGGCAUUACCUGUAUGGAGAGAAGGUGGAGAUCUAUACGGAUCAUAAAAGCCUCAAAUAUUUCUUCACUCAAAAGGAACUCAACAUGCGGCAAUGACGAUGGCUUGAGCUGUUAAAAGAUUAUGAUCAUACCAUCCAAUACCAUCCUGGAAAAGCGAACGUAGUAGCUGACGCAUUGAGUAGAAGAUCAUAUGCGGGUACGAGUGCAAUAUUGUCAACGCUAAGACCCAUUUUGUAUGACUAACGAAGGAUGGAGAUAGAGUUAAAAACUCCAGGGACCCAUGUGAUAAUGACGGAUAUACGAGUAGAACCGACUUUAAUCAAUAAAGUUAAAGCUGCUCAAGCUACAGACCUGGAGCUGAUGCAUAUGAGGAAGAAAGUGCAAGAAGGUGCUAUUCCAGAAGCAAGAAUCGAUGAAGAAAGAAUACUUCGAGUCAACUCCAGACUUUGUGUUCCUAACGAUUUUGACUUGAAGUAUAAAAUCAUGAUGGAGGCAAACAACACACCGUUUGCAAUCCAUCACGGGAGUACCAAAAUGUAUCGUGAUCUUCGACAUACAUUUUGGUGGAGCAAUAUGAAGAGAGAGAUAGCGGGGUUUAUCUCAAGGUGUCUAACUUUUCAACGAGUCAAGGCGGAGCAUCAAGUGCCAAAAGGUCCAUUGCAACCACUUGAAAUUCCAGAAUGGAAGUGGGAGCACAUUACCAUGGAUUUCGUUACUGGUCUUCCCAAGGUUUCCCAAGGCGUAGAUGCGAUUUCGGUCAUUGUUGAUAGAUUGACCAAGUCUACUCAUUUCUUACCGAUACGAGAAACUUAUACACUUGAACGUCUUGCUAGUAUGUACAUAAAUGAGAUUGUAAGAUUGCAUGGCAUGCCAGUAUCCAUAGUUUCUGAUCGAGACCCAAGAUUCACUUCAAGAUUUUGGGUUAGUGUGACGCCCCCAAAAUAGGUCCACACGAACCAUUCUGAGUCGCCAGAUAUCACACUAUAAAAAUCAAAUACAAACUUUAUUUAUACAACUGUUGAACUGUCGUGCAGAGUACGACAACAGUUAACUGUGAGUUUUAAUACAAAUAUUGUCAUCGUAGACAGUAUCCAAACUCAAAUUGUUACAAUGCCAUAUAAAAUACAGCAGCAAAUAUUUUAAGACCCCAAAGAAGAACGAGAAGAUUACUAUCAUAUUCAUUCUAAUGAGGUGCACUUUUGACGCUUUCAAAGUCGGGUUCUCAUCACCCUUAUUGUUGUUCACCAACAUCAAUUAUUAAGUGACGUAUAAAAUACAACACACACAUCUUAGGUCUUUAAUACAAUUAUCGGUUGCAUAUCAUGCCGUUUUAUAAUGUAUUGAGAAAUUUCGACAGUCUCGGACCAUCACACUAUUUUCCUGUUAUCCCCGCUCGACCCAGCUACACUCUUAUUACCUAAAAGGAAUUGUGAAGCAAAAGGGUGAGCACAAUUAGCCCAGUAAGGAAUAUCAUGGCUAAGAUAAUUAAUUUAUCAACAGCCUUUAUCAGAAUAAAUCAGAGAUUUAGAACAUAUGGUAGAUAAUAAAACGUUUCAACCAUAGUUGCAGCGGAACGAGUAAUCCAUUAGAUGAGUCAAGUAGAACAUAAUGUCUACUAUCUCCUCUAGAUUAAAAGUCCAUCGUUGAUAUUUUAUUCCUGUAAUACUCAUCAACAGUUCUUUGUUAUACUUAAGACAAAUAAAACUUUCAACACUUGUCUUCACCUGAACCACCAAAGAUGUUAGUUAAAUUCACAAUUCAUAUUUAUAAUAAUGUGAAUUAACAGUUCCUUCUUUCCACCAAGACUUAAUAGAAUGUUUACUCAAUAUCUUUACCCCAAAGGCUGAAGGUAUUCAAAUGUAAUAACAAUGAUCAUACCAAUCAGUUGUCUAUCUUUGCAUUACGGGCCAAAGAUAUUCAACUAUAGAACCAAUGGUCAUGAUCAUACCAAUCACAUCAUUGAAUUAUCCAUGCACUACGGCCAAGGAUAUUCGUUAGUAUCACUAGUGGUCAUGAUCAUGUCAUACACCUGUCCAUCUUCACACUACGGGUCAAAGCUAUCAAAUAACAGAUCAUCUUUGCACUACAGGCCAAAAAUAUUCAACAACAUAUCGUCUUUGCACUACAGGUCAAAGACAUACUACUGUAAAACCAAUAACCAACAAUAUAAUAAAGAAUGGAAUAAUAAAAGAAUUUCACCAUGCGUGCGUAAUCCGCACAGAAAGGUUAUUCCAACAUAAUAAUAAAGAAUGGAACCAGGUCAUGCGUAAAUGCACAGACAGGAUAUUCCAACAGAAUAAUAAAGAAUUGAAUAACAACAGACUUCACCAAGUAUACGGUAAUCCGCGUAUACAGGUUAUUCCAACAGAAUAAUAAAGAAUUGAAUAACAACAGACUUCACCAGGUAUACGGUAAUCCACGUAUACAGGUUAUUCCAACAGAAUAAUAAAGAAUUGAAUAACAACAGACUUCACCAGGUAUAUGGUAAUCCGCGUAUACAGGUUAUUCCAACAGAAUAAUCAAGAAUGGAAUAACAACAGACAUCACCAGGUAUACGGUAAUUCGCGUAUACAGGUUAUUCCAACAGAAUAAUAAAUGGAACCAGGUCAGGAGAAAUUCGCACCGACAGGAUAUUCCGACAGAAUAAUAAAGAAUAAAAUAAUAGAAGAAUUUCACCAUGUAUGCGGUACUUCGCAUAAACAGGUUAUUCCAACAUAAUAAUAAAUAAUGUAAUACAUAAGGAUUUCACCAAGUAAAGGGUAUGACGCUUAUACAGUUUAUGUAUAGGGUAUGCCUCAUAUACAGGUUAUUCCAACAGAAUAAUAAAGAAUGGAAUAACAGAAGUUCUCUUCAUGAAUAAGAAAGAAUAACACCCCUUACUAUAAUAAUAUUAUCCCUUACCGUAAAAAAACUGAAAAUAGAGGUAGUGAAGUAGCAGAAUAGUCUUCUUCUUUCUUUCUAUAAUUUCUCUCUCUAGAGUUUCAGUGAAUUCGUAAGAAAAUAAUGAAGGAAUGAGCUUCUAUUUAUAGAAGAAUGGAUUGCAUAGUAACUAACUCAUGAACGGUCCAAAUUGAUUUACUUUAAUCUGACGGUCCAUAUUUAAAGCAAAAUCUUUUAAAUAAAAUAUAAUAUAUUCUAUUUAUAAUCUAAUAAAAUAAAUAACUUUAUGUAAAUACUAUGCAGGCACUAUGCAAAUACUAUGCAUAAUAAAAUAUAAUAUAAUCUAAUUAUUGUCUAAUAAAACGAAUAACUUUAGAAAAGUAUUAUGUUUUAUAUAAAAAGAUUUUACUAUUAGUCUAAUAAAAUGAAUAACUUUAUAAAAGUAUUCUGUUUUAUAUAAAAAGUUUUUCUGUUUUAUUACGUUAAUAAUACGAAUAAAACAAAACUUCAUCAUCGCUUACUUUGAAAAUUUUUCAAAUGUCACCCUUAACUUUAAACUUUUAUCAAUUUAAUCAUUUACCAAAAUAGAAAAAUUGAAUACUUUUAUUUCAUAAAAUUCGGGGUCUCACAGUUAGUUUGCAAAAAGCUAUGGGCACGGAUUUACGAUUUAGUUCGGCAUAUCAUCCUCAAACGGAUGGGCAGUCGGAAAGGACUAUUCAAACUCUUGAGGAUUUAUUAAGAUUAUGUGUCCUUGACUUCAAGGGAAGUUGGGACAAGUUCUUACCAUUGGUGGAGUUUUCCUACAACAAUAGUUAUCAAGCAAGUAUUGGCAUGACUCCAUUUGAAGCGUUGUAUGGAAGAAAGUGUCGUUCUCCAGUAUGCUGGGAUGAGGUGGGUGAAGCAACGUUGUUGGGACUGGAGUUGGUACGUAUGACUACGAAAAAGAUUCAAACGAUCCGACAACGUAUAAAAACCUCACAAGAUNNNNNNNNNNNNNNNNNNNNNNNNNNNNNNNNNNNNNNNNNNNNNNNNNNNNNNNNNNNNNNNNNNNNNNNNNNNNNNNNNNNNNNNNNNNNNNNNNNNNUAUAUAUAUAUAUAUAUAUAUAUAUAUAUAUAUAUAUAUAUAUAUAUAUAUAUUGUCCAAAAUUAAUUUUUAGUUUUUGAGAUGGCAUGUAACCAUCACAUAUAUAUUUCUCCUUAAUGUGAUUGCAUUUAAGCCAUAACAAAGAAAAAAGUUUAAAAUAAUCUUUGGUGACAGCCAAGACCAUCACGAAAAGAAAACCACAUGUGAUGGACCUUUAUGAUUACAUUUAAAGUAAUCUCAACAAAUGGUAUUAUAUGAUGGACUUUUUCAACAAUCACAAAAUAAUAAUAUACAUGACGGCUCCUAGUAGUGGUUAUUUUUUCCAUCACCAUAAACUAUUUGUGACGGACAAGACAAUCACUAAAAAACAAGCAUAUAUGAACAACAAAUAUAUUAGGCGAGGAAUUUACUAGCAAUCACAAAAUAGUAGUAUAUAUGGUAGAUGUUACUCAAUGUCUAAUUGUGCCAUUAUUAUUAAAUAUUUAAGACAAUCAUUACAAUCACUAAAUUUUUCGCGUAAAUUGUACAUCUCUUUUUUAAGUCCCCAUUAAUCUUUAUUUUGCUUUGUUCUCUUUGUAAACUCAUUGUUUUUAUUGUGAAUUCAAAGGAUUUAGAGUUUAUCUCGUUUUUAUAUAACUAACUAUUUACGUUUGUUCUCUUUGUCUCGGUUGGUAUAUAUCUACUUCUUUCUAUGCAAGAAGUCUAGAGUCCAAAUCUCCACCCAAAAAAGAAACAGUGCAAAUGAUGGAGCAAAAUUCUUGCUGUUGGGGAAGAGCAGAUGGACUAAUUGAUGUAACCUUCAAAUUGGUGGGAAGAAAUCUGAAAUGGAAGGAGCAGUAAGCAGGAUUUUUUUUUUUACUAAAUUUAAAUUGUAUUAAAGGAGAAAGAAUGUACAAAAAUCAUGGGAAAACCCAAUCAGAAUAUAGUAUAUACAUCACCUCAAUCAGAAUAUAACAUAGACAUCAUAGGACAUGCCAUAUGAUGUCAUGACUAAAAAAGAAAAUAAGGCCAGAUGCCCAAACAAAAGAGAAACAAUCUCAACAUUCAUGAGAAUACAAUGCAUAGAAAUCAGACACAAAACCAAGAAAAACCUCAUCCAAAGUAGCAGCAGCCCACAAUAGCAGCAAAAGAAAAAUCAGUCCAAAGACCAAAAGGCAUCAUCCAUAACAGAACCGAAAGAGCCUACUGCAGACUAGCAGCACAAUAGAGCACAAGGCCCAACAAGAGAAGCCAACAACAGUUUAGCAAAGCAAAACAGCAGACAGGACAUGGAAAGCAAGAGCAACAAACCCCAAGAGCCCAAUGGCAGCCAUAGAAGUGCAGCAGCUGCAGCCGACAUCAAAUAAAACAGCAGUAAACGAUAGCAGCCAUAAGUACAGCACCACCCCCCAAAUCUGCAGCAUCAAGACAUAGAAAUAGUCACAAUACUGCAGACCAAAACACGCAAACAAUGCAGCAUAAGCAACAAACAGAGCAGCAAAUAGGUCUAUUUUCCUGCUUGUUUUCAAGGUUGUGUAGUAUUUAUUGUCAUUUUAGUAUUUUACAUAUAUGUCCAUUAUGGGUAAAAUAAGUUGUUUGGCAUGGGCAAUGAUGCCAGUGAAGGUUUUCUUUCUUCAGUGCUUGAUGGAAGCUCUCGAGCUGUAGUCACUACAAAGAUGAGGAGAUGCUGAAACCAUUUUCGAGCACAGUGAGAUAUAAUAGUUACAUAUAUGAAUAUGCCAUCUCAGAUGAUCAUGUUGGUGUAACACAGAAGCAUGUCUUCCAUGUGCUGGUACCAUUUCUCCUUCCUUUUCUGACAGUAGGCCUAUGAUUUCUUCUGGGAGUGCUGAGAAAGAGACUGCUAGACUAGAAUAUUGUAUACGGCACUAGAAAUAGGGCAGUCUUUCUGUAAACUGCAGAGCUAUGGUUCCUUGGAAUGAUCAUUGCUUUACAACGCAUUGAGUUUUUUUUUUCUACAUUUCUUUUUCCUGGAAAAGCCUAUUUGAGGGAGGAAAUAGGAGAAGUAGAAAUUUGUUGUGGGUAGAGAUGUUUUGGAUUUGUCCUUGGUUUCAGUAAUUAAACAUCUGCCAUUUUUAUUUGCGAUUAUAUCCGGAGGAAGCUUUUAUAUACUAGAUUCAUAAAUCAAGAAGUUCAAUAUAGGGAGCACCAGCUGCAACAGCAGCAGAGCAUGAGCAGCAACAUUAAUGUAGGUGGAAGCAUUGAAAGGACGUUCUAUUUGUUCAUGCCAUUUAAUCAUGGCAAUCAUUCUAUUUAUUCAUGGUAAUCAUUUUAUUUGUAUAUGCUUGUUCUUAUAUAGCUUAUAUUGACAGAAAAUUUAAAUGGAAGCUAUGAGAACCACAUUUUAUCAAGUCUUUCAGGUGGGUUAGCCUCUGCAUAGCUCUUACUAUUUCUUGCAGCUCGAGGAGCUAAAGCUUCCUAAAGUAUAGAAAUCACAAAACCAAGCAAAUAAGUUUAAAAAAAAAAAAGAACUAAAGAUAGAGUCGCAUGUCUUUCAAAUAUGUUUCAAAAAAAAAACACAUUCUCUAAAACACUGGUAACAGAGCUUCUCUAAAACUGAAUUUCAUGUCCAAGUUCAUGUUAUCAACUUAUAGUCUUAUAUGUAAUCAACAUAACUCAAACGACUUCCUCUUUUUCUAAUAAUUAAUAACAGGGAAAAAAUUUAAAAAUAUGGGUGAAUUGGAGAAAUAUAUCUUACAAUAACAAAGAAAAAGGGAAUCCUAGUCCAGAAACUUGUGCGCGCUCUCACGAAAGAUGUCUCAUGAGUAAGCCUGAAUCUUGACGGAUCUGCAUGUUCAUUGUAGGAGAAAUUUAACAUAAAGAGAUAGCCUCAUGUACACAAAUAUUAAAAUGAAUACUAAAUUCAAACUACAGAAUGAUAAAUAGUCAUUUCUUGAUCGUGCAGCGACAUAACAAUGGAAAACUCGGUCCUGAGAGGCAGUUUCCUGCUCCCAGACCUUCCAGCCACGAAUCUGUACAAGUUAAAAACUUAUUAGCAUUAUAUGUAGAAUCAAUCAGGUGAUAAUAUGAAGAGUGAUAGUGUUUUAUAGAAAAUGAAAAUAUUCGAAAAUUGUUUCGAACAUAUAUUAAAAUAAAUUAUUGUCCUUUUAUUUUAUUAAAUAAAAUAUUAAAAAAAUCAUUGUCUUCUUUAAUGCAGUUUAUAAAGAAACACGGGAAAAUGAAUAUAGGCCAAGUUAGUGAUAAAAGAAAGUGAAUGACAGACUUGGCAGGAACUCUAUUACUGUAGAAAAAUAAAGCAACAAUUGAAAGGAUUCUUAUUUCGAUAAUGAAAGGAAAUAAUAAUCGACUGAUAAUUAUCUGGAACAUGCCAACUACUAUAUAUAUAGGAAAACAUAACUAAAAAACUCAGCUACGUAGGCCUAAAUAUCAUCAUCUUCUUCUUCUUCUUCGAAAUAUUCAUCAUCAUUAAAAUAUUCAUUAUCAUCUUCAUCUUCAUCACUACAUUCUCUAUCUUCAUUUUCUGCUUCCGCUAAUGAUGGAUCCACUUCCGCCCACAUUAGGAUUACUCGUCAAUGGUUGAUCAAAUUUGAUAGAUUCGCCUUCUGAAACAAGAAGUUCUGGCCCUGGAGGGAUAAUAUCAACCACUUGACGUCCAUCCGAUGCAUCCGUUAUGGUUAUUUCGUAACCCCCCUUUUCUUUUCGUAUUAUUUUGCCUACUAUACCUGCUGCUGUAGCAUUAUAAACCGUAUUGUUACUCUUGCUCCCGUCGGGAUAAAUCUGACCCCUUCCCCUGUUUCCGCCUACGUAUAUAGGAUAUUUUAAGAAGUGAACAUCUUUCUUAGUAGCGGGGUCCGGGGAAAGAAUAGGAAAGGUGAUUUCACUAUAUUUUUGACCAGGAACAGGGCCUAUCACAAGAAUAUUUUUUUUAGUGGGGCGAUAGCUCUGAAAAGAAAGAUUGCCUAUCCUUUCUUUCAUCUCGGGAGAAAUCCGAUCAACAGGAGCUAAUUCAAAACCCUCCGGUAAAAUAAGAACAGCCCCUACAUUCAAAGCCCCCUUUUUACCAUUAGCAAGAACUUGUUUUAGUUGCAUAUCAUAAGGGAUUCGAACAACUGCUUCAAAUACAGUAUCAGGAAGUACGGCUUGUGGAACUUCAAUAUCCACGGGCUUAUUAGCUAAAUGGCAAUUGGCACAUACAAUACGCCCAGUCGCUUCUCGUGGAUUUUCAUAACCCUGCUGUGCAAAAAUGGGAUAUGCACUUGAAAUGGAUGUCCGAGUUAUGAUAUAUAUCAUGAGCGAUGCGGAAAUGGAUCGAGUAAUCUGUUCCUUUAUCCAAGAAAAAGUCUUUCUAGUUUGCAUGGUCCAACCAUUGAUCCCGAAAAUUUCUACAAUAAAUUGGGUAGGUCGCUAAUAUAGUUCCCUAUCCGCGAUUCUGCUAUUUACUGGAAUAAUAUAUNNNNNNNNNNNNNNNNNNNNNNNNNNNNNNNNNNNNNNNNNNNNNNNNNNNNNNNNNNNNNNNNNNNNNNNNNNNNNNNNNNNNNNNNNNNNNNNNNNNNGAGAAUCAUCAAGCAAUAUCAAAUUCUGAGUUUGCUCCUCAAUAUUAUAUAAGUCAAAAUCAUGAAACUCUUCCUCUUGAUAUGUCUCUUCAUUACUAUUUUCGGCAACAUCAUAUGUGUUUCUUGCUUUUGUUGUGAUUACAGUAGACCAACCUUUAGCUUUAGUCGACACUGGAUUAGCAUAGAACACUUGUACAACUUGUGAUGCAAUAACAAAUGGCUCAUACGGCUUGUGCCUUGAAUUUGUAUCAAUUGUAGUUAUCCCGUACUUGUUAAUAACUACCCUUUUUUCAGAAUCAUACCAUUCACAUUGGAACAAAAAUACUGAAUUCUCUUCUCCAUAGUAUUCUAGUUCAACUACUUUAAUUAAUUGUCCAUAAUAGUCUCGUUCUUGGCCUUCAAAAGUACAUCCCUAGACUAAAACACCACUAUUUUGAGUUACCUUUCUUGACUCCAAUUCUUUUGUAUGGAACCUAAAGCCAUUGACAAUGAAUCCAUCAUAACAUGUUACCUCUCUAGACGGACCCAUAGCGAGCGCUUUUAGACGCGUAUCAACGACAUCAUCAUUCUUGACUCUCUUUUCAAACCAUUUUAUAAAUGUCGAAUUAUGUUCCUUUUAUAGCACUUUAUCCGACAUGUUUGGACGUAAUUCUUUCAAUAAAUGCUUGUGCUCCCUAGAAGUAAUGAAAUAAAUUAGUAGAUAUAGAGUAAUGAUUUACAUAUCUAAAAGUAAUAAACUUUAUAAGAAUUAAAAUGUCAUACUCGAUGAAAUCAAAGACUUCCUCAUAAUUAGACAAGAUGUAUAAGGUUGCUGCCUCGAGUUCUUUAUCAGAUAGAUCUUCACGUUUUCGUUUUCCUCCAAUUGGACGACCAGGCCUAGGGUGGCUAAAUAUUGAUAACUUUCCAUUAGUUUCAGCUUGACCGCCAUCGUCAUUUCGAUCAGCUCGGUUGAACUUGGUUUGCACCCUAAGAUCAAAAUAUCGAGAAGAAAAGUAAACUAGUUCGUCUAUUAUGUAUGCCUCAGCUAUUGAACCCUCGGGGCAAGCCUUGUUACGCACCCUUUUCUUCAAAGAACACAUGCACCUAUAAUUAUAUUGAAGUUAGGUAAUCACUUUAACUAUAAAAAAGCCUUGGCAAGAAAAGAGAUAUAAUUUAUUAAAACAUCACCUCUCGAAAGGGUACAUCCAACGAUAUUGUACUGGCCCUCCGACCUUGGCUUUAUAUGCCAAAUGAACAAGUAGAUGCUCCAUUGAAUCAAAGAAAGAUGGUGGAAAAAUCAUCUCAAGAUUGCAUAAUAUUUCAGCAAUAAAUAGCUCAAGCUUCUCUAACUCAGCUAACUUAUACACCUUAGAGCAUAUGUCUCGAAAGAAUUUGCACAAAGCAUUUAUUGGUUCCCAUAUAGAGUUUGGUAAGAAAUCACGAAAGGCCAAUGGCAAGAAUCUCUGCAUGAGAACAUGGCAAUCAUGGCUCUUUAGCCCAAUUAUUUUGCAAUUGUCAAGGUUAAUACAAUGAGAGAUAUUUGAAGCAUAACCGUCUGGAACUUUCAACGAUUUAAGCCACUUGCAAACUUGCUUGACUUCUUCGCUUUUUAAAGAAUAUUUAGCUUUUGGCAAUUUAAAUUUCCCAUUACCACUCUCUUCAGGAUGUAAUUCAAAUCUUAUACCAAGCUCUUGCAAAUCUAAACGAGCUUUAAGGUGGUCUUUUGAUUUUCUAGUAAUGUUCAUCACAGUGUAAAAUAAAUUAUCAAAAAUAUUUUUCUCAAUAUGCAUCACGUCUAAGAAAUGUCUUAUUAGAAGCAAACUCCAAUAAGGCAAUUCAAAGAAGAUACUUUUCUUUGUCUAGUUAUGCUCGAUUCCAAACCCAGGAGUCUUAUCGGUACUAUUGUUUUUAUCCUUUCCAAAGAUGACCGAACUAAAUUGAGAUACAAAAUUUAACUCCUCAACACCUGUUAGUCGAGGCGGGGGAUUUCUCCGUUCGGUUUUAUUAUUGAACUUACUCUUCUCAGCUCGAUAUUUAUGAUUACGCUUCAACCAACGACGAUGGCAUCCAAAAUAACUCGGCUUCCUCCCAUGUUUAAGGUUAAAAGCUACACUUGGAUCCAUACAAGGACAUGACAAGGCCCCAUGUGUACUCCAACCCUUCAAUAUGCCUAGCGCAGGAAAGUCACUGAUUGUCCAUAUUACAGCUGCUUUCAUAUAAAAAUUUUGCUUUGAGAAAGCAUCAUAUGUAUCAACUCCAACAUCCCACAAAGUCUUUAGUUCUUCUAUAAGAGGUCGCAAAUACACAUCAAUCUCUCUUCCAGGUCCAUGUGGACCUGGAAUAAGCAGUGACAUAAACAUGUACUCCUCUUUCAUACACAUCCAAGGGGGGAGAUUGUAUGGAACAAGGAAAACUGGCCAUGUCGAAUGAGGUUUGCUAGAAUGCCCAAAAGGAUUAAAUCCAUCAGUAGCUAAGCCAAGUCUUAUACUACGAGCAUCUUCAGCAAAAGAUGGGUAAUUGAGGUCAAAAUAUUUCCAAGCCUCACUAUCAGCAGGGUGCCUUAGCUCACCUGGAAUAUCACAUCAUUUUUCUUUGUGCCACCUCAUAGGCUCGGCCGUUUUUGAUGACAAAUAAAGCCUUUGAAGCCUUGGUAUAAUUGGUAAAAAAACUUAAGACCUUCCUUGCUAUUGGUUUAUUCUUUUUCCCUUUAACACUGCCAUGGUUUUUAUACCUAGAUUCGUUACAAAUUGGGCAAGCAUCUAAAUCUGCAUAUUCUCCUCGAAACAAGAUACAAUCAUUAUUACAUGCAUGUAUUUUUUGUAGAGGUUGCCCAAGGUCCUUCAUUAAGGCCUUGCAGUGAUAAAAUGACUCGGGUAAUUUAUUCUUUUUAGGCAACAUUUCCUUGAAAGCUGAAAGAAAAGCAUCAAAUCCAGCAUUAGACAAACAAUACUUGGAUUUUAGGUGCAACAACAAAGUUACGGCUAAUAACUUGGUGUGAUUUUGACAACCAUCCCACAAGGGCUCGUCUGCAGCCUUUAGAAGGUCAUAGAACUUCUUUGAUUCGCUAUUAGGAUCCUCAUCAAAUUUAGGGCUAAUGCAGCUUGUAAUAUCCCUUAACAUGUCUUUAGGCCAAUUUGCAAUUCCCUCAUCAAUAUCGUCAUCUUAAUUCCCUACUUUCUUAAGUGACUCCCCAUGCUCCGUCCAUGUAGUGUAGUUUGGUACAAAUCCAUGCUUAUAAAGACACAUUUCUACAUCUUCACGUGAUUUAUAGUUUAUGAAAUCACACUUGGCACAAGGACACCGAAUCAUGCCAUCAUCUACGCACUCAGGAUUAGAAAAUGCAAAAUCAAGAAAUGUAUUGACCCCACUCAUAAAUUCAUGUAUAUGUUUAGACUUUUUCCCAACAUGCCUAUACAUCCAACUUCGAUCAUCCAUCUACCAUUUGUAAUUCAAAUAAUUGAAAAAUGUUCAUUUAUGGUGAUAAUUAACCCUUUUAUGAAAUAGAAAAGAAAAAAAAAACUGUACUGACUUUACAACUUAUUUUCUAGCACACUGUUCUUAACAUGGUCACAACUUAUAAUUAAAGAAAACAACAUAUACUACCUGAAUUCAAGAUAAUAUUGGUUAUGAGGUAGUAAAUCAAACAGAGAAAGCGUAAUCAGAGAAAGCAUAUUAGAUUUUCUAAUUAAUGUUCCUAAUUAGUUUUAUAUUAGAUUUUUUACAUGCUACACAGGAAUUGGGGCCAAAUUCGAACAGAGAAAGCAUAAUCAAAAUUCUAAAAUAAUUGGGGCCAAAUUGGAACAGAGAAAGUAAAGAGGGAGACAAUAAACACCCAAGGAAGAGAGGAUUUACCUUCAAAAUCACAAAGCUUAACUUGGAUCACAACUUUGGUACGUAGAAGAAAGGGAGAUGGUUUUAGUUACCGUCUAUGGAGAAGAUGGGAAGAGUUGUUUAGAGCCGCAGAGAGCACUGGGCAGAGGCCGUCGACUGAGAGGGAGUAGUCGACUGUCGACUUUGUCAAGAAAGAGGCAAGCAAGUAGCAACUGAAGCAAUCAAACAAAGAGUGAAGAAGGAGAACUGAAGAUAAGGGCUAGGGCAAAUGUCAAAUGUGAAAGUGAAAUCAGAAAUGGACCGCCGACUCGGUCACUUAGGAUUAUAGAUAGGAGUGAGAUAUAAUAAUAUUAUAAAAUUGUUUUUUUUAAGAAUUACGGUUCGGUUAUUCGGGUAUCCAAAUAACCAGUUUUUGAACACCGAAUCUGUAAUCGAAUACUAAAUAAUAAUUCGGAUAUAACUGAAAUUGUAAAAAAACCGAAAAACCGAAAUAAUUCGGUUAAAAAAUUUCGAUUCGGUUCGGUAAUUCGGUUUUAUUCGUUUUUUGCUCACUCCUAGUCACUGGACAUUUAAUUUUUGUUGGCUUGUUGUUGCUGACUUGCUGUAUUUUGGACAGUUAAUUAGGCUUGCAUUAUUAAGUCAUAAAUUUCAUGUUGGCUUGUUGUUGCUGCUGGACAAGUAAGUUAACAGUUGCUGCCUGCUGGGCAGUUAAUUUGCUAAAUAGUUAACAGGGAAUUUAUGUUGUAUGAUAUUUCGGUUAUUACCCGAAUAUCCGAAAUUACAAUUCGGUAUUCGGUAAUUCGGUUAUUUUCACAUUUCGAUUAGAAUUUUGGAUAGUGGAAUUGUCAUUAAUUCGGUUUUCGGUUAUAACCGAAUAGCUUAUUCGGUUCGGUUAUAACCGAAUGAUCACUCCUACUAAUAACUUGGUAUUUUGAAUCAAAUAUCGGCAUCGACACAUAAGGCUGUAAAAUGAGCAAACAGUUCGGGGUCGAUUCGUACUCGCUCGACUAAAAGUUCAAUUCGAGCUCGACUCUAAAUAUAAAUGAGUCAAAUAUGAGCAAAUUUUAAAGUUCUAUAAAUUACUCGAACCUCCUCAAAUUAUAAUUUUCUAUUGAUACUCGGAUCAUAUUCGUUCGAAAAGUUCAAACUGUUCAGGCUCGAUUCGGAAUCGUACUCGACUCGAUAGCUAAAUGAUCCUCAAUCAAACCUUAUAAUAUACUUGAUAAAAUUUGUGAACCAAAUCUGAUAGAAAUACAUUACGAAAAUUUAAAAAGAUUAUAAAAUGAGUUUUAGUUUUAGUUGGACCAGAUUAAGUAAUCUCAAGUACAUGAAAUUAAAAAUAAAAUAAAAUUAACAAAUUGAAAAAAACAACAACUAGUAGACUCGGGCGUAAAUUAACUUUUAAGGGUUUAAUACACUAUUUGUACGUUCCAAAUUUUAUAUUUGACUUUGUACCAUUGACAUUUAUUUUUUCGUGGGCAUAUAUUUUUAUUAUUAUUAGUUAUUGUCAAUUUUGGUGGAUAAAUUAUUUAAUGUUUGAAGACUAUUUGGGGGAUAUUAAAUAUAUCAUUACUCAUAAUGAUAUUAAAUAUAGUGGGUGCAGAUGAUAGUAAUGUUAUAAAAAAAUUUCAGGCUUCACAAAGAAGAAUAUAAGUUAUUGUAUUAAGCUUCAAUACUUUUUGUAAGAGUAAUAAUUGAUAUUAAAACAUCAUUUUUAUUAAUAAUAUUAUUUUAAAAUAAUAAAAGAGAGGAGACUUAAUUUGUAGCUUAAUCUAAAGAAAGUAUAUAAAUUUUUAAUAUUAUUUUAAUUUAUUUUACUUUUUUGAAUAACAAAUUUGUACUUAAUUACUAGUGGAUCAAUUAAUUCAUAUCUCACAAAUUUACUAAAAAUAAUAAUUAAAUGAUACUCUUUUUUUUGUAGAACAAAGGGUAUAUCAAAAGAUAAUUAAAUCAAAAGAAAUUUAAGCUAAUUAAAUUUAAUUAAAAGAUAAUUAAAAUUUAAACAAACAAAAAUAGACUAAUUUAGUGGCAUAUUCCACUCAUUUUGAAGAAAUGGCGGGAUCUCUGUUUCUAUCUUUAAUUUCAAGUACCAUUGUAUAAACUUCCCCAUCUUUUCCAUAGGCAGCAAACUGAAACCCUACAUCCAUCUUCUACCAAAAUUGUGAUCCCAGUUAAGGUUGUGAUUUCAAAGGUAAGUCCUCUCUUUGGGUGUUUAUUCUCUCCAUCUUUCCUUUCUCUGUUCUAAUUUGUCCCCAAUUCUUAUUUUAGAAUUGUGAUUAUGCUUUCUCUUUUCGAAUUUGGCCCCAAUUCCUGUUUUUAUAGAGAUGUUUUACGAACUGUUAUUGACAAUUUGAUUGUUCAUGUGUUUGUGGAGAUUUAAUAUAUAUAUAUAUAUAUAUAUAUAUAUAUAUGAUUUUGAUAGCGUAUUUACUAAUUUUAANNNNNNNNNNNNNNNNNNNNNNNNNNNNNNNNNNNNNNNNNNNNNNNNNNNNNNNNNNNNNNNNNNNNNNNNNNNNNNNNNNNNNNNNNNNNNNNNNNNNNNNNNNNNNNNNNNNNNNNNNNNNNNNNNNNNNNNNNNNNNNNNNNNNNNNNNNNNNNNNNNNNNNNNNNNNNNNNNNNNNNNNNNNNNNNNNNNNNNNNNNNNNNNNNNNNNNNNNNNNNNNNNNNNNNNNNNNNNNNNNNNNNNNNNNNNNNNNNNNNNNNNNNNNNNNNNNNNNNNNNNNNNNNNNNNNNNNNNNNNNNNNNNNNNNNNNNNNNNNNNNNNNNNNNNNNNNNNNNNNNNNNNNNNNNNNNNNNNNNNNNNNNNNNNNNNNNNNNNNNNNNNNNNNNNNNNNNNNNNNNNNNNNNNNNNNNNAUAUAUAUAUAUAUAUAUCCCUCGAUUUAUAUAUGUAUGUUAAUUAGGUACGUAUAUGUAUGCAUGAAUAUAUAUGAAACUUUGUUAGUUAAUUACUUUGGUUGAGAAUGGAUUGUAGUUUGUAAACAAAUCUAAUAUGAAACUGAUUAGGAAAAGACUUAAAUUGGAAUUCUUCUUUUGGUUGAAUGGAAGGGUUACUCAUUACUUCAUUAAUUUGACAUUAAUUUUGUAUUAUUUUGUUUAAUUAUGUUUUGGUUGGUUAUGUUUUUCAUUUAUUUUAUUCUAUUCCAAGUCAUUAAGAGCACAUGAUGUUUUAGGUAAAACACUGAUUCUACUGGACAGAUGAUUCAUGUACAAAACCAAAGUUAGUGCACACACCCUAUUAUUUAAUAUUCAAAACAUUGGGUUGCUGUUGGGGUGGGUCUGUAGGAGGGCAGGGGUGGAGUUGCAGGGGAGGCGAAUGGAAGAGGGCAAAAGUGCUGGAUGAAGGAGGGACGUUGGCAUGUUCUUGAAUGAUGGUAACCCAUUCUUUAUACAUUUUGAAUGAGAGUGGUUAAUUGCAAAAAAGCACUUGCAAUAGCUACAUUGAAAUUGGUUCCAUUUAUGAGGGACAAGAAAAGCAGCAGUGGGCAGUAAGGAACUGCUAUAACAGUUUUGGGUAUAUCAUUCUAGCUCUAGAAUCUAGUUUGAAGACUUAACCAUAGAGUUUUAGUUUUAGUUGGAGCUGUACAUUCUUUACCAUUAAUGAUUAGUGAUUCUAUUCAAAGUUACCAUGCUUUUUUAAGUUCUCACUUGGGUUUUUGUAAAUGGGUCAAGCUUUGCUUAUUGUGUGCAAGAAAAUCUGAUAUCGCUGUGAAAUCUAUAGUAAGAAAAUUAAAAAUGGUCACUUUGAUAUACUUGCACUUAAUUGAUGCCCACAAUUGUCGUCUUUAAUUGUACUAAUCCAUCAAAGGAGCAUGUCAAUAUUGUUCUAUUCAGCAGUACUAUGAUUUAAUUGAUGCCCUCAUAGUAUCCAUCAAAAGAACAUUUAAUCUUGAUGUAACCAGCAUGCCACGGAACCUGACAUGUGUAGCAAAAAAGCUUUUUACAGUUCAGACAUAUUAGAAAUGAUUGUUCCAUUGAAAUGAUUGUUUGGCAUAUUAGAGGAUCUAACAAGUGAUUACAGUCCAAAGUGGACGACAUUUAAUGCUGGCUACAUUGUCUUCAACUUUUACUUCGAUGUACUUGGUGAAGCAAUCCACACAAAAAGGAUGAAAACAUUCAUCAUUCUUCUUGAAAACAUUCAAUGCAUAUCUCACAAGUGAAAGUUGAACUCUCUUCUUCACCUGAUUUAUCCUCUUCUGUUUUCGCCAAACUCACCUCUUGUUUUUAGCUGUGUGUUCCCCAUUGUUUGUUCUGUUUCUGUUGCAAAAAAAUCAUCAGCUCAUGUGAGAAACAAUUAGAGAAAGUGGAAUUGUACAACAGAAACAUGCAUGAAGUUGUAUAUUAUUGCAAAAUAAAUGGCAACUCUUUCUACAAUUACAAAGAAAAUGCCAAACACAUUUUGAAUUUGCAGCUACAACUAUUACAUGUGUUAUACAAGAGAUGAGAAUACAUUUUGAACAUGCAUGUGUCAAUUUGUGAUCUACAACACAUUUUGAAAAUGCCUAACACAUUUUGAACAUGCAUGUGUUCUACAAUUACAUGAAUUAAUUUGCAUGUGUUGUACUUUGUGUUGUGCAUAUAGUAAUAGGUUCAAUUAAAUGUUGUGUCAAGUGAUAGUGCUAAUUUAUUUAUUUUUUGAUAAAAAAAUGUACAUGCUUGUGGUAUAAUUUCAAACUAGUUUUCCAAUGAGUCAUGAUUAAUUAUUGCUGAUUAAUAUGUUGGGUAUAUAAAUUGUUCUUUGUACGGUUGAAUGUUAUUGUCUUGACAGGUAAGAUGCUAAUUGAUUUUGGAGCUAGUAGAGUAGUGAAUAAUUUUGAAAUUGUAUUACAACAUCAUCUUGAAUAAUUUCUUUUAUUUAUCCUAUAUUUAAUUAUAAGUUUUUUUUCUUCUCCAGCUAUGGUGAGAACUAGAGGUGGGAGUAGUCUUUCCGGUAGGAGAUCAACUCUUCCUCAUAAUAGUGGCGAGACUGUUAACAUGAACAGAAUGAGAGAUGAGCCUAUUGUAUCUCAUGAUAGUGGUGAGAGUAUUGAUAGGGCUACACCGAAUACUACACAAGCCGAAAGGUUAUCUCGUAAGAAAAGGGGGCCAACUCUAGGGAUAAUAAAGCCUAAAACAGGCCAAACAAAGAUGCUUGUUAAUAUCAUUGGACAAAAGUAAGUUUUUACUAAUCUACUCGUGCUUGUCAAUAUGCAAGUUACAUACAAUCAAUUCUGGAUACGUUAAAGAUUCAUUUUCUGACACAUAAUAUAACGUCCGUUUUAACUAUAACAGGGUAAUCUAUGUAGCACAAUGUAAUCCAAAGAACAUAAAAGCAACUAAUCAUAUCAUGUUACUAUAAAAAGCAAUUAAUAGGGGUUCCAUUUAACAAGAUUUGAUUAAUCCUAUUGUGACAACUUUGUUUCUACUUUUCAUUAUUGUUGUACUAAUCAUAUCAUGCUAUGUUACCAUAUCUUGUAAUUAGCUUCCUUGAACCUGAAGCUCGAAGCAAGACUCACAUAUUAUUUCAAAAACGUUUUAAAGAAGCUCGAACCAAAUUCGAGCAAUGGCCAAAACAUGAAAUUGAACUUCUUUGGGGAGAAUAUUUGGUAUGUUUUAAUGAACACACAUUUUAAUUGUAGAAAAAAGUUUAUCAAAAAGUGUAUUAUUCAUUAUAUAUUAAUUAUUAUUUUUACUUGUGGAUGGUGUUAUAGAAAUAUUUUCGUUUCUCUUCAUCGAAGGAGGAGGGAAGGGGUCGAAUCAUAUGGGAGGAAAAUGCACGAAAAAGCUACCCAAACUAUUUAUGGAGAUGGAAAGAUGAUGCCAUUAAGAAGUUUGGCUCCAUUGAGGAAGCAAGGGAUAAAAAGCCUAAUUGGACAACUCUUGAUGUGUGGCAGGAGAUGUGUGAUUAUUGACUGAGUAAAGACUUUUUAGACUCUAGUGAGCUACAAAAAAAGAACAGAAACAUAACUACGUAUGUUCCUCACACAUCAGGCUCCAUAUCGUACGCCGUUAGGAGGGAACAAGAGGUAAAUUAUAAGUUGAUAAAAUCAAAUUAAUAAUAUGCGUAGUCGAUAAAUGCACAUGAUAAUGGUAAAAGAUUCAUAUCAUGAUGCUCUGUUUGGAGUUUUUAAGUGUUCAUGUGGUAUGUAUUGCUUAUUUUUAAUAUUAAUGUUUAUAAUUAAAAUAAUUAUUAUUUUGCUUGUUUUGUCUUAGAAACAAAGACUGCAUCGUCCGCCAACGCAAUAUGAGUUAUAUAAACAAACUCAUAUGAGGAAGGAGAAGGGUAGCGAGGAAAAAACGUGGGUUUGUGAUGAAGCAAAGAGGAAUUUGGUAUGAUUUUCUCUUGUAAAAUUAUAAACUUUGUUUACUCAUGCGAAAGUGAAGAUUGUUGUUCGUUCUUUUCAUAAUUAGUUAUGAGUAUUGUUAAUUAUAUAUACAUAUUUUAUGCAUUGUAUAGGAUGAUUAUGAGAGAAGACUCUUAGCCAAACAUGGUGAUACAGAUAAGCCCGUGAAUGAGUUAGAUGAUCCAAAUUUGGAGACAUGGCAGAAAACUGUUGGAGGCGUCAAAAAGGGUAGACUUGUUGGUCGACCAGGGGAAAAAUGGAGUUCUCGUCGUGGUUCGUAUUGUCCAUCUUUGGUUGCAGAUGAGAACUAUAUUAAAUUAAAGAAAAUGGAAAGCUACAUGACUUAUAUUCAUCAAUACACAAAAAAUAUGGCCGAAACACUUGCACUUGAUCCUCCUAUAGACUUUUGUGAUUUGUUUGCUUCAUCAAAUGCAUCAGCUGAUAUUCCAACGAAUAACUCAACCACGCAUGCUGAGAAUGACAACGGAGAUGAUGACGACUCUCAAGAAAACUUCAUGGAGAAUUCAGGAUGAUUUAGCUCUGCUUUACUUAUCAAUUUUAUUAGUUUAGGGUUCUUUGAUAGAUGUUGGGUUUGUUAAUUGUUUGAUGAACCUAUGACAUGUAGUUACCUAUUUAAGUAGUUGGUAAUGAAUUUAUUUUUAAUUAAAUGGAUCAGAUUUCUUCAUUUUAAUAAAUUUGUAUGAUUUUACGUUUCAAAUUUAUUGUAAUUUAUGUCAUUUAUAAAUUUGAAAUAUAAAAUUGGCAAUUAAAUAUAUUUUAAUAUAGGAAUUUGGUGAUGGCUUUACUAUCACCAAAACGUAUAAAAAGGUUACAAAAAUAGGAAUAAUUGUGAUUGCUUUAGCCAUCACAAGAGACUUAUGCCAUCACAAAAGAAUGUGAUUGUUUUGGCCAUCACAAAUAAUUGGUGAUUGUUUUGGCCAUCACAAAAAGAUGUGAUUGCUUUGGCCAUCACAAAUAAUUGGUGAUUGUUUUGACCAUCACACAAAGAUGUGAUUGCUUUAGCCAUCACAAAUAAUUGGUGAUUGUUUUUACCAUCACAAAAAGAUGUGAUUGCUUCGGCCAUCACAAAUAAUUGGUGAUUGUUUUGACCAUCACAAAAGAUGUGAUUGCUUUGACCAUCACAAAUAACUACUAUGCUAUCGAGAUUACUUUCGCCAUCACAAAUAACUUGUGUGAUUUCGUGAUGGUCAAACUAAUCACAAAAUACAUGUGCGCUAAUGUGACUGAUUUAGUCAUCACAAAAGGAUCGAAUGUUUUGGUGAUUGCCAAAACCAUCACGUAAAACCUUUCAUGAUGGACGUAUACAAAACGGCCAUCGUGAUGCUUAAAAUCAUCACGUAAACCUUUCGUGAUGGUUUUUUUAGUUUUUGUGAUGGAUUUUUGCCAUCACAAAUGACCAUUUUUUUAGUAGUGAUCGAAAGGACGUGGAAUUUAAUAUUGGAGAUCACGUGUUGUUACGUGUUGCUCCAUGGAAAGGAGUUACGAGAUUUGGAAAGAGAGAAGCUCAAUCCUCGAUUCAUUGACCCAUUUUUAAUCCUCGAGCGAGUAGGAACUAUGGCCUAUAGACUCGCCUUACCGCAAAGUAUGUCUCGUGUUCAUAACGUUUUUCACAUAUCUAUGUUACAUAAAUAUGUGAAAGACCCGAACCACAUUAUUGAAUUAGAACCAGACAAGAUAGAGGAAGAUUUAACAUAUGAAGAGUUACCUAUUAAAAUCUUGGAUAAGAAGGAUCAUAUUCUACGCUCCAAGGUUAUACCUCAAGUCAAAGUUUUAUAAGAGAAACCACGAUGUGGAGGAAAUGACCUGGGAGUUAGAAUCUGAGAUGAAGUCAAGAUAUCCUCGUCUCUUCGAUAUACCAGGUACGUACCCUAGUUUCGAGGAUGAAAUUUCAUAAGAAGGGGAGGUAGUAAGACCCCAACUUUUAUGAAUAAAGAAUAAUUUUCUCAAAAUAUAUUUUUGAAUAUUAUGGUGUGGAUUUGAUAUAAUGUUAUAGUUGUGGGUAUUAUUUACAAAUUUUGCAAAGUAAGCAAGUGGUUAUAUAAUAUUCGAUUGGUCGGGGAAUAUUCGUUUUAACAGGGAAUAUUCGUACGACGGUACAAUCAUUGGUGGACCCCACAAAGAAAGUAUUGUUGUAGUUAAAAAACGACAGAAUUAUCUUUUUAUAAAAAUAAUGGCGAAAGUGUUGCCGUUAAAACUGUUGAACUAACCGGUAAUAAAAGUACAGUAAUACGCGUGGUUGCAUAGUAGUACACAGUAUUGAUUAUUGAUGUUUACGUGAGAAGUCACUCAGUUAUACUCAAUUAUUACUAUAGUAAUUGUUGCAUCAUAUCUCUCAUAUUAUUGAUUCAAUUAUUGUCACAGUAUCAUCUGCAUAAUAUGUUAUAUUAUCAAAUCAAUAAUUGAGACGACAAAGUUAUUAAUAUUAUUAAAUUACAAUAUUGACAAUGUCUUGAAGUUCUGUCAAGGAGAGGUUAGAUAAUCUAAUUGCGCGCCAAUAGGGAGAAAUCCUCAUCGGAAAGCCCCCUCUUUCCUGGAAACUACCUGGUUGUUAAAUAUUAUGAGUUAUAAUAUUAAUGAUGAAUAAGUUUGUGUUGAUCAAAGAUGAAAUUAAUAGUUCCAUUGUAUGGAAAUUAUUAGUGUUAGUUGAAAAUCGACAUUUAUUUCGAUAAUAAUUGAUGUCUGGAGGUUUUAUUGACCAAUCGGGUAAUUAACCGGAUAAAUGAGCAAUUAAUUGCUAUUUAUUCACAUGCUUAUAACUAUGUGUUCACAUGUGUGUACUAUUGAUUCACAUGCAUGUACUGUUAGGGGAGUUGGUGCAAGAUUGAUAAUACUUGCAUGACUAAAUUAAAAAUUGAGGUAUAGAUGAAGGUACUAUACUAUACUUAAUUUUUUCACAUGUUUAGAACUAUUGAGUCACAAGAUUUACUAUUGAUUCACAUGAAUUACUAUUAGGGGAGGUGGUGCAAGUUUGAUAAUACUUGCAGGACUAAAUUAAAAAUAAAAAAAAAGAGGAAGGUAUUAUACUGUAAUAUUUUGAGCCCCAAAAUGUGCAAUUAUUGAAACUAUAUUUUCCUAUAAAUAGAAGCUCAUUCUUCCUUCAUUUCUUACCAAUUCACUAAAGCUAUAGAACAAUUAUUAUAGAGAGAAAUUAUAGAGAGAAAGAAGAAGAGAAGUAUGCUACCUCACUACUCCAGUAUCCAGUUUUCUUCUAAGGUAAGGGGUAUUAUUUCUUUCGUAUUCAUGAAGAGAGUUAUUUCUUUCAAUACUCGUAAGGGUUGUUAUUCCAUUCUUUAUUAUUCUGUUGGAAUAACCUGUAUAGGUGGAUUACCGAAUGCGGUGUGAAAUUCUUCUGUUAUUCCAUUCUUUAUUAUUAUGUUAGAAUAACCUGUCUGUGCAGAUUAUGCACGCCUGGUGAAUUCUUUUGUUAUUCCAUUCUUUAUUAUUUUGUCGGAAUAACCUGUCUGUGCGGACUACGCACGCCUGGUGAAUUCUUCUGUUAUUCCAUUUUUUAUUAUUCUGUUGGAAUAACCUGUCUGUGCGGUCUAUCGCAUGCCUAGUGAAUUCUUUUGUUAUUCCAUUCUUUAUUAUUUUGUUGGAAUAACCUGUCUGUGCGGUCUAUCGCAUGCAUGGUGAAUUCUUCUGUUAUUCCAUUCUUUAUUAUUCUGUUGGAAUAACCUGUCUAUGUGGAUUACCGCAUGCAUGGUGAAUGAUCCUUUGUAUUCAUUCCUUAUUAAAUUGUGGAAAUGAUAUGUCUACGUGGAUUACCGCAUGGCGGGCAAAAAUCCAUUUGCAAUUUUAUAUAUUCUAUUAUACUCAGUUGCUUAAAGUUUUGGCUUCUAUACUCCAUGAAAUUAGUAGAAUAUCCUGGAUAUUUGCGCUUCAUCCAAUAUCUUUUCAUGGACAUAUUCUUCUGAGCAUUCUUGAAUUUUACUCCACAAAGCAGUAUUAUGUUGACAAAUUGGAUGUUAUUAAUUUCUGGAUAAAUUAAAUUAUAAAUCUUUAAUAUUUAUCCUUGAACUUGUUUUAUUGAAUUAUUAUGUCAUUGUCAUCAUCCUCAUGCUUAUAUUGUGAUGAAAGUCAUCUUUGGCUUACGUGCAUAGAUGGAUUUGGUAUAAUUAUGACCAGGAAUUAUUCGGUAUAAUCAUGACUGUAAUGUGACGAAUGAUGUGGUGAAAGUCCUCAUUGGCCUGUAGUUCAUUGAUGGACAGUUGUUGGUAUGAUUAUGACCAGGGAUUAUUCGGUAUAAUUAUGACCAUUGAUGAUUACACGAGUAUCCUUGGCCAUAAUGCAUGGAUGAUUCGAUUUUAUUUAUUAAGCUGAGUCUCAGCGAUAAAGUUGAUGAAAAACUUUUUAAGUCAUAGAAGAUAGUAGAUUUUAUACUCUAUAAUUGACUCUUCUAAUGGAUUGCUUAUUCCGCUGUAGUUUUUUAUCUAAAACUUAUUGUCUAUUAUAUUCUUUCAGUUGUUAUACUGUUGAAGGCUAAGGAUAAUUUAUUUUGCAUUAUCUUAGUAAUAAUAUUUCUUACUGGGCUUGUUGAGCUCACCCUUUUCUUUCAUGGUUCUCUUCAAGAAAUGAGAACGUAGCUGGGACUAGUCGGGGAACAGAGUGACGGUCCAGAUGUUUGGAUUAGUAGUCCUCACUAUUCUGUGAAAUAGUGUGAUAAUAAAUGUAAUGAGGACUCCAUUGAGUGUGGAUAUUGUCUAGAUGACAAUAUUCUUAUUAAAACUCUUAGAUUAUGUUUUGUCGUAUUUUACACGACUGUUGUACAAUUAAGUUGUAUUUGAAUUUUGUACCAUGUAUCUGGCGACUCAAGAUGGCUGAUGUAUACCUAUUUUGGUGGCGUCACAUUAACCCUAUUGUUAUAUAUAUUAUAUCCGAUUAUUGUUUAUCAACAUAAUAUUAUACUAUAUAAUUCAGAUAUAUAUUCUGUUCAUUAAUUUCUAAAAAUGAUUAUACAAGUGUCUCCACCUGGAUAAUCAUUGUAUUUAAUCACAUGUUGAUAUAUAUAUAUAUAUAUAUAUAUAUAUAUAUAUAUAUAUAUAUAUACCUAUUGAACCCCAGUAUGUAUACAUUAAGUAAAAGUCGUCUAAGCUAUUCGACCAGCUAGACACAAAUUUAGUUAUAUCGUUUAAUAUGACAAAACUUUUUUGUAUCCAAUCAAAUUAUUUUGGUUCGGAUUCCAGACUAAGUAUGAACAUCCCGAACAUGAGAAAACUUUUAUGCGCCCAAGGCGGACAGAGUAAACGAUAAUAUCUUUCUUUCAUGCAGUAUUGAUCAAUACAGGGUCCAUGGGAUGUAUACCCUCGUGCCCGUAAGUUAUGACGGUUUGCAGAUGAAGUUCUGUUUAACCUUUUUGAAAAUAGAAAACAAUGUGUAUGUCACCCUAACCCUAUAUAUAGUCAAUACAUAGUUUCAAAAAUGUGAGAUAGAGUUGAUAUGUUAUUAUUAUCAGUUUAGUUUACUUCACAACUAUUGAAUCGUUGUAGAAGUAAUGUACAAAGAAAACAUUUAAUUCUUUCAGAUAAUUAUAUUUAUAAUUGUUAUUACUUGCUGGGCACUCAAAUGCUCAUCCUUGCUUAAUUUAAAUGUUUUCAGCUAAGCGUGAUCAACCUGAAGGUUUAGACAAUAAUAAGUGAAAAGGAAAGCAAACAGAAUAUGUUUAACGGUAUCUUUUGUAAUAGUUAAACUGUAUUAAGAUAAUGAUAUGUAUUAUCUAUCAUGUAAAGAAUUAUAGUAAAUGUUGCGUACUUGGGAUUAGACUAUGAUAUUUGUAAAUUAAGUUUGAUUUUUAUAUUAUUGUUAUUAUUAUUAUUAUUAUUAUUCUGCUCAUAAAAAUGGUAUCGUGAAGCACCGAGUUCGGGUUUCAAGUACCUAAAUUUGGGGGCGUCACAGUAUGGUAUUAGAGCUAUAGGUUAGAAACCUUAGGUGGGUUAAACCUUAGGCUAUAACCUUAGAACAGAGGGGAACGUUGAAAAUACAAAUAACUCAUAUAGAGUUUAUAAGGAGAUGAAUUUAAUAAAUUCAUCGUGAAACAAAAUAAAAGAUAACUAAUAAAACUAUUAUUUGCUAUGUGUUUAUACUUAGUGUUAAUCCGGAUAAUUUAUUUGUAUAGAUGUCAGAUAGAAAAAGAAUUAGAAUACCCUCAGAUCAUAAAGAAAGAGCAAAUCUCCAUGACCGAGCCAAUAUUAAAGCUAAUAGCUGAAAUAGAGGCACACAUUGAAAACUACCUCAAAGAGGAGGUUAUUUUGGAAAGUAUAAUACCAGAUCCAGAGACGAUAGUAUAACAGAUAGGUUGAGUGUAGUUAAAGAAUAUAUGGUGAAGCUUGAGUUCUUAAACUCAUUUAUUUGUGGUAAGUUCUUAAACUCAUAAUGUGUAGUAAGAAAAAGGGAAGUAUUUUAGAAUACCUCAUAUCAUUCUCGAAUUACUACUUCAUCUCCUCACCAGCUCUUGAACCCUUGACCUCUAGAAACUCAAUAAUCAAACGAGUACCAAAUGUCUACAAGGAGGACUAGUAUAGUUAUGUGUUAAUGGAUUAUUGAGGAUAAUAGAAUAUAUAGAAUGCUAAGCAAUUGAUCAUUAGUAAAGACGUAAGAAAUAGAUAGUGUUAGUAUUACUUGAAUAGGUAUGAUUCUAUGUGGUGUAAAUGAUAAGUAUGUCUGUGUAAGGAAAUAUUCUCAACUUUUGUAUAAGUUAUGGCUGCGAUUCCUGACUUGUGUGUUAUAAAGGAAUAGCGGAUGUUUAAAGCAGUAUGUGCUAUGGUAUGUCAAGUGAUAUGAAUAUGAGUCUAUGUUGGAUUAACGAAAUAAGUUGAUAUAAAGAUAGUAAUUAUUUAUCUGAACACUGGUUAAUACAGUAAACCGAAUUUUCAAAAUCUAAAAUUUUGAGUACAUGAUUAUUUGAAUAGAAAGUUUUGCGUUAUUUGAGAUGCAUGUACGAUAAGGCUUAGAAUGUAAGUUAAUAAGAAUAAUUUAUGAUAAUGCCAUCGAGAAGAAGAACCUGUCAAUAAAGCUAGAAGAUAACCAGACCCGCCAUAUAAUUUUGCGAAUGUGGACGCUCAAGCUAUGCAGAACGGAAUCCCAGCCGCGGGAAAUCGGCCAGAUAAUCGAUCGACAAACUUUAGAGACUUCAAGGCAAUCGUACUGCCAAGAUUUAGAAGAUCAACUGAUCCUGUUGACGCGUUUGUGAUAGUUAGGGUAACAUAGGGGCAAAAAGACAGCUUUUGCCACCUAUACGAUGAAAGGAGAUAGUUUUGAUAAUACCUGAAAUAAGCCAAGAGUGUGAUGGAAAGGAAAGUUUGUGUGUUGCAAAUGUGGACAGGAGGGAUAUAUCUCUCCUAACUCUCCCAAUCCAAAAGUGUAUAGUGGGUGUUUUAUUUGUGAGUUAAGGGAGCAUAAGGUGAAAGACUGUUUAAGAAAGAGAAGGGAGGCAAGGAAUGCGAAUACGAGGAGAGGCAGCAGGACAUUGACGACAACGAGACCAACUUCAACAAACAAACUGACGGAAUCAACCGCAAGAGUCAUCAACAUGACUGUUUAGGAUUCGGUAGCAGCCGGGGAUGCAACUCCAAGUAUUACUCGAACCAAUUUUAUUUUCUUAUAUAUGAUUUUCUUAUAUAUAUAGUAAAUUAUUUUAUAAAUUAUUUUGAAGGAGGAAUUUGAGUUCUUUUAGAAAUCAAAUUUCUGUUUAUGAAGAUAGAUAAGCUUUUUGCUGAAUAGUUAAAGAUCAGUUAGAUCAAUUAUGAUCGAGAUCUACUUGCAAUGAUUGUAUAGGUUAUGUACCCUUAUAUGUAUAGGUUUUAAAACGGUGAUUCCGGGGACGAAAUCUUUAUAAGGGAGGGUGAAUGUAAUAACCCGAUAUUUUCUAUAUAAUUAAAUCAGAAAUUUUGUGUAUGAAUUUAUUUAUUUAUUUAUUUAUUAAAGUUGGAAAUAUGUGCCAGGUAAUGUGUAUAUGUAUAUAUGUGAUAAAUAAAAUAUAUUUAUUGCAUGAAUAAUUACCAAUAGUUUUAUUUUAGAAUUAUUGCUCAUUAUAAAUUAUAUUAUAAUAAUAAUUAGUUUUAUAGUAGAAAUGUUUUUAUUAAUUCUAUUCUAUGAAAAUGUGUUUAUAUAUUAUUUAAAAAUUAUAUGAAAUGAUUAAAGACUUAUUAUAAUGAUUAUUCUGUUUUAUUAUAUGAAUUUUAGUUCAGAUUAUUUAAGUUAAUUAUUUUAACUUAAUUAUUAUUGUUAUGUAUGCAAGAUAAAUCAGAUAUGGAAUCCAAAUCCUAAUUUUGGAUUUUGAACAACGAAUGAGAAUAAUAAUAUAAUAUUAAUUAUAUUUUUAUUCUUCAGUGCUAUAAAUAUGUAUGUUAUGUUUGUAAGGUUAAUCUGGGGAGCAAUUUCCUUAUGACCUGAUAAAACCCUAAUUUGAAAGUCAAUUACGACUGUAAAAUCUGUUAAGUCAUUGUGAUAUGUGGUAUAUGAUUUGUAUUAUAAGUAUUAAUGUUAAUUAUAUAAAACCCUAAUUAGUAAUUUAAAACUCUAUUUUUCUUAUAUUAGAAACCCUAAACAGUAAUUAGCUAUCCGCUAAGUGGAAACCCUAAUUUAAAACUCAACUAUGAGUUUGAGACUAUUAUGUAACUGUGUUAUUAUGUUUAAGGUUAAGUAUUAUAGAAUUUUAUAUUAAUUAGAGAAACCCGAAUUAACAUUUAGAAAUCCUAAUUUCCAGAAACCCUAAUUUCUAAAUUAGUAAACCUAAUUUCUAAAUUAGUAACCCUAAUUUACUAAAAUAAAAUCCUAAUUGUUAAUUUAGCACGCUUAAUGAUAAUUAGUAAAAUCUAAACCUAAUUUUCAAGUCUAUGUAAUGAGGAAACCAAAUUAAUUACGAAACCUUAAUUUGUAUUUUUAGAAACUAAAAAUUUCAAUUUUUGUUUAAAUUAGAAAUCCUACAACACUUUGUGCUAAACCUUAUGGUCAAACCCUAAGGGUCAAACCCUAAGUGUUUGAUAAGUUACUAGUUUGCCCUUAAAUUGGUUAGCCAAAUGACAAAAAUACCCCUCUUGCAUUAUUGGACAUAACUUGUAAGACUAACCAAUUUUGAGUUGCUCAACAACUCUUACCAGCCCCAUUUGACUAAAAUGCCAGCAAUUAGCCAACUUGAUUUCAUGUUAUAUAUAGAGAGAUCAGGAAAGAGAAAUUUCAUUUAUUAGCCACAUUUGUACAAAAAACUCCUUACCAACUCUCUCUCUCCCAAAACCCACGAAAUGUUGUAGUAGAUCAGUCCCAUAUUAAAGCCCCACUAACACACUUAACCAAAUCAGCAGCCAGAAUCAAGAAUUGAUGUUUAAAGGUAUAAAAUCCUAAGUUAAAGUUUUGAUCUUGUAUGCUAUAUUGGAUUUAUGGUUUUUAUGUUUAAUCAUGUAGAAUAAGGUGUUAAUAGGUGAUCUGGGUUGGCACAUGUUAGAUCCAUAACAUCAAAGUGCUCGAAAUCUAAGUUUUUCAAAAUCUGGAAUUUUUUGUUUUUGUUGUCUGACAGCGAAUGUCAGGCCUUGUAGAUCUGUGCUUGUUUAUUGUUUUGAUGAUUUAAAGGUUUGAAGUGGUAGUUUGGUAUGAGGUCUUUCAUAUGAAAGUGGAAUCACUGUUAUUGGAUGUCUAGAUCGAAAGUUAUUGAUGGUCAAAAGUCGUUGACCAACCAUGACCGAGUGUAAAUCUGGGCAACCCAGAAAGCUUUUUCAGCGUCUGACAAUGUUUUGGAAGGCUUAGAUCUGUCAGUGUGUAAAUGAUUUGAUGAUGUUAUAAUAUACAGUUUAUAGCCUGUCAUAUGUACUUUAUAUUUGUGGCUUUAGAUCCUUUAAACAAACAAUUGAUCAAACUUAGUGGAUGGUCAAACUUGGCCCCUCGGUCACGAUUUCAUUUCUGGGAAUUUCCAGAAAAUCGGAAGAACAGCCCUCUGACAGGGUUUGACCAAGUUAUAUCUUGUAGAUCUGUUGAUGUUAAACUGAUUUGUUGUUAUAUUAUUGUUCCUGGACAUAAGGACUACAUCUUUGAGGCAUUAGAUCACUUGAAUCAUGAACGGAACCUAGAUUAAAUCGAGGAUGAAAGUGACUGGUCGACCACCUGGGUUUCUGGAAAACCCAGGAAUGCUCUGACAACAUAUUUGCAAGCCUAGAUCUCCUUGUGUGUUUGUUGUAUGACCUAGAUAUUGAUUGCUAGUUAUAGUGUUGUAUAAUGACUUCAAUAUUGAUGCUUAAGUUUGCCCAGAAACGAAUUAGACAGAGAAUUAUUAGUGGUCAAAGUUGACCCCUCAAACACAAAGCUAUAAGUGUUCUUGAGCUCAAGAACACCAACAGCGACGCUUACUGUCGCUAAAAGCCAAUAACGACGGUUUCUAAUACUUUUAAUUUCUGAUUUUUCGAAAAAUACUUAAAAAUAGAAAAUAAAUUAUAAAAAUUACAAAAAUGGUUUUAAAAAUUAUUUUCAAUUAUGAAAAAUAACUUUUAAUUAUUUGGGAUAUUUUUCAUUAAUAUUUAUAUAUUUUUUAAUAUUAAUAAUAUUUAAUUUAUUUAAUUAGUGUAUUAAAUAAACUAGAGAAAAAUGAUUUUAAUGUUAUAAAAAUCAAUUGAAAUAAGAAUAAAGUGUUUAAAAAUAUUUUUGAGUUAUAUAUGUAACUUUUAAUAUUUUUGUGAUGAAUUUCAUUAAUUAAUUAAUAUUGGUGAUAAUUAAGUAAUUUAAUAAAUGUAUUAAAUAAAUUAUGAAAAAUAGAAUUUGUGAUUUAAAAAUCAUAUAAAAGUGAUUUAAAGAUUAUAAAAAAAUAUUUAAAGUUAUAAAAUAUAACUUUUGAUAUUUUGUCAUGAAAAAUAUUAAUAAUUUAAUAUUAAUAAUAUUAGAUUUAUUUAAUGAUUAUAUUAAAUAAUUUAGUUUAAAAAUAAUUUUAUUAUUAUAAAAAUCAUUUUAAAUGAAAAUAAAGUGUUUAAAGAUAUUUUAAGUUAUAAAAUAUAACUUUUAAUAUUUAAAGGAUAAUUUCAUUAAUAAUUUAAUAUUAAUGAUAUUAAUUUAAGAUUUAUUGAUAUUAAAUUUAUUUAAUAAUUAUAUUAAAUAAAUAUUUUUAAAAUGGUUUUAUUAGUUUAAAAAUCAUUUAAAAGGAUAUAAUUGAAUUAAAAAUAUUUUAAGUUGGAAUUAAUGACGUUUAAUAUUUGGAUAAAUAGUAAAUUAAUAUUUUAAUAUUAAUGGUAAUUAUUUAAAAAUGAUUUUAAAUGUUUUAAAAAUCAUUUAAGGGUAGUAUUAGUACUUUAAAAAUAUUUUGAGUUAUUAUCAAUAACUUUAAUAUUUUGGUAAUGAUUAUAUUAAUAAUUUAAUAUUAAUUAAAUAUUAAUGAUAAUAUGAUUAUGUACUAUUUAAAUCAUUUAAUUAUGAUUCCAGUGUUUGAAAUUUCAUAAUAAAUUAUAAUAAAUGUUUAAAAAUUAUUAUAAGUCAUUUAAAAAUAAUAUGAUUGAUACUUGUAGAUAUUGAGAUACAAUAUAGAGUCUUAGACUCGAUAUUUACCCAAUAAAGCCGUCGGUAGACCGACAUAUUUUAAAAAUUGAUCUAGACUUAGAUAUUUGACUGUAUUAAUGUUUGUUUGUGAUUUAAUGAUUGUUGAAUAUGUGUGACAAUGUGAUUAGGUUAUGUCCUAACUGCAAUAAGAAGUGCUAUGUGUUAUAGUAUGUUAUUCUAAUCGAACAAAUGAUUUUAUUAAUGAUAGGUUUUGGUAUUAAAGAUAAAACUAAGUUGUGUAUUGUAAGUAGCAGACCAGACAAGUAUCCUAUCUUUGCAUUUUCAUUAUGCAAUGGACAUGAGUAAGAAGUUUAGAACUGUAUUACUACUGUAUCAGAUUAUUAACCCUAUUGUUAUAUAUGUUAUAUCCGAUUAUUGUUUAUCAACAUUGUGACGACCCCAAAAUAGUUAUACAACACCCAUUCUGAGUCGCCAUAAUACAUGGUACAGAAAGAAAACUACAACUUCACUAUUACAAUUGUCAUGCAAAAUACGACAACACAUACUGUGAGUUUAAAUACAAAUAUUGUCUUCUAGACAAUAUCCACAAUCAAAUAAGUCCUCAAUACAUUUAUUAAUACAUUAUUUUACAAAAAUAGUGAGGACUGCUAAAAUAACUAUCUUGAAUCAUCACUCCAUACCCCGGCUAGUCCCUGCUAUAUUCUCACCUCCUGAGAAGAAAAAUGGAACAACAAGAAAAAGGGUGAGUUCAACUAGCCCAGUAAAGAAUAUUAUGACUAAGAUAAUAUACAACAAAUUAUCAUUAGUCCUCAACAGGGAAAAAUCUGAUAGAAUAUAAUAGACAACAAGUUUUAGAUCAGCAAAUGCAGCGGAAACAACAAUCCAUUAGAAGAGUCACGUAGAGAAUGAGUUCUACUAUCUUCUAAGAUUUAAAAGUCCAUCAUCAAUAUUUUAUCCCUGUAACAACAAUCAAUAUACAUCUUUACACUACAGGCCAAAGAUAUUCAUUUAAAUCACCAGUCGGUCAUGUUCAUCUCAACACCUGUUCAUCUUUGCACUACGGGCCAAAGAUAUUCAUCAGUUUAUCAUUCAUCUUUGCACUACAGGCCAAAGAUAUUCAGUAAUAUCAUCAUUUAGGACUGAGGAUGAUGAAAAAUAUUUUUUUUUAAAGAAACGAAUCCAGUGAAACAAAAGGACAAGGAUUAAGAAUUCGUACUUUAGUUUGUCCAAAUUCAAAAAUACUCCAUAAUAAACAAUUAUGGGACAAAUUUUAAGAAUGAAGAUCAAAACAUGGAUAUAAUCAAAGCUAGUAUCAUAAUGGACAUUUUGGAUAAAAAGGAAAUUUUUUAUUUUUCGGUGAAUAAUGUCGUAUUCGUGAAUAGUGCUGUAUACGUGAAUAGUGCCGUAUACGUGAAUAGUAACCCCGACACAAAAAGUUCCAAAUUUGAUAAAAAGAUCAGAUCAAUAUUUCGACGUAAUGAUAUUGACGAAAAUAAUAUCAUUCAUGAAGAAAAUAAUAUUCCUUACCUCAAAGAAGCAGUACUUCGGAAUGAAAGGUCGGAAGUGAUGCUGAAUGAAACUUGUACUGAACAACAACUCUCAAAGUAUCUAAAUACUCACAAAAUACGCUCGAUAAUAUAGAGAGAAAGAGAGAAAGCUUAUGUUUCUUGUGUGAUUUUCAAUUCUAACUUAGCCAUCUAUUUAUAGAAAAAUGUUAACCCGCCGAAGCAGACUUGACCUGCUACCUGAUGGCUUUACCUGUUACUAUUGCCACCCACCACAUUUAAAAUUCAAUUUGAGCACAUUUCUCACCAACCACAAGUGGGGCCCAUUCAAUUCUAGAAUUUUCCACCAAAAUCAUUUAUAACCCUAAUUUCCGAAGCAGUCACCUCUUAAAAUUCAUAACAAAUCAUUCGUUCAUUUUUAACGGUUCAAAAUUUGUGGACAUAUACCCAACUUAUAUAUGUAUAACAUAACCAAAAAUCACAACAAUCCAACGGUCAGAGUAAAAAUUAUAACUCACGCAAUAUAUCGUAAAAAUACUGAUUUGAUUUUUAAUACCUCCAUUCCGACAAAAAUAUAGAUAAAACACCUCAACAUUAACUCCUUCAAUUAUAAUCACAUAAAAUAAACAAAUCCAUCAUUUAUAUAAAAUAAAUAUUUCCUUAUCAUAUAAAUCAAUAAUUAAUUAUUCACAAAUAAUAUUAUAGAAUCACAAUUAUGACAACCAAGCCGUUUCCAGGAAAGAGGGGGCUUUCCAAUAAGGAUUUCUCCUUACUGGCGCGCAAUUAGAUGACCUAACCUCUCCUUAACAGAACUUUCUAGACAUUGCCAAUAAUGCUAUCUAAUAAUAUUAUUAAAGCAAUAUGAAUUAUUGAUCUGAUAAUGGGAAAUACUGUGCAGUAACAAUAAUUGAAAUAAUAAUAAUAUAAAAUAUCAACGCAGCAAUUAUUGAAUCAAUAAAAUAAAAUAUUAAACAGUAACUACUGUAACAAUUAUUGAGUAGUGCCUUCUUACGUAAGAAUCAAUAAUUCAACUAUACUGUGUAAUACCGUGUGCUACUGUGCAACUACGCGUAUUACUGUAUUUUAACCACCAGGUAAUCCAACAGUGUUAACGGUAACAACUGCGCCGUUAUUUAUAAAAACACAUACUUGUCGUUUUCCUUCAUCCAACCAUUUUUCAUUAUGGGGCCCACAAAUGGCUGCGCCGUCGUACGAAUAUUCCCUGACAGCAAGAAUAUUCCACGACGAAACGAAUAUUCCCCGACAACAAUGAAUAUUUUAUAACCACUUGCUUAUUUUGCAAAAUUUGCUUAUCUCAUCCAUAACCAAAAUAUUAUAUCAAAUUAACACCUUAUUAUUCACAAUAAUAAUAAUUAGAGGAAAUUCAAUUUCAUUUAUAAAAAGUUGGGGUCUUACAAACAUGAUAUUAUAUUAUAUAAUUCAGAUAUAUAUUCUGUUCGUUAAUUUCUAAAAAUGAUUUAAUCACAUGUUGAUAUAUAUAUAUAUAUAUAUAUAUAUAUAUAUAUAUAUAUAUAUAUACCUAUUGAACCCCAGUAUGUAUACAUUAAGUAAAAGUCGUCUAAGCUAUUCAACUAGCUAGACACAGAUUUAGAUAUAUCAUUGAAUAUGAUAAAACUUUUUUGUAUCCAAUCAAAUUGUUUUGGUUCGGAUUCCAGACUAAGUAUGAACAUCCAGAACAUGGGAAAACUUUUAUGCACCUAAGACGGACAGAGUGAAUGAUAAUAUCGUUCUUGCAUGCAGUAUUGAUCAAUACAGGGUCCUUGGGAUGUACACCCUCGUGCCCAUAAGUUAUGACGGUUUGCAAAUGAAGUUCUACUUUACCUUUUUGAAAAUAGAAAAUAAUGUUCAUAAUAUGUCACCCUAACCCUAUAUAUAGUCAAUACGUAGUUUCAAAAAUGUGAGAUAGAGUUGUUAUGUUAUUAUUAUCGGUUUAGUUUACUUCACAACUAUUGAAUCGUUGUAGAAGUAAUGUACAAAGAAAACAUUUAAUUCUUUCAGAUAAUUAUAUUUAUAAUUGUUAUUACUUGCUGGGCACUCAAAUGCUCAUCCUUGCUUAAUUUAAAUGUUUUCAGCUAAGCGUGAUCAAUCUGAAGGUUUAGACAAUAAUAAGUGAAAAGGAAAGCAAACAGAAUAUGUUUAACGGUAUCUUUUGUAAUAGUUAAACUGUAUUAAGAUAAUGAUAUGUAUUAUCUAUCAUGUAAAGAAUUAUAGUAAAUGUUGCGUACUUGGGAUUAGACUAUGAUAUUUGUAAAUUAAGUUUGAUUUUUAUAUUAUUGUUAUUAUUAUUAUUAUUAUUAUUCUGCUCAUAAAAAUGGUAUCGUGAAGCACCGAGUUCGGGUUUCAAGUACCUAAAUUUGGGGGCGUCACAAAUAUGGCUCAGUUAUUGGAGCGCGAUAAUGAGUCAACCCAACCAAGAGAGAGUAGCCGACAAAAUGAUAAUACCAGUGGUAGCAGUCAUCGAAGCGGUGUCAACAAACGUGGAGGGAAUCAACAUGCUAGAAAUGGUAACCACUUCGGUAGUAAUCAUGGCGAAGAUAAUAAAAAUGGAAAUUUCAAGAAGAGGAGAAUCAACAAUGAUGGAAAGACGUCAGCACCAGAACCCGUUGGUAAGGAAGGAGAACGACCAGCGAUCGUAUGCUACAAAUGCGGAGGGGAGGGAUACAUCAGUCCAAACUGUGCGCAGCCGUCCAAAAUGUAUUAUAAUUAUGGAAGAGAAGGUCACCUAGCUCGAUUUUGUCUUGCAAGGAAGCCAAGUCAAGCUGGGAUGGAGGCACCAAAGGUCAUCCCAGAAAAGUCAAAACCAGUAGUUCAAGGGAGAGCGUUUUUCGUGACCUCCCAGAAAGCAAGGAACCUGAACGAGGUUAUCAUGGGUAAGCUAAUCAUAAACUCUAGCGAAGUAUAUACCUUAUUUGAUAACGGUUCUACCCAUUCUUUUAUUUUACUAUUGGCACUCAACGUUUAAAUUUAACUCUGGAGAAAUUAGACUUUGACUUAUCUGUUAAAACUCCGUUGGGAGAAACCUUCAUUACAUCCACUGUUUAUAAGUCUUGUUUAGUUCAAAUCGGUACCCUCACAUUACCUGUCGAUCUUAUUUCUUUAAAAAUACUUGCAUUUGAUGUGAUUUUAGGGAUUGAUUGGUUAACUACUCAUCAUGCAAAAAUUGAUUGUUUUCGUAAGGUUGUUAGCUUUCAUAUUCCUAACCAACCUAUUAUGCGAAUUCAAGCAACCAAACCACUAAAGUCAAUCACUGUCAUAUCAAGCCAUAAAGCUAUUCAUUUAUUGAAAAAUAGAUGUCAAGCUUUCUUAGCCCAUGUCACAAAUUUAAACAAAAAUACGUCAUAUUUGAAUGAUAUUUCUAUUGUUAAUAAAUUUCCAGAUGUAUUCCCUGAAGAACUUCCUGGCCUACCCCCAGAGCGUAAAAUUGAGUUUGUAUUGACCUCGAACUCGGUAAAAGACCCAUUUCCAAAGCCCCAUAUCGAAUGGCUCCUAUUGAACUUCAGGAGUUAAAAACCCAACUGCAGGAGUUGUUAGACAUCUGUUUCAUUUUUCCUAGUACGUCUCCUUGGGGUUCUCCUGUUCUAUUCGCAAAGAAGAAAGAUGGGAGUAUGCGACUUUGUAUUGACUAUCGGGAGUUAAAUCAUGUCACUAUCAAAAAUAGGUACUCGUUGCCUCGCAUUGAUUACCUGUUUGACCAGUUGUAAGGAGCCAAAUUCUUUUCAAAGAUCGAUCUUCGUUCUGGAUAUCACCAGUUAAAGAUUAAAACUGAUGACAUCCGAAAGACUGCUUUCAGAACUCGGUACAGGCAUUAUAUAUGAAUUCCUAGUCAUGCAUGUCCGUUGGAUUGACUAAUGCUCCUGCUGCUUUCAUGGAUAUGAUGAACCGAGUAUUCAAGGAAUAUUUGGAUCAUUUUGUGGUCAUUUUUAUUGAUGACAUCCUCAUAUACUCCAAAAUCCGUGAAGAUCAUGAGCAACACUUGAGGUUUAUACUUCAAAAGUUUCGUGAAAACAAGCUUUAUGCCAAGUUGAAGAAAUGCGAGUUCUGGCUUAAGGAAGUGGCAUUCCUUGGGAACGUGAUAUCAAUUCACGGAAUAUCUGUUGACCCAUUGAAGAUUAAAGCAAUUCAGAGCUGGGAGCAACCUAAGUCAGUGACCGAAGUACGUAGCUUUCUGGGCUUAGCUGGUUAUUAUCGGAGAUUCAUGGAUGGAUUUUCUCGAAUUGCUACUCUAUUAACUCAGCUGACUCGAAAAGAUACAAAAUUCGGUUGGAGCGAGGAAUGUGAGAAAAGUUUUCAAGAACUCAAGAGAAGACUCAUUUCAGCACCUGUUCUGAUAAUACCAUCUGGCUCGUAGGGAUUUAUCAUCUACAAUGAUGCUUCAGGCAAAGGGUUAGGAUGUGUUCUCAUGCAACAUGGGAAAGUCAUAGCCUAUGCAUCAUGACAACUCAAAGAAUAUGAGAGGAAUUAUCCUACUCAUGAUCUAGAGUUGGCAGCUGUCGUUUUUGCGCUUAAGAUUCGGAGGCAUUACCUGUAUGGAGAGAAUGUGGAGAUCUAUACGGAUCAUAAAAGCCUCAAAUAUUUCUUCACUCAAAAGGAGCUCAACAUGCGACAACGACGUUGGCUUGAGCUAUUGAAAGACUACGAUCAUACCAUUUAAUACCAUCUUGGAAAAGCGAACGUAGUAGCUGACGCAUUGAGUAGAAGAUCAUAUGCGGGUACGAGUGCGAUAUUGUUAACGCAAAGACCCAUUUUGUAUGACUUACAAAGGAUGGAAAUAGAGUUAAAGACUCUAGGGACCCAAGUGAUGAUGGCAAAUAUACGAUUAGAACCGACUUUAAUCGAUAAAGUUAAAGCUGCUCAACUUACGGACCUGGAGCUGAUGCGUAGUAGGAAGAAAGUACAAGGUGCUAUCCUGGAAGCAAGAAUCGAUGAAGAAGGAAUACUAUGAGUCAACUCUAGACUUUGUGUUCCUAACGACCCUAAUUUAAAGUAUAAAAUCAUGAUGGAGGCGCACAACACACCGUUUGCAAUCCAUCCUGGGAGUACCAAAAUGUAUCGUGAUCUUCGACAUAUAUUUUGGUGAAGUAAUAUAAAGAGAGAGAUAACAGAGUUUAUCUCAAGAUGUUUAACUUGUCAACGUGUCAAGGCGGAGCAUCAAGUGACAAAAGGUCCAUUGCAACCACUUGAAAUUCUAGAAUGGAAGAGGGAGCACAUUACCAUAGAUUUUGUUAUUGGUCUUCCCAAGGUUUCUCAAGGCAUAGUUGCAAUUUGGGUCAUUGUUGAUAGAUUGACCAAGUCUGCUCAUUACUUACCUAUACGAGAAACCUAUACACUUGAACGUCUUGCUCGUAUAUACAUAAACGAGAUUGUAAGACUGCAUGGUAUACCAGUAUCCAUAGUUUCUGAUCGAGACCUAAGAUUACUUCACGAUUUUGGGUCAGUUUGCAGAAAGCUAUGGGCACGGAUUUGCGAUUCAGUUCUUUGAUGCCCCCAAAAUAGGUAUACAUCACCCAUUUUGAGUCGCCAGAUACAUGGUACAAAAUUCAAAUACAACUUAAUUAUACAACAGUCGUGUAAAUACGACAAAACAUAAUCUAAGAGUUUUAAUAAGAAUAUUGUCCAUCUAACAAUAUCCACAAUCAAUGGAGUCCUCAUUACAUUUAUAAUCACACUAUUUCACAGAAUAGUGAGGACUACUAAUACAAACAUCUGGACCGUCACUCUGUUCCCCGACUAGACCCAGCUACGUUCUCAUUUCCUGAAGAGAACCAUGAAAGAAAAGGGUGAGCUCAACUAGCCCAGUAAGAAAUAUUAUGACUAAGAUAAUGCAAAAUAAAUUAUCCUUAGCCUUCAACAGUAUAACAACUGAUAGAAUAUAAUAGACAACAAGUUUUAGAUCAAAAACUGCAGCGAAAUAAGCAAUCCAUUAGAAGAGUCAAGUAGAGCAUAAAAUCUACUAUCUUCUAUGAUUUAAAAAGUUUUUCAAAAUUUUUAUCGCUGAGACUCAGCUUAAUAUAUAUAUAUAUAUAAAAGCAAUAAACGCACCGGAUGUAGACUUACAGUGGACUGCCAAAGUAGACUUCUUGGACUGCAAAUGGAUGAACACUCGUCUCUCGCCGGACUAAAAGUAGCUAUAUACGAGCUAACUAGUGUUUAAAGAAAAGGAAACACUCAAAAGAUGUGUAUGCAGAGCUAAACGGACAGGGCUUCCUCGCCUUUUUCCCUCUCUUCCUUCUCUCAAAUGGCUGACCCCCCCUCUAUAUUUAUAGACGGAUGGCCGCAGGUCUACCUGCGGCUGGUCGUGGUGGGCCCGGGCAUCGCGGGUCUCGUCGUCUUGUAGUACGUGCACUUGCGCACGGUAAUGUCCAAUCGAACUUUCAGAACUUCAAUCCUAGCAUCCAAACGAAGCGUGUCUGUACUUCUUCGGACCGCUGGUGUCGAGAGUUACGUAAUGACAUGGAUUAGAGGUUGUACGAAGUCAGGAAGCGGGGUAUAUGCCCAUGGUCUUCAGGCUUCAAAUUCUAUCCAAAGUAUUGUCACAGGUAAUAGUCACUCGGGAUUGUCAUUCCUCGGUUAUUUGGGACAUUGUUGUAUGUAUGUAUGUCUGAAAGGUUGAGACGACGUGCCAUUUGUUGGACGAACAAGAUGAUGUUUGACUCUUUGCCGGAGUUAUCGCCUGGUUGAGCUGAAAGUAACCGUUGCUCAGGUUACAUCUGAGAUUGGACUACUUGUUGGUAUGCUGCUAUAUCAUCUUGUUACGAGAUGACGUUGGUGACUCCUCACCGGGUUUAUCGCCGGUUUAAGCGGAAAGCAGACGUUGAUCAGGGUUACAGCUAAGAUUGGACCGCCUAUUUGUAUGCCUCACUGUCAUCUGUGAUUGAAGCUGAUUGCAUGUGUUUGCAACAAGCAAUUCUGGAGUUAUCGCCGGAACUGCGAUGGCAUCACUUGGGGUUAUCACCAAGGAUGGGACUACUACUCCCAAUGUUGUCUCUGGGACUGGAACUGAACGUCGCGGUGUCAUCACCGAGACAGGACUGUCCUCUCCGGUGUUGUUGCCGGUCUUUUGAUCUGCACAUCUCGGGGUUAUCUCCGAGAUUGGAAAUGACGUGCCCGGUGUGUGUUCCGGGUUUGGAACCGAUGCUCCCGGUUUGUGUUCCGGUUUGGAGCGAAACUUCCGGUAGUAUCUGGACUUGUUGUGAGCUGUCUUUCAGGGUUAUCUCCAAAAGACGAAUCUACCCUCCUGCAAUGUUAGUAAUAGGAGUGCAGAAAAUUUCGAGUGUCUACAACACCUAGCAACCCAGAUCAUCACUAUAGACUAAAAACAACAUAUUCUAACACCCAAACAUAACAUUUAACAACAUAUCAAAGGUCAGAUUUUUAGGUUUAGUGUUAUACCUUCUUGCUCAAUUUCUUGAUUUUAUGUUACUGAUUUGUUAUGGGAUUUCGUGGGGCUUGAAAAUGGGACAAAAAUGCUAUAGAUUUUCGUUGGUUCUAGUGAGAGAAGCUCUUGGUUGAGUGUUGUGCAAUUUUUAGUGAACAAAUGCAUUUUCUCUAUCCUUAAAUCUAUUUAUAGACAAAUUAGAUACAUGAAUGGCUGAGCUAGAACUUGUUGUUGUCAAUUUAGUGUCACAUGGCUACUCUAGGGUUAGCCAACCACUCCAUCUAGACCUAUUUCUACAAGCAAGCUUCAAUAAUACAAUAGGGCACAAAAGUCUUUUGGCUAGCAAUUUUAAGGGCAUUUUUAUAACUUGUCAAACCCUUAGGGUUUAACCCUUAGGGUUUAGCACAUAACACAAAUGAUUUUUAGCAACUUAGGGUUUGAAUAAAAUAAAAUUAUUUUAGCUUCUAAAAUUUGAAAAUCAAGAUUUGUUAAUUAGAUUAAGUUAGUAAUUAUAUUAUACAUGAACAUUAGGGUUUAGUACCACUAAUCAUAAUUAACCUUGCCAAAAUAGCAAUUAGGGUUUAAGAUUUUAAUAAUUAGGAUUUCUAAAACUCAAUUAGGAUUUUCUAAUUAUCCAAUUAGGGUUCUGAACAUUAGGGUUUUAAUUUAAUAAUUAUGUUUACCAUAAUUAGCAAUUAAAGUCUAUUGUACGUGUUAUUAAUCACAGUAACAUAAUUUUUGACAGAUAAAAUUCUUCAGUUUAAGUUUUGAUUUAGGGUUUCUAAUAUCAGAAAUUCAAAUCUAAUUAGGGUUUGACAUUUAUAAUUAGGGUUCCCUAAUUGGCAUAUCAUUAUGUAACACAACAUAUAACACAGUUAUAUAACAGUCUCAAAUUUCCCAUUUAAAUUGAAAAACAGGGUCAAACCAAUUAAUGCUAGGGUUUGGUCAAUAUACACCAUAAUUGACCAACCAUCAACAGUACGUACAUACAGUACAUAUUUAUGGCACUGAGAAAUUAAAAUAUUAUAAUAUUAUAUAUUAUUCUCAUGCCUUGAUCAAAACCCAAAAUUAGAGUUUGGAUUCCGUAUCUGAUUUAUCUGCCAUAAAUAACCUUAUUAAUUAAGUUAAAAUAAUUAACUUAAUAAUCUGAACAAAAUUCAUAUAAUAAAAUAAUUAUUAUAAUUAUUCUAACAUCAUUUCAUAUAUUACUUAUAUUUUCAAGGAAAAUAAUUAAUAAAACAUUUCUAAUAUAAAAUUAACUGUUAUAAGAAUAUAAUUUAUAAUAAUUAAUAUUUCUAAAAUAAAUCAAUUUGUAAUAAUUAAUGUAAUAAAUUUUAUUUAUCACACAUAUAAUUAUACACAUAUUACCUUGGCACAUAUCACCCAUAUUUAUUUUAAUAAAUAAUAAAAAAAAAAUUUAUACGCAAAAUUUAUGAUUUAUUUAUAUAGAAAAUAUCGGGUUGUCACAUUCUUCACAUUCAUCAGAUUCGGGUGUGUAGCUUGAGCGGCUUUAACUUUAUCGAUUAAAGUCGAUUCUGCUCGUAUAUUCGUUAUCUUCACGUGGGUCCUUAGAGUCUUUAACUCUAUCUUCAUCAUUUGUAAGUUAUACGAAAUGGGUAUUUGUGUUAACAACAUCGCACUUGUAAACACAUACGAUCUUCUACUCAAGGCGUCAGCUACUACGUUCGCUUUUCUACGAUGAUAUUGAAUGGUAUAGUCGUAAUCUUCAAUAGCCCGAGCCAACGUCUUUGGCGCAUGUUACGUUCGUUUUAAGUGAAGAAAUAUUUGAGGGUUUUAAAAAUGGGUUUUGUACUGGGGUCAAUACAAAAUUUGAUUUCACGCUCUAGGGGUAGGCUAAGAAGUCUUCAGGAAUACGUCAGGAAACUUAUUAACGAUAGAAAUAUCAUUCAAAACUGUGACUCUCAUCCCAAGACUUGGAUAGCCCGUCAUAUUGAUACCUAUCAACUUGCCACCGUUAUUCACGGCGUCCCCUACGGAUAGUCUGGCUUCGGUGUAUUCCAAGACUUGGAAGUCAUCAGCGAAAGGCUUAGGUCUCUUUACUUAUGGCUUGAUAUGACAAUGAUUGGCUUUAGUGGUUUGGUUGCUUGAAUUCGCAUAACAGGUUGGUUAGGAAUAUGAAAGCUAACAACCUUACGAAAAGCAUGAUGAGUAGUUAACCAAUCGACUCCUAAAAUCACAUCAAAGGCAAGUAAUUUCAAAGAGAUAAGAUCGACAGGUAACGUGAAAGUGUCGAUUUGAAUUAAACAAGAUUUAUAAACAGUGGAUGUAAUUAACGAAGGUUUCUCCUAACAUAGUUUCAACCGAUAAGUCAAAGUCUAAUUUCUCCGGAGUUAAGUUCAAACAUUGAACACAACUAGGUGAAAUAAAAGAGUGAGUAGAACCGGUAUCUAACAAGGUAUAGACUUCGCAAGAGUUUAUGAUUAACUUACCCGUGAUAACUUUAUUCAGGUUUCUCGUCACGAAAAACGCUCUCUCUUAAACUACUGAUUUUGACUUGUCUGGGACAUCCCAGUUGGACUUAACUUUGCUGUAGAGUACAUUCCACCCUUAAUUGCUUCAUCACAUUCCUGAUCCAUGAUUCGAAUCAUUACUCUCUGAUCCAUAUCGAAUUGGGGUUAACCGCUCUGCACAGGGUAAUUUCGAAUUCGAUGUUGGAUUCUCCCAAUUGUUGUCCAAAAAGCAAAAUCCAUUUCAUCUAUUUUAGCCUUAUUGGAUCUGACGUCUUUUUCUACAAUAUCUACACGUCGUGCGACUUUUACCCAUGCAUCAUCUAUUCUCAUUCGUUCAGUUGUUUUUUCUUUCAUCAGAACUUUGAUCAUAGCAUUCUUAAAUUCCAGCUCUAAUAUCUUAUACUCUGCCAAAGAGUGCUUCUGUUCGAGCAUCGUACAUCGGGUAACACAAUUUUGAAUUGCUACAUCUCUUUGCUCCACGACCGCCUGUCGUUCUUCAGCCUGCUCUUCUAGCUCAUGAAUACAAUUUUGUAAUUCUAAAUUUCGAUCAUAAAAUUCUUCUAAUAAAUUCACCUCAGGUUCCUCUUCUUCCUCACUCUCAGCUGCUACCUCUGCAACUAGCUCGAGUGCAACUAUUAGUUCUUCACUCACCAUGUAGAUAUCUCUAAUUUCUUCUUCGUUUGACAUCACAUUAACCUGGUUAGUGAUUAAAGGUGUCUCAACGAUCUCAUUCACUGCAUUGUUAAUAUUUUUAGCCGCCAUUUUUAAAUACUGUCAUAAAACAAGGGUGAAUUAACAUAUCACAUAUUAUCAAUAUAUUAUGACCGACCAAUUAAAUACCAAAUAAACUUAGGUAGGUCAUACUAGCAAAGGAAUUCCCCGUCUCUCCCCUCCUAGUUCUUGUCUCACAUCUCAGCCAGGGAUCAUAUCCCUAAGCUUUGAUACCAACUGUGACGCCCCCAAAACAGGUAUUCAUCACCCAUCUUGAGUCGCCAAAUACAUAGUACAAAAUUUAAAUACAACUUAAUUAUACAACAGUCGUGUAAAAUACGACAAAACAUAAUUUAAGAGUUUUAAUAAGAAUAUUGUCAUCUAGACAAUAUCCACACUCAAUGGAGUCCUCAUUACAUUUACUGUCACACUAUUUAACAGAAUAGUGAGGACUACUAAUGCUAACAUCUGGACCGUCACUCUGUUCCCCGACUCGUCCCAGCUAUAUUCUCAUUUUCUGAAGAGAACAGUGAAAGAAAGGGUGAGCUCAACUAGCCCAGUAAGAAAUAUUAUGACUAAGAUAAUGCAAAAUAAAUUAUCAUUAGCCUUCAAUAGUAUAACAACUGAUAGAAUAUAAUAGACAACAAGUUUUAGAUCAAAAACUGCAGCGGAAUAAGCAAUCCAUUAGAAGAGUCAAGUAGAGCAUAAAAUCUACUAUCUUCUAUGAUUUAAAAAGUUUUUCAUCAUUUUUAUCGCUAAGACUCAACUUAAUAAAUAAAAUUGAAUCAUCCCUGCACCACAGCGAAGUUUAUUCAUGUAAUCAUCAAUGGUCAUGACUAUACCGAAUAAUCCCUAGUCAUAAUCAUACCAACAACUGUCCACCAAUGAAUUACAUGCCAAUGAUGACUUUUACCACAUCAUUCGUCACAUUACAGUCAUGAUUAUACCGAAUAAUCCCUGGUCAUAAUCAUACCAAGUCCAUCUAUGCACGUAAGUCAAAGAUGACUAUCAUCACAAUAUAAGCAUGAAGAUGAUAACAAUGACAUAAUAAUUCAAUAAAACAAGUUCAAGGAUAAAUUUUAAAGAUUUAUAAUUUAAUUUAUCCAGGAAUCAAUAACGUCUAAUUUGUCAACAUGAUACUGCUUUGUGGAGUAAAAUUCAAGAAUGCUCAGAAGAAUAUUUCUAUGAAAAGAUACUGGAUGAAGUGCAAAUAUCUAGGAUAUUCUACUAAUUUUAUGGAGUAUAGAAGCCAAAACUUUAACCAACUGAGUAUAAUAGAAUAUAUGAAGCUGUAAAUGGAUUUUCGCCCGCCAUGCGGUAAUCCAUGUAGACAGAUCAUUUCCACAUUUUAAUAAGGAAUGAAUACGAAGGAUCAUUCACCAUGCAUGCGAUAAUCCACAUAGACAUGUUAUUCCAACAGAAUAACAAAGUAUGGAAUAACAGAAGAAUUCACCAUGCAUGCGAUAGACCACACAGACAGGUUAUUCCAACAGAAUAAUAAAGAAUGAAAUACUAAAAGAAUUCACCAGGUGUGCGUAGUCCGCACAGACAGGUUAUUCCAGCAGAAUAAUAAAGAAUAGAAUAACAGAAGAAUUUACCAGGCGUGCUUAAUCCGCACAGACAAGUUAUUCCAACAGAAUAAUAAAGAAUGGAAUAACAGAAGAAUUCUCCAGGCGUGCGUAAUCUGCACAGACAGGUUAUUCAACCAGAAUAAUAAAGAAUGGAAUAAUAGAAGAAUUUUGCCACGCAUACGGUAAUCCGUGUAUACAGGUUAUUCCAACAGAAUAAUAAAGAAUAGAAUAACAGAAGAAUUUCACCACACAUACGGUAAUCCGCGUAUACAUGUUAUUCCAACAGAAUAAUAAAGAAUGGAAUAACAACCCUGACAAGUAUUGAAAGAAAUAACUCUCUUAAUAAAUACGAAAGAAAUAAUACCCCUUACCUUAGAAGAAAACUAGAAUAGUGAGGUAGCAGACUUCUCUUCUUCUUUCUCUCUAUAAUUUCUCUCUAUAAUAAUUUCUCUAUAGCUUUAGUGAAUUGGUGAACAAUAAUGAAGGAAUGAGCUUCUAUUUAUAGAAAAAUAUAGUUUCAACAAUUGCACAUUUUGGGGCUCAAAAAAUUACAGUAUAAUAUCUUCUUCUUUUUCUUCAUUUUUAAUUUAGUCCUGCAAGUAUUAUCAAACUUGCACCACCUCCUCUUGGAAGUCCUUGAAUCAAUCAGCUCGAAACAAUCCUUCUUGGACUCAAAUUCUAGUUAAAAUUACCUUUUCUACGCGUACCCAAGCCCCAGCUUGGGUAUUGCCUUGUAAAUAGUAAGCCCCGGCUUGCUAUGCUUCUGAUUUUGAACUCAGGACCCCAAGCCCCGGCUUGGGUAUAAAGCUUAAAAGAGCAAGCCCCGACUUGGGUGCAAGCUGCUAAUAGUUUUUUCUGCUGCAGUGUCCUCAGGUAAAAUGGCCAUAACUUUUGAUCCGGGAGGAGUUACGGGGCCUGCCACCUAUCAAAUCAAAGAUAUCGACGAGAUCUACAACUUUCAUUCUUUGAGAAUUGAGUAAUAACGAACGAAUGAAGGUAGAAAUUGGACUAGAAAUGACUGUUAUGCAAAUGGCCACCCAAAAUAGCGAAGUUAUUCAACAGUCUCCUGUGCUCCAUUGAUAUUCUCAACAUUCUCGGUUGUCAUUUUCAAAUACUGCCACAAAACAAGGGUUAAAUAACAUCACAUAUUAUCUCUAUACUCUGACCGACCAAUUAAAUACCAAAUAAACUUAGGUAGGUCAUACUAGUUCCCCGUCUCUCCCCACCUAGUUCUUAUCUUACAUUUUAGUCAUGGAUCAUAUCCCUAAGCUUUGAUACCAACUGUGACGCCCCCAAAAUAAGUAUACAUCACCUAUUCUGAGUCGCCAAAUACAUGAUAUAAAAUACAAAUACAAUCUUAAAUAUACAACAUAAGUUGUGAGUUUUAAUACAAACAUUGUCUUCUAGACAGUAUUAAAACUCAAAAUAAGUCAUCAAUACAUUUAUUAACACACUAUUUCACAGAAUAGUGAGGACUACUAAUGCUAUCCUCUGGACCAUUACUCCAUUCCCCGACUCGUCCCAGCUAUAUUCUCAUUUCCUGAAGAGAACAAUGAAAGAAAGGGUGAGCUCAACUAGCCCAAUAAGAAAUAUUAUGACUAAGAUAAUGCAGAAUAAAUUAUCAUUAGUCUUCAACAAUGUUAAACUGAUAAAAUACAAUAACUGCAGCGAAAUAAGUAAUCCAUUAAAAGAGUCAAGUAGAGAAUAAAAUCUACUAUCUUUUAUGAUUUAAAAGGAUUUUCAUCACUUUUAUCGCUGAGACUCAGUUUAAUAAAUAAUCCACAUCAUCGAAUCACCCCUGCACUACGGCCAAGGAUAUUCUUUAGUAUUACAACCAUAAAUAUCCAUGCACUACGGGCCAAGGACAUUCGUGUAUUCAUUAAUGGUCAUGAUCAUGCCAAAAACUGUCCAACAAUACACUACGGUCAAUGAGGACUUUUACCACAUCAUUUGUAACAUUACGGUCGUAAUUAUACUGAAUAAUCCCUGGUUAUAAUCAUACCAAGUCCAUCUAUACACUACAGGCCACAGAUGACUUUCAACAGAAUAUAAACAUGAGGACGAUGACAAUGAUAUAUGAAUUCAAUAAAACAAGUUCAAGAAUUUAUUUGUCCAGGAACCAAUAACGUCCAAAUUGUCAACAAGAUACUGUUUUGUGGGAUAAAAUUCAAGAAUGCUCAGAAGAAUAUUUUCAUAAAAAGAUAUUGGAUGAAGCGCAAAUAUCAAGGAUAUUCCACUAAUUUCAUGGAGUAUAGAAGUCAAAACUUUAACCAACUGAGUAUAAUAAAGAAUGAAAUAACAAAAGAAAUCACCAUGCACGUGGUACUUCGCAUAGACUGGUUAUUCCAACAGAAUAAUAAAUAACGGAACCAGGUUAGGCAAAAUUCGCACCGAUAGGAUGUUCCAACUGAAUAAUAAAGAAUGGAAUAACAACAGAAAUCACCAUGCAUACGGUACUUCGCAUAGACAGGUUAUUCCAACAGAAUACUAAAUAACAGAACCAGGUCCGGCGUAAAACGCACAGACAGGAUAUUCCAACACAAUAAUAAAGGCGGAACCAGGUCCGGCGUAAAAGUCACAGACAUGAUAUUCCAACAGAAUAAUAAAUACGGAACCAGGUCCGGCGUAAAACGCACAGACAGGAUAUUCCAACAGAAUAAUAAAGAAGAAAAUAACAGAAGAAUUUCAUCAAAUAUAGGGUAGCCCGCGUAUACAGGUUAUUCCAACAGAAUAAUAAAGAAUGGAAUAACAGAAGUUCUCUUCAUGAAUACAAAAGAAAUAAUACCCCUUACAGUUACAACAAAUAAUAUCCAUUACCGUAAAAGAAACUGGAUAUAGGAAAAUAAAGUUAGCAGACUUCUCUUCUUCUUUCUCUCUAUAAUUUUCUCUCUUUAAAGUUUCAGUGAAUUCGUAAGAAAUAAUGAAGGAAUGAACUUCUAUUUAUAGAAGAAUGGACUGCAUAGUAACUAAUUCAUGAACGGUCCAGAUUGAUUUACUUUUAAUCGAACGAUCCAUAAUUAAAGCAAAGUUUUUUAAAUAAAAUAUAAUAUAUUAUAUAUAUAACAUGUGCAAGAAAAGAAAAAUCACGGGUGGAAGACCCGUGAAUUCAUCUUACUCCCUCUGUCCAUUUUUUCAAACUUACAUAUAUAUAAUAUAAUAUAAUAUAAUAUACAUAAUAAUACUCCUCCCGUCCAUUUCAUCCAUACCCCCCCACCCAAGACUUUUCAUCACAUAUAUAAUAUAAAACAUAUAUAUAUAUAUAUAUAUAUAUAUAUAUAUAAUACUCCCACUAACUUUUCCUUCAACCAACCCGUGACAAACAUAACAUUUCACCCAAGACUUUCCUCCACAAAUGGGCCCCACCCGUGGCCCUCCUAAAAUAACUUCUAUCGAUUAUUUUGAAAACUGGAUAAAUAGGGAUCCAUAAAAUACGUCAAAAUUCACAACAAUUACUAUAACAAUAAUUGAACAAAACUGAGUAGUUCAACAGUAUUAACGGUAAAACUUCCGCCGUUACUUUCAAUAAAAUAUUUUUGUCGUUUUCUCAAUCCGACAAUAAUUCUGUUGUGGGGUCCACCAAUGAUUGUACCGUCGUACGGAUAUUCCCUGACAAAAAGAAUAUUUCCCGACCAAUCGAAUAUAAUAUGACAACUUGCAUACUUUGCAAAAUUUAUAAAUAUUACCCACAAUUAUAAUAUUAUAUCAAAUUAUUCCAUAAUAUUCAAAAAUGAUAUUUAUUGAAAAUUCAUUUUUAUUCAUAAAAGUUGGGGUCUUACAGUAGUUAAAUUCUUAUUUUUGACAUUUUUCAAAUAUUUCAUCCAUGCUUUUACAAUAGACAUCUUUCACUUUGAUGGCGUUUGACAUGCUUACAACAAGUAAUAGAAAUCAUUUUACAGUCAUUAUUUGCAUUAAUCAAGCAUGUUAGUCACAUAGUCAAGUCGUAGUUUCAAUGGUAAUGAAUAGAUUUCUUAUAUGUAAUACAUUUUUCAAAUAUCUCAUCCAUGCUUUUAUCAUCACCAUUUUUCUCUUUGAUGGGGUGUAGUAUGAUAAUAACAUGCAACCAUACAUAUGUAUAGUUACACCAUAUUAAGAACUUAGUUACAUGAAGUUUUCAUGCUUUGCUUAGAGACUUCUAGCAUACAAGGUGCUUUUGUAACUUAUUUUAUGCCUUUGAAAAUAUUCACAACUUGGUUGAGUAAUUUAUAGUUCUUAUAACACUUUUUAGCUUUAUUCUUGUAUACAAAAGUGUAUCAUUCUUGAUUUUCCUCUCUUUCCCAAAAUAGUCCUAACAUGAUCUAUUUGGGGCAAUCAAGCUAGCUUCUCUUGACCAUUUGGGCUUAGUCAGGCUUGGGGUAGCCUAGAUUGGCCUUGCAGUCCCAAUUGGCCUCUAUCUAUGGCAUGAUUUUAUUAAUACCCUCUUCUAUUAAGGUUUACUCUCACCUAUAUCACCAUUUGAUUCUGUUAUUUAUAGGUGAGGAUUUCUUUGAACUGCUACAUGUUUGCUACUUACUUGAUUUUGUUUUCUUUCCGUUUGUAGCUAACUACUCACUAGUAGCAGCUCUCUACUUUAGAUACUAAAUUUACUAGCUUUUAAUCUCCCACUAAACUUUUGGGUCAGCAGCUAGGGGACACAACUCCCUAAUAAUAGAGCAUAUUGGUUAAUUAUCUUAAGCAAUAUAGUUGUAUUGUCUGAAGGUCUAAAGGACAAGUUCAUUACCCAGCUCAGCUACUGUUGCUAUUAGUUGUUAUUUUUCAGUAAUAGAUUGACAGUCUUCAAACUUACCAUGUUUCUUCUUUAAUAACUUUUGUCUAGAAAAUUUCUAUUGCACUAUGUGCACCUUUGAAUACUUGCUUAAAUAAGUAACAAUUACACUCUAUUUAAUUCUGCAGUUUGCAUUUCAAAUCCAAACUACGUUGCCUAUAGCAGUUUAUUGAGGAUGUUUAUUAUUGCCUUAUAGCAACAACCCCCCCUAUUUUGUAAAAUUUCCCAAAUCACAAUUUUAGAUUAACCUAGACUGCCCAAAACCAUUUUAGUAAUGGCUCAUAGCUACAGUUUUAAGCCAACUGUUGCUGCUCCUAGGUAGCAGCUACAUUUGAUUUUGUUUCAUGCCUUGAACUCUCCCUAAUUUUGGUUUACUUGCACUUUAUUUGAAAGUUAUAUAACUAACAUUUUCAACUAAUAGGGAAACUUUAAAUCAAUAGUGAAAUUAUAAUCUAUAUGAUCCAACAUGUUAGCUAAACUGACCCUAGCGAGUCCAGAACAAUGGUCUACAGUCUUCUUUUGUUUUUCUAUGCCAGCAACCAAGCUUGGCUUGGCCCUGUAAGGCUGAUCACCUAAGCUUGGUGUGGCCCUGCUUGGCCUCACGGUCCCUAAGUCAAAUCCAAAGUUGUUAUAGCAGCUGCUAUCUUGGCAACUGCUGCCAUCAAGGAAUAACAGCCCUGCCACUCUUCUUUAAUUCUUAUACUUGCAAACCCCAGAGGAAUGUUUAUACACUAACUUCAACCAUACAUCCUAGUUAGCUCUUAUAAAGUUAUAUUAAUUUGUUAAACAGACUGCCCAAAACUGCUUUAGCAGUCAUUCACUUGUCGACUGUCGCUGCUUGUUUCUAUAACCAGUAGGCAGCCGUCCCAAGUCUUAUGCCACUAAAAGCUUUUACCUCUUAGAUUGAUAUGAAAUCUUGGCAUGUUAUAGGUGAUUCAAAUUCUGAUUAUUUUUAGCUACCAACUAGACUAGGAGAAAAGCUUGCUAGUGCCACUAAAGGUUAAUAUUUCUGCUGCUGCGACAUGCUUUUUGCUGCUGCUUGCAGCUAAUUGCUGCUGCCAAUGGGCAGCUGCGCCCCUUACUUCAGGCCAUUUUUGGCUUCACAUCAAUUAGCCUAUUCACAACCCACUUUCAUUGAUCAAUAAAUGGUACACCUGCCUUCUAAGCUAACUUAGCAACUGUGGCCCAAAUGUACUAUAUGUAAAUCAAAAUGGUGUGCUAACCUUCCUGCUCGGCUCUGCAGAGCAGUGCAGCACAACGCUGGGCGUUUACUGCCAAUGCCUGCAGUAGCCUCAGCUAGCUUUGCCCAAGCUCAAACAUUUUUUUUUCUUAAAAUUUGUUUUUCUUUCCAUUAAUAUGUCAAAACAUAUUUCCUAAUCUUAUAUAAGACGUCCAUAUAUAACCCCAACUUUAAUUCCCUCUAGAAUUCUCUUUUUAGCCAAAACAGUCCACUUGGGACUUUUAACAAAUAUAUGGUGUGCACAGUUUUAAUUUACUCUUUCCAUAGCCAUUUACUUGUGUUAUAAUCUCAUGUUAGCCUCCUUAUUACUCCACAGCCACCUAUCUCCUUGUGCCUAAAUUACAUACAUCUAGCAUGCUAGUGAAUAACCUUUACAACAAUAAAAAAGUAAAAUAAAUGCUAUGUGACUUUACCAGGCCAUUCGGCCAUAACAGUCCAUCACAACUUGCACGAAAUAGUGUUAAACAAGAUAGUUUAUUACUUGAUAACUUUUCCUUAAAAGUUUGAUAUCACAACUUUUACAGAAGAUUACAAUUACCCAUGACAAGUAUAAUUUACUAACACAUCUACAUUACAACAUUAAUAAUACUAACAAUAUAGCAGCCCCUUCUUUUUUCUUUUCAGGCCAUUCGGCCACUGUAGAUUACUAGCAGCAAGAAACUAAAGUGGAAAAGGAUUGGAAAUCUUACCUUAUUGAUUCGAAGGAAACAAAGAAGUUAUACUGCCCAGCUUCUCCACCUACUCUUAGCCGAACUCUUCCACCCUCUCUCUAUAUGACCGAAUUGCUAUAGCUAUUUUGUCUCUACUAAGUGAUGAAGCUAAACUAGUUAAUAAGCUUGGCCCCUUUUUUAUGGCUGAGCUUGGUUCCUUCUACUGUUAACUGCAUCACCUCCUAGUUGGCCCCUACACAGUCAUCAUUCCUAACCUAGCUUCACAGCCACCCUAGCAGACUCUACUUACCUGCUAAGCCUUAUCUUCUGCAAGCUUAUCUAACAUAUUCUUUGUCUGUUAUACAAACUAACCUACCUGUUAACUAGAACCAACUUAGAAACCAUAUGCUUACAGCCUGACUAUGUACUCACGUUAUGCCACUGCUUUUCUUAUUUAGUCUGAAACAGUUAGCUUGUUAUACACCACUGGGUUUACAGGAUUGGUUUAGGUAGGAGUUUGAUAAAUACUUAAUUUGGGCUUAAACCAAUCCUCAAUGGUGGCUGCCGAAAUUGGGCUAGAAAAUGAGUUAGAAUUGGCUUUAUAUUAGACCCAAUACCAUAACCCUUAUUCCUACAUUAAUUAAAGGAGACUUGCAAACAUACAAUUGCAAAAAUUUAUUAUGGCCUAAUAUUUUAAUAUGGACUCUUGUUAAAUUAACACAUGGACUUUUAUAUAUUAUUUUCUCUAGCAACAAUAGUUAACACAUAUAUCAUUAAAAUGUCUAUUCCAUGUAAUCUUAAAUAAUUCAUGGUGGUACAAUAUUUCUUUAUCCUUCAUAAUUUAAGAUGUUUAAUAACCUAUUAAAUAAAUAAUAGUUUUGUCACAAUGAGAAAUAACAUAAUUAAAAUAAAAUAAAAAAUAUACUCACAAAUUGACAUUAUAAUAAUUAAAUAUUACAUAGGAUUUUUUGAGUCAUUACAUACGCGAUAACUCUGCCGUUCUGCAAAAGCACACAGCCUUGUCCUUUAUGCGAUGCAUCAUUGUAUACCACAAAAUUCCCUGUAUCAUCAGGCAAUGACAACACAGGUGUUGAACUCAACCUUUUCAUUAAUUCUUGAAAACUUUCCUCCCACUUCUCUGUCCAAACAAACUUAACCGUUUUCUAGUUAAAUUCGUCAACGGAGUUGCGAUCUUGAAAAAGUCUUGAAUGAAACGCCUAUAGUAACCCGCCAAUCCUAAGAAACUCCUUACUUCUGACGGUAUCUUCGGCUGAUCCCAGUUUAUUACAGCUUCAACCUUUGAUGGAUCUACCGAAAUUUCGUCCUUAUCAAUAACGUGUCCGAGAAACUGUACACGUUCCAACCAAAACUCACAUUUUGAAAAUUUUGCGUACAACUUUUCUUUUUUCAACGUCUCUAACGUCAAUCUCAAGUGUUCAACAUGUUCCUCUUUGGUCUUGGAAUAUACCAAUAUAUCAUCGAAUCAAAUCCAUGAUAUAUUGGUAUGAACAGGGUGUUUAUAUCAUUUGUCUAAGAAUGGUUUAAACACCUUGUUCAUCAAAUCCAUGAACGCUGCAGGUGCAUUGGUUAAACCAAAAGACAUAACCAGAAACUCAUAAUGACCAUACCGAGUUCUGAACGCUAUUUUUGGUACAUCCUCUGGCCUCACCUUUAACUGAUGAUAACCACUCCUCAAGUCUAUCUUUGAGAAAUAGCUUGUUCCCUUCAGUUGAUCGAACAUGUCAUCGAUUCUAGGUAAUGGAUACUUAUCUUUAAUCGUGAUCUUAUUCAAUUCUCGAUAGCAAUGCAGAGCCGUAUCGAUCCAUCUUUCUUCUUAACAAACAACAUCGGCGCUCCCCAUGGCGACACACUCAGUUGAAUAUACUUUUUGUCGAGUAAUUCUUGCAAUUAUACCAUCAACUCCUUCAUCUCUACUGGGGCCAUUCUAUAUGGUGCAUUAGAUAUCGGGGUCGUUCCUGGUAAUAAGUCAAUUACGAACUCGAUUUGUAGAUCCGGCGGAAGACUCGGCAAAUCGUCUGGAAAUACGUCUGCAAAAUCUCUUAUGAUUGGUAUCUCUUCUAACUUCGCACUCUUCUUUUGUGUAUCGACUAUGUAGGCUAAGUAUCCUACACAUUCUUGUCUCAACAACUUCUUGGCUUGCAUCACCGUUAGACAACUUGCUUGUCGAGGUGACUUGCUGCCGUAGAACACAACCUUUGAUGGAGUCAUAAGGUUAACACAUUUCCUUUCGCAAUCAAUUACUGCUCCGUAAUUGAAUAACCAAUCCAUUCCCAGUAUAACAUCAAACUCACAAAGUCUAAUUGGUAUCAAAUCUACCAUCAUCUCGUGACCUUUUAUAACCACCCUACAAUUCCUAUAUAUAAAUCUAACAGGAAUCACUUCCUUAUUCGCAAUCUCUAUGCUUAAGGGAAAUUCUAAUUCUUCCUGAGGCAAAUCUAAAUUUUGAGCAAAUUCAUUGGAUAUAAAUGAAUAAGUAGCACCCGAAUCAAAUAGUACAUAAGCAUUAAUACCAUUAAUCUAAAUGAUACCUGAGACCACAUCCUUAGACUAUAUAACAUCCUGCACGGUCAUAUUAAAAGUCCUCGCAGUAGGUCGACUUUGUGACGCCCCCAAAAUUAGGUAUACAUCACCCAUCUUGGGUCGCCACUUACAUGGUACAAAAUACAAAUACAACUUAAUUAUACAACAGUCGUGUAAGCUACGACAAAAUAUAAACAAUGAGUUUUAACUCGAAUAUUGUCAUCUAGACAUUAUUCAAACACAAAUAAGUCCUCAAUACAUUUAUUGUCACACUAUUUAACAAAAUAGUGAGGACUACUAAUGCUAUCAUCUGGACUGUCACUCCGUUCCCCGACUCGUCCCCGUUACGUUCUCAAUUCCUGAAGAGAAUAGUGAAAGAAAGGGUGAGCUCAACUAGCCCAACAAGAAAUAUUAUGACUAAGAUAAUGCAGAAUAAAUUAUCAUUAGUCUCCAACAAUGUUAAACUGAUAAAAUACAAUAGACAUCAAGUUUAACUGCAGCGGAACAAGCAAUCCAUUAAAAGAGUCAAGUAGAGAAUAAAACCUACUAUNNNNNNNNNNNNNNNNNNNNNNNNNNNNNNNNNNNNNNNNNNNNNNNNNNNNNNNNNNNNNNNNNNNNNNNNNNNNNNNNNNNNNNNNNNNNNNNNNNNNNNNNNNNNNNNNNNNNNNNNNNNNNNNNNNNNNNNNNNNNNNNNNNNNNNNNNNNNNNNNNNNNNNNNNNNNNNNNNNNNNNNNNNNNNNNNNNNNNNNNNNNNNNNNNNNNNNNNNNNNNNNNNNNNNNNNNNNNNNNNNNNNNNNNNNNNNNNNNNNNNNNNNNNNAAUAAUUAAAACGGAACCAGGUCCGGCGUAUAGCACAGACAGGAUAUUCCAACAGAAUAACUGAAUAAUUAAAACGGAACCAGGUCCGGCGUAGCACAGACAGGAUAUUCUAACAGAAUAACCGAAUAAUUAAAACGGAACCAGGUCCGGCGUAUAGCACAGACAGGAUAUUCCAACAAAAUAACUGAAUAAUUAAAACGGAACCAGGUCCGACGUAUAGCACAGACAGGAUAUUCCAACAGAAUAAUAAAGACAGAAUAAUAGAAGAAUGUCACCAAGUAUAGGGUUGCCCGCGUAUACAGGUUAUUCCAACAGAAUAAUAAAGAAAUGGAAUAACAGAAGUUCUCUUCUUGAAUACAAAAGAAUAAUAUUCCUUACCAGAAAAGAACUUAAUAUAAGAGUAGUUUCAGUAGCAGAAUACUUUUCUUCUUUCUCUCUUACAAUUUAUCUCUCUAGAGUUUCAAUGAAUUUGUAAGAAAAUAAUGAAGGAAUGAGCUUCUAUUUAUAGAAAAAUGGAAUGCAUAGUAACUAAUUCAUGAACGGUCCAGAUUGAUUUACUUUUAAUCGGACGGUCCAUAAAAUAUAUUAUAUAUAUAUAAUAUAUAUAUAUAUAUAUAAUAACAAUAAUACUCCCUCCGUAUAAACCAAAAAAAUAAUUUGACAACUUUGAAAAAAACUCCCAACCUUUCAAUUUUCAAUACCGUGGGCCCCACAUGUUCCCCUCCCCCCAACAUGUCAAUAUCACAAGGGUCUCAUUAUAUGUAAAUAACUUUCUAUCAAUAAUAUUGAAAAAUAGGUAAAUGGGGGUCUAAAUAAUACGCCAAAUUUACAACAACUACCUCAUAAAAAUCCCUUCAAUAUUUUUAACAAUAUUUAUCAUCUUUAUUACAAUUCACAAUAUUAAUCGACCAGGUCGUUCCCAGGAUAGAGGGGGCUUUCCAAUAAGGAUUUCUCUCUAUUGGCGCGCAAUUAGAUUAUCUAACCUCUCCUUGACAGAACUUCUAGACAUCGUUAAUAUUGCAAAUAAUAACAUUAAUAACUUUGUCGUCUCAAUUAUUGAUUUAAUAAUAUAAAGAAUAUCAACAAUAAUUGAAUCAAAUAACGUGAGAUACUAUGCAACAAUUACUAUAACAAUAAUUGAAUAAAACUGAAUGACUUCUCACGUAAGCAUAAAUAAUCAAUACCGUGUGCUACUAUGCAACCACGCGUAUUACUGUACUUUUACUACUGAGUAGUUCAACAGUAUCAACGGUAAAACUUCCGUCGUUAUUUUCAUAAAAAUAUUUUUGUCGUUUUCUCAAUCCGACAAUAAUUCUGUUGUGGGGUCCACUAAUGAUUGCGCCGUUGUACGAAUAUUUCCUGCUAAAACGAAUAUUCCCCAACCAAUCGAAUAUAAUAUAGCAACUUGCAUACUUUGCAAAACUUAUAAAUACUACCUUCAACUAUAACAUUAUAUUAAAUUUAUUGCAUAAUAUUCAAAAAUGAUAAUUAUAGAAAAUUUAUCUUUAUUCAAAAAGUUGGGGUCUUACAACCCCCCCUUCUUAAGAAAUUUCGCCCUCGAAAUUAGGGUACGUACCUGGUAUAUCGAAGAGGUAAGGAUACCUUGAUUUCAUUUUAGAUUCUAACUCCCAGGUCAUUUCCUCAACAUCGUGGUUUCUCCACAAAACUUUGACUUGAGGUAUAACCUUGGAGCGUAAAAUAUGUUCCUUGUUAUCCAAGAUUUGAACAGGAACCUCUUUAUACGUUAAAUCUUCCGCUAUUUCGUCUGGUUCUAGCUCAAUAAUGUGGUUCGGGUCUUCCACAUAUUUACGUAACAUGGAUAUGUGAAAAAUGUUAUGAACACCAGACAUACUAGGCGGUAAAGCGAGUCUAUAGGCCACAGUUCCUACUCGAUUGAGGAUUAAAAAUGGGCCAAUGAAUCGAGGAUUGAGCUUUCUUAUCUUUCCAAAUCUCGUAACACCUUUCCAUGGAGCAACAUGUAACAACACAUGAUCUCCAAUAUCGAAUUCCACGUCCUUUCGAUGAAGAUCAGCAUAACUCUUUUGUCGAUCUUGUGAGGUUUUUAUACGUUGUCGAAUCGUUUGAAUCUUUUCCGUAGUCAUACGUACCAACUCCGGUCCCAACAACGUUGCUUCACCCACCUCAUCCCAGCAUACUGGAGAACAACACUUUCUCCCAUACAACGCCUCAAAUGGAGCCAUGCCAAUACUUGCUUGAUAACUAUUGUUAUAGGAAAACUCCACCAAUGAUAAGAACUUAUCCCAACUUCCAUUGAAGUUAAGGACACAGAGUCUUAAUAAAUCUUCUAGAGUUUGAAUAGUCCUCUCUGAUUGUCCGUCCGUCUGAGGAUGAUAUGCUGAACUAAAUCGUAAAUCUGUGCCCAUAGCUUUUUGCAAACUAACCCAAAAUCAUGAAGUGAAUCUUGGGUCUCGAUCAGAAACUAUGGAUACUGGCAUACCAUGCAGUCUUACAAUCUCGUUUAUGUACAUACGAGCAAGACGUUCAAGUGUAUAAGUUUCUCGUAUAGGUAAGAAAUGAGCAGACUUGGUCAAUCUAUCAACAAUGACCCAAAUUGCAUCUAUGCCUUGAGAAACCUUGGGAAGACCAGUAACGAAAUCCAUGGUAAUGUGCUCCCACUUCCAUUCUGGAAUUUCAAGUGGUUGCAAUGGACCUUUUGGUACUUGAUGCUCCGCCUUGACUCGUUGACAAGUUAGACACCUUGAGAUAAACACCGCUAUCUCUCUCUUCAUAUUGCUCCACCAAAAUGUAUGUCGAAGAUCAUGAUACAUUUUGGUACUCCCAGGAUGGAUUGCAAACGGUGUGUUGUGCGCCUCCAUCAUGAUUUUAUACUUUAAAUCAGGGUCGUUAGGAACACAAAGUCUGGAGUUGACUCGAAGUAUUCCUUCUUCAUCGAUUCUUGCUUCCGACAUAACACCUUCUUGCACUUUCUUCCUCAUACGCAUCAGCUCCAGGUUUGUAGUUUGAGCAGCUUUAACUUUAUCAAUUAAAGUCGAUUAUACUCGUAUGUUCGCCAUCAUCACAUGGGUCCCUGGAGUCUUUAACUCCAUCUCCAUCCUUUGCAAGUCAUACAAAAUGGGCCUUUGUGUUGACAAUAUUGCACUCGUACCCACAUAUGAUCUUCUACUCAAUGCGUCAGCUACCACGUUCGUUUUUCUAGGAUGGUAUUGGAUGGUAUGAUCAUAAUCUUUCAACAGUUCAAGCCAACGUCGUUGUCGCAUGUUGAGUUCCUUUUGAGUGAAGAAAUAUUUAAGGCUUUUAUGAUCCGUAAAGAUCUCCACUUUCUCCCCAUACAAGUAAUGCCUCCAAAUCUUUAGUGCGAAGANNNNNNNNNNNNNNNNNNNNNNNNNNNNNNNNNNNNNNNNNNNNNNNNNNNNNNNNNNNNNNNNNNNNNNNNNNNNNNNNNNNNNNNNNNNNNNNNNNNNNNNNNNNNNNNNNNNNNNNNNNNNNNNNNNNNNNNNNNNNNNNNNNNNNNNNNNNNNNNNNNNNNNNNNNNNNNNNNNNNNNNNNNNNNNNNNNNNNNNNNNNNNNNNNNNNNNNNNNNNNNNNNNNNNNNNNNNNNNNNNNNNNNNNNNNNNNNNNNNNNNNNNNNNNNNNNNNNNNNNNNNNNNNNNNNNNNNNNNNNNNNNNNNNNNNNNNNNNNNNNNNNNNNNNNNNNNNNNNNNNNNNNNNNNNNNNNNNNNNNNNNNNNNNNNNNNNNNNNNNNNNNNNNNNNNNNNNNNNNNNNNNNNNNNNNNNNNNNNNNNNNNNNNNNNNNNNNNNNNNNNNNNNNNNNNNNNNNNNNNNNNNNNNNNNNNNNNNNNNNNNNNNNNNNNNNNNNNNNNNNNNNNNNNNNNNNNNNNNNNNNNNNNNNNNNNNNNNNNNNNNNNNNNNNNNNNNNNNNNNNNNNNNNNNNNNNNNNNNNNNNNNNNNNNNNNNNNNNNNNNNNNNNNNNNNNNNNNNNNNNNNNNNNNNNNNNNNNNNNNNNNNNNNNNNNNNNNNNNNNNNNNNNNNNNNNNNNNNNNNNNNNNNNNNNNNNNNNNNNNNNNNNUCAAAAUCCAAUUUCUCCGGAGUCAAAUUUAAACGUUGAGCGCAAGUAGGAGAAAUGAAAGAGUGGGUAGAACCAGUAUCAAAUAAAGUAUAAACUUCGCUAGAGUUUAUGAUAAGCUUACCCGUGAUGACCUCGUUCGGGUUCUUUACUUUUUGGGAGGUUACAACAAAUGCUCUUCCUUGCACUACCGACUUUGACUUUUCUGGGAUGGCCUUUGGUGACUCUAUCCUAACUGAACUUGUCUUCGGUGCACGACAAAAUCGAGCCAGGUGACCUUCUCUUCCACAGUUGUAACAUGCUUUGGAUGGCAUCGCACAGUUGGGACUGAUGUGUCCCUCUCCUCCACACUUGAAACAUAUGAUAGGUGGUCGUUCCCCUUCCUUAACGACAGGUGCUGAUGUUGACGUCUUUCCAUCAUUGUUGAAUCUCCUCUUUUUGAAAUGUCCAUUUUUAUUGUUUUGGCCAUGAUUACCACCGAAGUGGUUACCAUUUCUGGCCUUUUGAUUUCCUCCACGCUUGUUGUCACCGCUUUGAUGACUGUUCUCACUGGUAUUAUCAUUUUAUUGGCUGCUCUCUUUUGGUUGGCUUAACUCGUUAUCACGCUCCAAUAACUGAGCCCUAUUAACAACAUCCGAAUACAAACACAGUUUAUGAGAGAUAAGAUAUUGACGUAUCUCAGGUUUCAAACCUCUUAAAAACAUUCGCGUCAUUCUCUCCUCAUUAUCAACCAAAUGGGACGCAAACUGGGACAACUCGGCAAACUUGGCUUUGUACUGCGAUACUGUCAUGUUGUUUUGUUCCAGCCUGAUGAACUCUACCUCUUUCAUGUGACGAAUACUUUUGGGAAAGUACUUGUCGUUGAACAAUUCUUUGAACUUCUCCCAAGUCAUCUUCAGUGCGGCAGGUUGAGUACGCUUUACAGAUUCCCACCAGUAAUCUGCCUCUCCUCGCAACAUGAAGGUGGCAAAGGAAAUCUUUUGUUCCUCGGAGCAUCCCAAGACAUCAAAUAUCUUGGUAAUCUACUUUAUCCAUGUCUCCGCCUUAAGUGGUUUUGGUUCUCCAAUAAACUUCGGUGGUCCCAGCUCCUUGAACUGUUUGGCGGUGACCAUCCGAGAGUUGCUAGUGUUUUCACCUGCAUUUUGGACAGGAGCCGCUCCUGCCUGAUGUUGUAUGAAUUGCAUGAAUCCUCGAAACAUUUUGUUGUUCAAUAUUUGGUCAGUGUUGUUGUUUGCAUGAGGAUUUUUGCCUUCCUGAUGCACAUUGUCCUGAUUGUUGAUCUGUGGAGACUCAACGGUCUCCUGUGCUCCAUUGAUGUUCUCAACGUUCUCGGAUGCCAUUUUCAAAUACUGCCACAAAACAAGAGUUAAUUAACACAUCACAUAUUAUCCCUAUACUCUAACCAACCAAUUAAAUAACAAAUAAACUUAGGUAGGUCAUACUAGCGAAGGAAUUCCCCGUCUCUCCCCUCCUAGUUCUUAUCUCACAUCUUAGCCAGGGAUCAUAUCCCUAACCUCUGAUACCAACUGUGACGCCCCCAAUAUUAGGUAUACAUCACCCAUCUUGGGUAGCCACUUAUAUGGUACAAAAUACAAAUACAACUUAAUUAUACAACAGUCGUGUAAGAUACGACAAAAUAUAAACAAUGAGUUUUAACUCGAAUAUUGUCAUCUAGACAGUAUUCAAACACAAAUAAGUCCUCAAUACAUUUAUUGUCACACUAUCUAACAGAAUAGUGAGGACUACUAAUGCUAUCAUCUGGACUGUCACUCCAUUCCCCGACUCAUCCCCGCUACGUUCUCAAUUCCUGAAGAGAACAGUGAAAGAAAGGGUGAGCUCGACUAGCCCAGUAAGAAAUAUUAUGACUGAGAUAAUGCAGAAUAAAUUAUCAUUAGUCUCCAACAAUGUUAAACUGAUAAAAUACAAUAGACAUCAAGUUUAACUGCAGCGGAACAAGCAAUCCAUUAAAAGAGUCAAGUAGAGAAUAAAAUCUACUAUCUUUUAUGAUUUAAAAGGUUUUUCAUCACUUUUAUCGCUGGGACUCAGCUUAAUAAAUAAUCCACAUCAUCGAAUCACCCCUGCACUACGGCCAAGGAUAUUCUUUAGUAUCACGACCACAAUUAUCCAUGCACUACGGGCCAAGAAUAUUUGUGUAUUCAUUAAUGGUCAUGAUCAUGCCAACAACUGUCCAUCAAUGCACUACGGGCCAAUGAGGACUUUUUCCACAUCAUUUGUAACAUUACGGUCAUGAUUACACCGAAUAAUCCCUGGUCAUAAUCAUACCAAGUCCAUCUAUGCACUACAGGCCACAGAUGACUUUCAACAAAAUAAUAACAUGAGGAUGAUGACAAUGAUAUAAGAAUUCAAUAAAAUAACUUUCAAGAAUUAAUUUGUCCAGGAAUCAAUAACGUCCAAAUUGUCAAUAAGAUAUUGUUUUGUGGUGUAAAUUAUUCAAGAAUGCUCAGAAGAAUAUUUUCAUGAAAAGAUAUUGGAUGAAGUGCAAAUAUCAAGGAUAUUCCAUUAAUUUCAUGGAGUAUAAAAGUCAAAAUUUUAACCAACUGAGUAUAAUAACGAAUGGAAUAACAAAAGAAAUCACCACGCAUGCGGUACUUCGCAUAGACAGGUUAUUCCAACAGAAUAAUAAUAACGGAACUAGGUCAGGUGAGAUUCACACCGACAGGAUGUUCCAACAGAAUAAUAAAUAAUUAAAACGGAACCAGGUUCGGCGUUUAGCACAGACAGGAUAUUCCAACAGAAUAACUGAAUAAUUAAAACGGAACCAGGUCUAGCGUAUAGCACAGACAGGAUAUUCCAAAAAAAUAACUAAAUAAUUAAAACGGAACCAGGUCCGGCGUAUAGCACAAACAGGAUAUUCAAACAAAAUAAUAAAGACAGAAAAAUUGAAGAAUGUCACCAAGUAUAGGGUUGCCCGCGUAUACAGGUUAUUCCAACAGAAUAAUAAAGAAAUGGAAUAACAGAAGUUCUCUUUUUGAAUACAAAAGAAUAAUAUUCCUUACCGUAAAAGAACUUAAUAUAAGAGUAGUUUCAGUAGUAGAAUAAUUUUCUUCUUUCUCUCUUACAGUUUAUCUCUCUAGAGUUUCAAUGAAUUCGUAAGAAAAUAAUGAAGGAAUGAGCUUCUAUUUAUAGAAAAAUGGAAUGCAUAGUAACUAACUGAUGAACGGUCCAGAUUGAUUUACUUUUAAUCGGACGGUCCAUAUUUAAAGUAAAAUCUUUUAAAUAAAAUAUAUUAUAUAUAUAUAUAUAUAUAUAAACAAUAAUACUCCCUCCGUAUAAACCAAAAAAAUAAUUUGACAACUUUGAAAAAAACUCCCAACCUUUCAAUUUUCAAUACCGUGGGCCCCACAUGUUCCCCUCCCCCAACAUGUCAAUAUCACAAGGGUCCCAUUAUAUUUAAAUAACUUUCUAUCAAUAAUGUUGAAAAAUAGGUAAAUGGGGGUCUAAAUAAUACGCCAAAUUUACAACAACUACCUCAUAAAAAUCUCUUCAAUAUUUUUAACAACAUUUAUCAUCUUUAUUAAAAUUCACAAUAUUAAUCGACCAGGUCGUUCCCAGGAUAGAGGGGAUUUUCCAAUAAGGAUUUCUCCCUAUUGGCGCGCAAUUAGAUUAUCUAACCUCUCCUUGACAGAACUUCUAGACAUCAUUAAUAUUGCAAAUAAUAACAUUAAUAACAUUGUCGUCUCAAUUAUUGAUUUAAUAAUAUAAAGAAUAUCAACAAUAAUUGAAUCAAAUAACGUGAGAUACUAUGCAACAAUUACUAUAACAAUAAUUGAAUAAAACUGAAUGACUUCUCAUGUAAGCAUCAAUAAUCAAUAUCGUGUGCUACUAUGCAACCACGCGUAUUACUGUACUUUUACUACCGAGUAGUUCAACAGUAUCAACCGUAAAACUUCCGCCGUUAUUUUCAUAAAAAUAUUUUUGUCGUUUUCUCAAUCCAACAAUAAUUCUGUUGUGGGUUCCACCAAUGAUUGCGUCGUUGUACGAAUAUUCCCCGCUAAAACGAAUAUUCUCCGACCAAUCGAAUAUAAUAUAGCAACUUGCAUACUUUACAAAACUUAUAAAUACUACCCACAACUAUAACAUUAUAUUAAAUUUAUUCCAUAAUAUUCAAAAAUGAUAAUUAUAGAAAAUUCAUCUUUAUUCAAAAAGUUGGGGUCUUACAGACUUGACUGUGCUGAUCCAGAGAUAGUUAAUGUACCACCAACGUUGUUGUUUCCUUUUCCACCACUUGCACUUCCUGCUGGCUUCUUAGGGCAAUCACGAGCCAUGUGAUCCUACGAACCGCAGGUAAAACAUGCUCCUUUAUUUGGACUAAAACAGUUCAGUGUAAUGUGUCCCUCCUGACCACAGUUGAAACACACCCGCUUUCCCUUCAAACAUACUCCAUUAUGAUUGUUUCCAUAAGUCGCAUAAGCUUCAAACUUUUUCUUCUGCUGAUUUCCUUGUUGUCCUCCCGCAGUCGAAUUUUCACUCCACUUCCUCUUCUGAUUGUUAUUUCCAACGUUACUUCCACCAGCCUUAUUUUCAUUCUCAGUCUUCCUCUUCUUAUAUUCUUGGUUGUACUUGGUCAAGGCAUCGCUUUCACCUUCUGCGAUAAUUGCCUUUUCCAGUAUAACCGCAAAUGUAUUUAACUGAAAUAUUGAAACCUUGCUAUACAGCCAGGGUUUCAAUCCAUGUUCGAACCUUAUCGCCUUUCGUUCAUCAGUAUUGACUUAAUAAGUGGCAAACCUUGCCAAUUCAUUAAACUUCGCAGCAUAUUCUGGCACCGUCAUAGUUCCUUGUUUCAGUUCCAGAAAUUGCAUUUCCAACUUAUUCUGAGAACUCGCUGGAAAGUACAUUUCAAAAAAUAUCUCCUUAAAUCUAUCCCACGCUAUCACUCCUUGUCCCCCACGAACCUUAUUUGCCUGCCACCAGUAGCUAGCUUCAGACUUCAGCAUGAACGUUGUGAACGCAGUCUUCUGAUCCUCGUUGACUCUAGAAACGUUGAACACUUUCUCCAUUUCCAUGAUCUAGGUUUGGGCUUCUACUGGAUUCAUAGACCCUUGAAACUCUGGCGGUCCAACCGCUUUGAAUUCCUUAAAGGUCAUGACUUGAGCUUGCGGUUGAUUCGCAAGUGCACCUGUUAACAAGGUUACCAACUGCUGAACCGGGUUAGCAUUGGCCUCGUUAUUAUUUUUAGUAGACCCCUCAGGAGGUGGUUGUUGACGUGUUUUUCUUCUUCUAGGAGGCAUUUUCUGUUAAGAUAUACGCUCAUUAGUUCAUUACUCAACUUCUUGAUUAUUUGAAGUUUAACUUAAAUAUUCUAAGAUUAAAGUUAUAACACAUAACAUUUCAAAUAAACUCUGGUAUUUUAUUCAUUCAUAAUGUUUUAAAACAUAUUAAAGAUAGCAUAACCGCUAUUAACAUUCACUUUCCUGAACUAAGCAAGUUUUAGGAUUACAUAUUCAUACUACCCCUUUAUUUAUCUCAAAAUAAGGGAUUCACAGUUUAUAUACUCACUUACUUAACCACGUAUUAUUAUUCUCAUUCUUUCUAUCUAGACAUAUUAAGAUGUCGUAAGGCUUCUCUAUGUUCUUCCUCCAUAAUUCGAUACAUCGUUCUACGAUCCAUCAUGAACUACAACGAAUCUUCAAAUUGAGGUGGAUAAUAAAAGACUCGAUCCUGGGCCCUAUCAAUUGCAGAAUUAAAGGCAUAAUCCAUCCCAUUCAUCUUGGCCUUCUUCACUUGAACUUUAUCCUCGGCACGGUCUGCACGUUAAGUCACCUUUAUCCAAGCGUCCUCUGCUCUCGUACGUUUAGUUGAAUCCUCUUUCAAGUCAUCUUUUAACUUCUCCACAUCAGUCUUCAUCUUCUUGUUCACUGCCAACAAAUCUUCAUGCUGACCCUUGGUAUGAAAUAGGUCCCACUCCGUGUUUCCAAGUCUUGAGUCGAGUUCUUGAAUCUCCGCAUCCUUCUGCUCUAUCGUAGCGUGAUGCAUCUCAACCAACUCCUUCAGCUCCUGAACUUUGUCUUGUAAUUCUAUGUUACGAUCGUACAGAGCAUCAUACAUCUCAGCUGAUAUGGAGCUUUGUGGAAACGCCACAGGAUCCUCUUCCUCAUCAUCCAACUCUAUCUCUUCAGAACUAUCCUCCUCGGGAUCGGUCACAGGUUCAUCCUCCUGGAUCAACUGUUCACGCAUAACAUGAAUAUCCCGGGGUUCCUCAUCUCUAGGUAUCUGAGGUAUUACUUCCCUAGCUGGAAUGGAUCCUCCUUCAUUAGACAUCCUAACAACAAAAUAUUUUAAGUUUACUUAACAUUUUUCGAUACUCGCGAGCACAUAAGUUAUUACACAUAGCACAUAAUGUCUUUUAUUAUUUAUCUUCAAUGGAUAGCUUAAUCCAUUCAUUAAAACUCGAUAAGAGUUAGACACCUCUAUAUUUUCUGUCUUCUUAAAGGUUACUUCCUAAGGUUUCCCCACCUAAGGUUCAUAACCUAAAGCUCUGAUACCAACAUGUGACACCCCCAAAUCUGGGUAUUCCUUUUCCACAGGAUUUGGUGCUCACUAUCCAAAACCAUUACAUCUAACUACCCAUAACAAAGGAUAAAGACAUAAUUUAAAUAACUUAACAAUAAUCUUCCCAUUAAAGGGUUACAUCGUCAUAAAACAAUCCCAAAUAAUUUAAUCUUAAAUUAUUACAUAAGUUUGCGGAAUACAUCAUAAAAUAAAACAAGUCUUAUAACAUAAACAUUUAAAUAAACUUUCAUAAAUCUUCAACACUUGGACAUCUUUCCCUUUUCUUUGCUAGUAGAUGGCUCAUCGACUUUCUCAACUUUAGCUGCAGUGUUAAAUGCAAGAGUGAGCAAACAAUUGCUCACUGAUAUAGAGAGUAGUAAUGAUAACAACAUAAGAUUAAACAACGAAUGCUGAACAAUAAUGAAAUUGUUCUAUGAAUAAAAAAUAGAAAACAAGUUCAAAUUUAAUAUCUGAGGGUCUUAAGACCACGAACUAUGUCCCCGAUAUUUAGGUAUUAUUACCCAACCUUAACAGUCAUUUAGACUAUACAAACCCUUCUUAACGUACUUAGGGGGAUCAGCCCUUUGUACCAUGUAUUGUGCACAAACAUCUAAACGUUACACGUACAAAAUCCCCUAUGUUAGGGUUGUUCGUCUCAGCUUGAAUUUAGAAUUUCUGCACUAAAGAGAGUUUAGCUCGGAACUAACUUAUCAAUGGUUCUAGAAUUUUAGAACACUACUCAAUUAUAGACUAAUUCAAUCAAUAAGAGUUUGCUUGCUACUUGAAGAUUUAAUAUAACAAAAAUAGAAUUGAACAAGGCUAUCAAAGUCAAAGAUCGAAUAUCAACAAUAUACAGUUGAGCACUACAACAAAAAAGCUUAUCAGCGACCGCCUAUCAGCGACCGCCUGUGGUCGCUGAUAUCUAUCUGCGACCGUCUACUCGAGUAAACAUGAUAUACAUGCAAAGUACUAUAUCCAAAAGAGUUAGAAUAAUCUCCUUUGAAUCAAUGUAUUAGAACAAUAUAUUCUUUUGAAUAACAAUAUCAAGAUUUAGGAAAGUGAAACUCGCUCAAUGUAACAAACUAGAUUACAAGAGAUUGUACGAUACACGAGAUAGAAUCAAUAGGCUUGCUGAACUUUAAUGUAAAAUUUAGAAUUAGAAAGCUUGUUUGACAUAAAAGAUAACAUAGCUAUGAAACUUGCAUUCAUUAAUAAAAGAAUGAAGUUAGAAAACUUGCUCAAUAAAAGUUUAGGAUAAGAAACUUGCCUUGUAUGUAAGCUACACAAGUGUAAUAAUGUUCGCCAAUUACCCUACACAUAUCAUUGGAAUCGCAAUAACAAUUAGUUGUAUUAUUAUUAGCUUUAAGGGUUUAAACCACCAUUUAGGUCAUAACCUUAACUUAACAUCUAACCAUGUUGGUUAACACCUUUAACAAAUCUAAAAUCCCUCUAUAAACUAACAUAAACUUUAUCAUUCAUUUCUUACUUUCAUAAACAUUAUUUUUUUAUUCAUUACAUAACUUAAUUAAAUAAUCACUUAAAAUCUUCAUACUUUAUAUUACAUCACGUUGAAAUAUGUUAUUGUAGUUCACGUUAACAUGUAUGCCAAACUAGAUUAAGUCCAUUAAUCAUAACCUAUAAAUAAGCAGAAGUCAUUGCCUAGGCUCAGGGCACGGCGCAGCUGCGCUGUCCCAAGCCUUGGCAUCGGCACAGCUGCGCCGUACACGGACAGGAACUGCAGCAGCAGCUCUGUUACACAGCACACACCAAAACUCAAUCAAAUUUCACAGAAAUCAUAAAACUCAACAUCUAAAACUUUGUGAUAACAUUAAUAAUGAUGUUAUUCAUCAUUCUCACUACCUAAACAUUAUAUAUAUUAAAUUUUAAAAGAUCAAAACCCCAAUUUUUCCAAUUUCAUCAUUUUUUUACGCUUUUAGCGAAUUCGAUUGCUACGAAUUCAUUUCUUAAUCAAUUGACACAAUUCAAACUACGUUGUUUUCGUUUCUUAACAUACUAACACAUUCUAACAUCAAAUUACAGAUUAUAGCAAGUAUUGAUCAUGAAAUUUCGUACUUUCUAAAGCCAUUUUUCAAAAAUAAACACUAUUAUUAUAACUUCUUCCUUACAAAGCCAAUUCUCACAUGUUUGGAAAUCAAAUAGCACUCACAUAUAAUGAUUAACAGAUUAUAAACCAUAUAUACAUGUAUUUGUAUUAAUCCAUCGUAAUUAUCAAUAGAAAUUUCAAACAUAAAAGUUAGAAUUAGAGUUAUACCUUACUCCUUUGAUUGUUUGCUAGCAAAAAGAUGGUGACUAGGUUUAGAAAUCCCUCUCCUUGACAAUCAUAAAGAAUUCAAACUCACUGUGUUUUCCUCUCUUGCUCUCUCUCCAAGCUCUCUGUUCUUCACUAAUAUCUAGCCUUAGGGAAAGGAAUAAUACGCGUAAAAAAAUAUACUAACUCCCACUUUCCCCACUAAUGUCAGGUCACAAACCCAAAAGUUUGUGUCAGUUAGAAAUAAGCCAAAGGCCACAGGGCCUUGUUUGGCUAACCACAAUUUCUCCUCUACUAGAUUAUUUUUAUAUUAUUUUUAUUAUAUAGUUUUUAUUUGUCACACUUGCCACCAAUUUAAAUAGCUUACAAUAAUAAUUAUAAUAAUUAUAAUUUUUAUUAUAAUUAUUCUGAUGAUUAAUAAAUAAUUAUAUAUAUAUAAUUUAAUUAAUAAAUUUGACUUAAACAUUACUUUAUUUAAUUUACCUAUUUUCUUUAAUAUAAAAAAAAAUUUAAUUUAAUUUAAUUAUUUCAUUAAAUUAAAUCUUUCAAAUAAAAAAUAGCAUUAUUCAAUUUAAUUAACAUUAAUCAAUUUAGUCACUAAAUUAAUGCACCACAAUUCAUCAAUUAUUUAUUUUUCUCAAUAAAUAAAUUAUUUAAAAUAUUUAUUUAAUUCAAUAAAUAUUUAAAUUAAAUUACAAAUUUCUCGAUCGUUACACUAUUCAUUCGGUUAGUAUUUACCCGGGGUACUAUUCAUGACAAAAAUUGAUUUCUUUUAUGUCCAAAUUAUUUUUGAUACAAUAUUAUUCUUGAAUUUUACUCCACAAUUGGUGAUCAUGUUGACAAUUUAGAUAUUCUUAAACUCUGGAUAAAUUUAAUUAUAAAUAUUUAAUAUUUAUCCUUUAUCUCGUUUGAUUGAUUCUUUAUAUCAUUGUCAUGAUCCUCAUGCUUAUAUUGUGAUAAAAGUCAUCUUUGGCCCGUAGUGCAUAGAUGGACUAUUGGUUAUUGGUUUUACAGUUGUUUUUCUUUGGCCCGUAGUGCAAAGAAGAACUGUUGAUUGAUAUCUUUGGUCGUAGUGCAAAGAUGAAUUGUUGAUUGAUAGCUUUGGCUCGUAGUGCAAAGUUGGACAGGUGUAUGACAUGAUCAUGACCACUGGUGAUACUAACGAAUAUCCUUGGCCGUAGUGUAUGGAUAAUUCAAUGAUGUGAUUGGCAGGAUCAUGACCAUUAGUUAACAGUUGAAUGUCUUCGGCCGUAGUGCACUGACAGACAAUUGAUUGGUAUGAUCAUUGUUAUUACACUUGAAUGUCUUAGCCUUUGGGGUAAGGAUAUUGAGUAAACGUUCUAUUAAGCCUUUGUGGCAAGGAGAAACUGUUGAUUCACAUUAUUAUAAACAUGAAUUGUGAAUUUAUCUAAAAUCUUUGGUGGUUCAGGUGAAGACAGGUGAUGAAAUUUCUCUUUGUCUUGGUAUAAUAAAGAACUGUUAAUGGGUAUUAUAGGGAUAAAAUUGAUGAUAAACUUUUAAAUCAUAGAAGAUAGUAGAUAUCAUGCUCUACUUGACUCUUCUAAUAGAUUGCUUAUUCCACUGCAGUUGUUGAUCUAAAACUUGUUGUCUAUUAUAUUCUAGCAGUUGUUAUACUGUUGAAGGCUAAUGAUAAUUUAUUCUGCAUUAUCUUAGUCAUAAUAUUUCUUACUGGGCUAGUUGAGCUCACCCUUUUCUUUCAUUAUUCUCUUCAGAAAAUGAGAAUAUAGCUGGGACGAGUCGGGGAAUGGAGUGAUGAUCCAAGAUAAGUGGCUUUAGUAGUCUUCACUAUUCUGUGAAAUAGUGUGAUAAUAAUUGUAAUGAGGACUCCAUUGAGUUUGGAUAUUGUCUAGAAGACAAUAUUUGUGUUAAAACUCUCAGCUUAUAUUUUCUCGUAUUCUACACGACAGUUGUAUAAUUAAGUAGUAUUUGUAUUCUGUACCAUGUAUCUGGCGACCCAAGAUGGGUGAUGUAUACAUAUUUUGGGGGCGUCACAUCAACAACCACCACAAAUAUAAAACCUUUGAAGCCAAGCCUGUGAGACCCCAAAUUUUAUGAAUAAAGAUUUAAAUUUCUCGAAAUAUUUUUUUUGAAUAUUACGGUGUGGAUUUGAUAUAAUGUUAUAGUUGUGGGUAAUAUUUAUAAAUUUUACAAAGUAAACAAGUUGUUACAUAAUAUUCGUUUGGUCGGGGAAUAUUCUUUUUGUUGGGGAAUAUCCGUACGAUGGUGCAAUCAUUGGUGGACCCCACAACGGAAGUAUUGUCGUAGUAAGAAAAUGACAAAAUUAUCUUUUUAUAAAAAUAAUGGCGAAAGUGUUACCGUUAAAACUAUUGAACUACUCCGUAGUAAAAGUACAGUAAUACGUGUGGUUGCAUAGUAGCACACGAUAUUGAUUAUUAAUACUUACGUAAGAAGUCACUCAGUUAUACUUAAUUAUUGUUAUAGUAAUUGCUGCAUCUAUCUCUCAUAUUAUUGAUUCAAUUAUUGUCACAGUAUCAUCUGCAUAAUAUGUUAUAUUAUUAAAUCAAUAAUUGAGACGACAAAGUUAUUUAUAUUAUUAUUUGCAAUAUUGAGAAUGUCUAGAAGUUCUAUCAAGGAGAGGUUAGAUAAUCUAAUUGCGCGCCAAUAGGGAGAAAUCCUUAUCGGAAAGCCCCCUCUUUCUUGGAAACUACCUGGUUGUUAAAUAUUGUGAGUUAUAAUAUUAAUGAUGUAUAAGUUUGUGUUGAUUAAAGAUGAAAUUGAUAGUUCCAUUGUGUUGGGAUUAUUAGUGUUAGUGGAAAUCGACAUUUAUUUCGAUAAUAAUUGAUGUUUGGAAGUUAUAUUGACCAAUCGGGUAAUUAACCGGAUAAAUGAGCAAUUAAUUGCUAUUAAUUCACAUGCUUAUAACUAUGUGUUCACAUGUGUGUACUAUUGAUUCACAUGAUUUACUAUUAGGGGAGUUGGUGCAAGAUUGAUAAUACUUGCAUGACUAAAUUAAAAAUAGAGGUAUAGAUGAAGGUACUAUACUGUAAUUAUUUUUUUCACAUGUUUAGAACUAUUGAGUCACAUGAUUUACUAUUGAUUCACAUGAUUUACUAUUAGGGGAGGUGGUGCAAGUUUGAUAAUACUUGCAGGACUAAAUUAAAAAUGAAGAAAAAGAGGAAGGUAUUAUACUGUAAUAUUUCGAGCCCCAAAACGUGCAAUUAUCGAAACUAUAUUUUCCUAUAAAUAGAAGCUCAUUCUUCCUUCAUUUCUCACCAAUUCACUAAAGCUUUAGAGCAAUUAUUAUAGAGAGAAAUUAUAGAGAGAAAGAAGAAGAGAAGUCUGCUACCUCACUAUUUUAGUAUGCAGUUUCUUCUAAGGUAAGGGUAUUAUUUCUUUCGUAUUCAUGAAGAGAGUUAUUUCUUUCAAUACUCGUAAGGGUUGUUAUUCCAUUCUUUAUUAUUCUGUUGGAAUAACCUGUCUGUGCGGACUACACACGCCUGGUGAAUUCUUUUGUUAUUACAUUCUUUAUUAUUCUGUUGGAAUAACCUGUCUGUGCGGACUACGCACGCAUGGUGAAUUUUUUUUUAUUCUAUUCUUUAUUAUUCUGUUGGAAUAACCUGUCUACGCAGACUACCGCAUGCAUGGUGAAUGACCCUUCGUAUUCAUUCUUUAUUAAAUUAUGUAAAUGAUCUGUCUACGUAGAUUACCGCAUGACGGGUAAAAAUCCAUUUGCAGUUUCAUAUAUUCUAUUAUACUCAUAUGCGAUAUCAUUUCUUUUGUACUCGUCAUAUAAUAUCAUUUUCUUUGGAAUUUUUCUUUUACGAGUUACUAUUGACAGAUUACUAUUCACCUGAUUAUUAUUCACUCUAGUAUUAUUCACUCAGGUAUUCGGGGCACUUUUCGUGUCAGAGUAUUAUUCACGGGUUACUAUUCACCCGAUUACUAUUCACUCUAGUAUUAUUCACUCGGAUAUUUGGGACACUUUUCGUGUCGAGGUACUAUUCACGGAGUACUAUUCCUGAAGUACUAUUCAUGAAAUACUAUUCACCCAAAAAAUAUAUUUCUUUUCAGUCCAAAUUAUUUUUGGGUACAAUAUUAUUCUUGAAUUUUACUCCACAAAACAAUAUCAUGUUGACAAAUUGGACGUUAUUGAUUCUUGGAUAAAUUAAAUUAUAAAUCUUUAAAAUUUAUCCUUGAACUUUUUUUAUUGAAUUAUUAUGUCAUUGUCAUCAUCCUCAUGCUUAUAUUGUGAUGAAAGUCAUCUUUGGCUUACGUGCAUAGAUGGACUUGGUAUGAUUAUGACCAGGGAUUAUUCGGUAUAAUCAUGACCGUAAUGUGACGAAUGAUAUGGUGAAAGUCCUCAUUGGCCUGUAGUUCAUUGAUGGACAGUUGUUGGUAUGAUUAUGACCAGGGAUUAUUUGGUAUAAUCAUGAACAUUGAUGAUUACAUGAGUAUCAUUGGCCGAGAUGCAGGGAUGAUUCGAUUUUAUUUAUUAAGUUGAGUCUCAGCGAUAAAGUUGAUGAAAAACUUUUUAAAUCAUAGAAGAUAGUAGAUUUUAUGCUCUACUUGACUCUUCUAAUGGCUUGCUUAUUCCGCUGCAGUUGUUGAUCUAAAACUUGUUGUCUAUUAUAUUCUGUCAGUUGUUAUACUAUUGAAGGCUAAGGAUAAUUUAUUCUGCAUUAUCUUAGUCAUAAUAUUUCUUACUGGGCUAGUUGAGCUCACCCUUUCUUUCACUGUUCUCCUCAAGAAAUGAGAAUAUAGCUGGGACGAUUCGGGGAACGGAUUGACGGUCCAGAUGGUUGUUUUAGUUGUCCUCACUAUUCUGUGAAAUAAUAUGAUAAUAAUUGUAAUGAGGACUCCAUUGGGAGUGGAUAUUGUCUAGAAGGCAAUAUUCUUGUUUAAACUCUCAGUUAUGUUUUGUCGUAUAUUACCCGACAGUUGUAUAAUUAAGUUUGUAUUUGAUUUAUGUACCAUAUAGUUGGCGACUCAAGAUGGGUGAUGUAUACCUGUUUUUGGGGUGUCAAAGUUGGUAUCAAAGCUUAGGGAUAUGAUCUCUGGCUGAGAUAUGAGACAAGAACUAGGAGGGGAGAGACUGGGAAUUCCUUCGCUAGUAUAUAUGACCUACCUAAGUUUAUUUGGUAUUUAAUUGGUCGAUCAGAGUAUAGGAAUAAUAUGUGAUAUGUCAAUUAACCCUUGUUUUGUGACAGUGUUUGAAAAUAGCAUCUAAAAAUGUUGAGAUCAGCAAUGAAGCACAUGAGACCGUUGAGUCACCAACGAUUAAUACCUAGGAUAAUGUGCAACAGGAAGAUAAUAAUCCUCAGGUAAAUAACAACACCGAUUAGAUGAUGAACGAUGGGAUGUUCAGAGGCUUUAUGCAAUUCAUGCAACAUCAGACGAGAGAGACUCUUGUUCAAAAUGCAGGUGGAAACACUGUCAACUCUCGGAUGGUCACCGCUAAGCAGUUUAAGGAGUUGGGACCACCAGAGUUUUUGAGAGAGCCAGAACCACUUAAGGCGGAGACGUGGAUAAACAGAUCACCAAGAUAUUUGAUGUCUUGGAAUGCUCAGAGGAGCAAAAGGUUCCCUUUGCCACCUUCAUGUUGCGAGGAGAGGCAGAUUACUAGUGGGAAUCAGUAAAACGUACUCAGCCUGCCGCACUGAAGAUGUCUUGGGAGAUGUUCCAAGAACUGUUCAACAACAAGUACUUUCCUGAAAGUAUUCGUCAUGUGAAAGAGGUAGAGUUCAUCAAGCUUGAGUAAAACAAUAUGACCGUGGCGCAGUACGAAGCUAAGUUUGCCGAGUUAUCUCAGUUUGCGUCCCACUUGGUUGAUAAUGAAGAGAGAAUGACGCGGAUGUUUCUAAGAGGUUUGAAACCCGAGAUACGUCAAUAUCUAAUUUCUCACAAACUGUGUUUGUAUUCAGAUGUUAUGAAUAGGGCUCAAUUAUUGGAGUGUGAUAAUGAGUCAGCACAACCAAAAGGCAACGACCAACAACACGAUAAUAAUCAUACCGGUGGCAACGGCCAUCGGAACAAUGAUAACCAUCGUGGGGGAAAUUAUUAUGCCAAGAAUGGUAACCACUUCGGUGGUAAUCAUGGCCAAGUUAAUAGAAGCGGAAAUUUCAAGAAGAGAAGGUUCAAUAAUGAUGGAAAGACGUCAUCACCAGCACCCGUUGUUAAGGAAGGAGAACGACCGCCGGUCGUAUGUUACAAAUGCGGAGGGGAGGGACACAUAAGUCCAAACUAUUCACAGCCUUCCAAGGUAUGUUUUAGUUGUGGAAAAGAUGGUCACAUAGCUCGAUUUUUUUCUUGUAGCGAAAUCAAGUCCAGUUGGGACAGUGGCACCAAAGGCGGAUACGGACAAAACAAAGUCGGUGGUUUCAGGAAGAGCGGUUUUUAUGACUUCUCAAAAAGUGAGUAACCCGAACGAAGUUAACACGGGUUAGUUAAUUAUAAAUUCUUGCGAAGUCUAUACCUUAUUAGAUAUCGAUUCUACCCAUUCUUUUAUUUCUCUUGCUUGCGCUCAGCGUUUAAAUUUGACUCCAGAGAAAUUAGACUUUGACUUAUUGGUUGAAACUCUGUUAGGAGAAACCUUCGUUACACCCACUGUUUAUAAAUCUUGUUUUAUUCAAAUCGACACUUUCACGUUACCUGUCGAUCUUAUCUCUUUGAAAAUACUUGCCUUUGAUGUGAUUUUAGGAAUCGAUUGGUUAACUACUCAUCAUGCCAAAAUUGAUUAUUUUUGUAAGGUUGUUAGCUUUCAUAUUCCUAACCAACUUGUUAUGCGAAUUCAAGCAACCAAACCACUAAAGUCAAUCACUGUCAUAUCAAGCCAUAAGUAAAGAGCCCCGAGCCUUUCGUUGGUGACUUCCUUGUGUGGAAUGCAUCGAAGCCGAACUUUCUGUAGGGGACGUCGUGAAUAACAGUGGCAAGUUGAUAGGUAUCAAUGUGACGUGUUAUCCAAGUCUUGGGAUGAGAGUCACAGUUUUGAAUGAUAUUUCUAUUGUUAAUAAAUUUCCUAGCGUAUUCUUGAAGACUUCUUAGCCUACCCCUAGAGCGUGAAAUCGAAUUUUUUAUUGACCCCAAUACAAAACUCAUUUAUAAAACCCUCAAAUAUUUUCUUUACCCAAAACGAACGUAUAAUGUGCCAAUGACGUUGGCUCGAGCUGUUGAAGGUUACGACUAUACCAUUAAAUUCCAUCGUGGGAAAAGCGAACGUGGUAGCUGACACAUUAAGUAGAAGAUCGUAUGCGUUUACGAAGUGUGACGUUGUUAACACAAAAACCCAUUUCGUAUAACUUAUAAAUAAUGAAGAUGGAGUUAAUGACUCUAGAGACCCACGUGAAGAUAACGAAUAUACGAGUAAAAUCGACUUUAAUCGAUAAAGUUAAAGCCGCUCAAACUACACACUCGGAGCUAGUGAAUACGAAGAAGAAGGUUCAAGAAGGCGUUAUUCUAGAAGCAAGAGUCGAUGAAGAGAGAAAAUCUCAAUCCUCGAUUUAAUUGGGCCAUUUGAAAUCCUCGAUGGAGUAGGAACUGUGGCCUAUAGACUUGUUUUACCGCCAAGUAUGUCGCGUGUUCAUAACAUUUUUCAUGUAUCGAUGUUACGUAAAUAUGUGGACGACCCGAACCACAUUAUUAAAUUGGAACUAGACGAGAUAGCAGAAGAUUUAACAUAUGAGGAUAUACGUGUUAAAAUCUUGGAUAAGAAGGAUCGUAUUCGACACUCAAAUUUUAUACCUCAAGAGUUAGAAUCUGAAAUAAAGUCAAGGUAUCCUUAUCUCUUCGGCAUACCAGGUACGUACUUAAAUUUUGAGGGCGAAAUUUCAUAAGAAGGGAAGAUUGUGAGAUCCCAAAUUUUAUGAAUAAAGAUUUAAAUUUCUUGAAAUAUAUUUUUUGAAUAUUACGGUGUGGAUUUGAUAUAAUGUUAUAGUUGUGGGUAAUAUUUAUAAAUUUUGCAAAGUAAGCAAGUUGUUAUAUAAUAUUCGUUUGGUCGGGGAAUAUUCUUUUUGUCGGGGAAUAUCCGAACGACGACACGAUUAUUGGUGGACCCCACAACGGAAGUAUUGUCGUAGUAAGAUAAUGACAAAAUUAUCUUUUUAUAAAAAUAACGGCGAAAGUGUUACCGUUAAAACUGUUGAACUACUCGGUAGUAAAAGUAUAGUAAUACGCGAGGUUGUAUAGUAGCACACGGUAUUGAUUAUUGAUGCUUACGUAAGAAGUUACUCAGUUAUACUCAAUUAUUGCUACAGUAAUUGUUGCAUCAUAUCUCUCAUAUUAUUGAUUCAAUUAUUGUCACAGUAUCAUCUGCAUAAUAUGUUAUAUUAUUAAAUCAAUAAUUGAGAUGACAAAGUUAUUCAUAUUAUUAUUUGCAAUAUUGACAAUGUCUAGAAGUUCUAUCAAUGAGAGGUUAGAUAAUCUAAUUGUGCGCCAAUAGGGAGAAAUCCUUAUCGGAAAGCCCCCUCUUUCCUGGGAACGACCUGGUUGUUAAAUAUUAUGAGUUAUAAUACUACUGAUGAAUAAGUUUGUGUUGAUUAAAGAUGAAAUUAAUAGUUCCAUUGUGUUGAGAUUAUUAGUGUUAGUGGAAAUUGACAUUUAUUUUGAUAAUAAUUGAUGUCUGGAAGUUAUAUUGACCAAUCGGGUAAUUAACCGGAUAAAUGAGUAAUUAAUUGCUAUUAACUCACAUGCUUAUAACUAUGUGUUCACAUGUGUGUACUAUUGAUUCACAUAAUUUACUAUUAGGGGAGUUGCUACAAGAUUGAUAAUACUUGCAUGACUAAAUUAAAAAUGGAGGUAUAGAUGAAGGUACUAUACUAUAAUUAAUUUUUUCACAUGUUUAGAACUUUUAAGUCACAUGAUUUACUAUUGAUUCACAUGAUUUACUAUUAGGGGAGGUGGUGCAAGUUUGAUAAUACUUGCAAUUAAAAAUGAAGAAAAAGAGGAAGGUAUUAUACUGUAAUAUUUUGAGCCCCAAAACGUAUAAUUAUUGAAACUAUAUUUUUCUAUAAAUAGAAGCUCAUUCUUCUUUCAUUAUCACCAAUUCACUAAGCUAUAGAGCAAUUAUUAUAGGGAGAAAUUAUAGAGAGAAAGAAGAAGAUAAGUCUACUACUUCACUAUUCCAGUAUCCAGUUUCUUCUAAGGUAAUGGGUAUUAUUUCUUUCGUAUUCAUGAAGAGAGUUAUUUCUUUCAAUACUCGUAAGGGUUGUUAUUCCAUUCUUUAUUAUUCUGUUGGAAUAACCUGUCUGUGCGGACUACACACGCCUGGUGAAUUCUUUUGUUAUUAUAUUCUUUAUUAUUCUGUUGGAAUAACUUGUCUGUGCGGACUACGCACGCCUGAUGAAUUCUUCUAUUAUUCCAUUCUUUACUAUUCUGUUGGAAUAACCUGUCUACGCGGACUACCACAUGAUUGGUGAAUUCUUCUGUUAUUCCAUUCUUUAUUAUUCUGUUGGAAUAACCUGUCUACGCGGACUACCGCAUGCAUGGUGAAUGACCCUUCGUAUUCAUUCUUUAUUAAAUUAUAGAAAUGAUCUGUCUACGUAGAUUACCGCAUGGCGGGUGAAAAUCUAUUUGCAGUUUCGUAUAUUCUAUUAUACUCGUAUGAGAUAUCAUUUCUUUUGUAUUUGUCAUGGAAUAUCAUUUUUUUUGGUAUUUUUCUUUUACGAGUUACUAUUCACGGGUUAGUAUUCACCUGGUUACUAUUCACUGUAGUAUUGUUCACUCGGGUAUUCGGGACACUUUUUGUGUCGGAGUACUAUUCAUGGGUUAUACUAUUCACGGGUUACUAUUCACCCGAUUACUAUUCACUCUAGUAUUAUUCACUCGGGUAUUUGGGACACUUUUUGUGUCGGGGUAUUAUUCACAGGGUACUAUUCUCGAAGUACUAUUCACGGAGUACUAUUCACCAAAAAAAUAUAUUUCUUUUCGAUCCAAAUCAUUUUUGGGUACAAUAUUAUUCUUGAAUUUUACUCCACAAAAUAGUAUCAUGUUGACAAAUUGGACGUUAUUGAUUCCUAGAUAAAUUAAAUUAUAAAUCUUUAAAAUUUAUCCUUGACUUGGUAUGAUUAUGACCAGGAAUUAUUCGGUAUAAUCAUGACCGUAAUGUGACGAAUGAUGUGGUGAAAGUCCUCAUUGGCCUGUAGUUAAUUGAUGGACAGUUGUUGGUAUGAUUAUGACCAGGGAUUAUUCGGUAUAAUCAUGACCAUUGAUGAUUACAUGAGUAUCCUUGGCCGUGAUGCAGGGAUGAUUCGAUUUUAUUUAUUAAGUUGAGUCUCAGCGAUAAAGUUGAUGAAAAACUUUUUAAAUCAUAGAAGAUAGUAGAUUUUAUGCUCUACUUGACUCUUCUAAUGGAUUGCUUAUUCCGCUGCAGUUGUUGAUCUAAAACUGUUGUCUAUUAUAUUCUAUCAGUUGUUAUACUGUUGAAGGCUAAGGAUAAUUUAUUCUGUAUUAUCUUAUUCAUAAUAUUUUUUGCUGGGCUAGUUGAGCUCACCCUUUCUUUCACUGUUCUCUUCAGGAAAUGAGAAUAUAGCUGGGACGAGUCGGGGAACGGAUUGACGGUCCAAAUGGUUGUUUUUGUAGUCCUCACUAUUCUGUGAAAUAAUGUGAUAAUAAUUGUAAUGAGGACUCCAUUGGGAGUGGAUAUUGUCUAGAAAGCAAUAUUCUUGUUUAAACUCUCAAUUAUGUUUUGUCGUAUAUUACCCGACAGUUGUAUAAUUAAGUUUGUAUUUGAUUUAUGUACCAUAUAUUUGGCGACUCAAGAUGGGUGAUGUAUACCUAUUUUGGGGCCGUCACAAAGCCCAUACACUCCCAUUUUAGAUCAUAGCUCCUAUGCCCAGACCCAUUAAGAGCAUACCCAGCCCCUACUAAUAUGCACAAUCUAAGCUCCCAUGAUCUAAAGCCCCUGACUUUGCAAAUAUAGAUCGAUAGAUAGAUUUUCGGGAAGGAUCACAUUUUGGUAGAUAGAUGGUUUAAUUUGUUUAACUAUUUAUUAUAAAAUUGAGUAUAAUUUAAUAUAAUUAAUUAUUUAGCUUACCUUCUCUCUCCUUGUCUGCAUUGACACAUAGAUUUAUUGAUUGCCACGUCCUUCUUCUGUUAAAUGGUUAACAGACAUAGACGACAAAAUUAAUUUUUGUAAAUAAAGUAUAGUUCAAUGAGUUGACCGUAAAAAAAUUUAGUUUAGUGAUGCAUUUGUAAACCGAUGUUGAGUAGAGUGGAGAAAAGUGUAUUUAAUCCGCUCCAAAAGUCACCACUUUACAAGUCUCGUCAACAAUCAGCACCAUGUAAACACUCACCCUCUUUGGUGAACUUGAAGAGUUUGAAAAUCAACUUAGGAGGUAUGAUGAUGAAAAUGAGGCACCAAUAAAGAAGACAUUGACACUUCAAGCUGAGAGUAACAAUGAAUGUGAUAACGAAGAUUUUGAUAAAGAAAUUGAAAUGCUCUCAAGAAACUUGAGAGACUAUUUCAAAAGAAAAUAAAAAAGGUAGCUCAACUCCAGUGGGUAAGUUCAAAACAGAACAAGAAGAAGAAAUUGUCCAACUCUAUUUCAUAGGACUAGAAGAUGAUGAUCAACUUGAGGUAACAAAUUUUCAUGAAGCUUUUGAAAUAUCUAUGCCUGAUUAUAUUGCUUUACAAAAUGAAAAUCAACAACUCAAAAAAAAAACUGUUUAUUUUAAGAAUUGCGUAAAUGCUAAUGAAUGAAGUUAAGUCAUUUAUUAAAGAGAGAAAAGAAAAUGAAUAUCUUAAAAAUGAAAAUGAAGUUUUAAAAGAAAAUUUAAAAAUGAGAGAUGAAUGCAUAAAUGCUUUUAAUGAUGGAAAAAUGAUGAAUGUGCAACAUGAUGAUAAUGUCACAAAUGCAAAAAUAACAUCUUUAAAAAAUGAUCUUGCUAAAUUUGUGCAAUGAGAAGAGAACCUAAAUGUUAUGUUAGGGGCACAAAGGUCUAGUCUUGAUAAAUAAGAAAUUGGGUAUAAUCCUAUUAAAAUGUGAAAAAUAGAACUAAUAAUAAUAUUAUAAUGAUUAAUAGAAAACCAAUGCAUAAACCACUUUAUUGUUCACCGUUUGUUACUUGUAAAAAAUAUGGUUUUAAAGGUCAUUUUAAAAUGUGGCUUUAUUAGAAUAAAGCAAAUUUGGGUAAAGAAAUGUGAUUUAUAUGCUACUAACCUAAUAGGACCCAAGAAGAUUUGGGUACCAAAAUGGUAGAGACUAUUUGUUCAUUUUGUAGAUGUCUCAAGGUCAAAAAGGAGACAGAUAAUACUUAUAAAUUAUUUGGCAAAAUUCGCAAGUACCUUAUUUUUUUAAAUAGAUUUUUAAUUAGAUAUAUUAUGAAAACUCUAUGGAUUUCGUAUCAUAUGGCUUCAUAACAUCAUUUAUUAUAAAGUUUUUAUUGUGCUAAAUGCUCCAUAUUUAAUACAAACGACAAUCUUGAUGAGGAAUAAGUGAAUAUUAUUUUUGAUGAACUUAACCAUGAUCUGUUAAAGGAAGAGAAUGAGGUUUCUGCUGGAAAUGACUAUCUGAAUUGUGGAACCCAAACAGUUCAAUCCGGAUAGUCUAAGCCGUCUCUAUCAGAAGGAAAGAUAGAUGAAAUCAGACAAUUUGACCCGUCUGUUUUAGAAGAAAACUCAAAUUUACAAACACCUAAAUCCAAACAGAUCGAGUCGUCUACUUUAGAAGACAAAACAUAUGAAUAUUCGGAUGCAGUAACUUAUAUUCCAGAGGAUGAAUCUCAAAAGCAAAUGACUACUGCCAGGCUUCCUAAAUCUUCUAGAACUAUGGGAAAUCAUCAUCCAAGUCUGAUCAUCAGAAAUUUCAACAUUAGGAUGUCCACAAGAAGAGGUUUUGAAGAAAUUUGUUUGCUACACUAAGGAGCUUAUCUAUUAAGCUUAUUGUUGGUAACAAAAUUGUGGAUAUAUAGGUAACAAAUCACAAAGGUAUGGUCAUUUUAUUUAAUUGCUAUAUGUGAUAUUGUUAUAAGCUUGCUCCCGUGUCUUUAUUUUAUGAAUUAUUUUUUGUUUGUCACAAAUGGGAUAGAGAUAUAACUAAAUUGAUGAUUUUUUUUUUUUUGAUAAUAACAAAGGGGAGAAAUGUUUAGAAAAAUUGAUGAUUAUGAUAUCUGAUGGUUAUAUUGAUUAUAAUAUGUUUAGAUUUUUUUGAUAUCAUAUUGAUGAUAAUGGUUGGAUAUUUUGAUUCAUUAUCUGUUAUAGCUUAUCAUUAUGCAUUAUUUAUCAUAACAGUUAUGUGAUCUUUAUAUCUCCUAUAGGCAUAAAUUUAUGGGGAGCAUGAUUGCAAGGAAUAAUAUAUUGUCAUCAUCAAAAAAGAGGGAAAUUGUUAGUUUUAUUAUUUGUGAUUUUAAUAAUGACAAUAUAUUUGUAAAUAUAAUUUAUUUAAUGUAUUGAAUUAAUUUUGUAAUGGUUUGUUGAAUAUGAUAUAUAGUAAGUUUGGUUCAUGAUAAUUUAAUUUGGUUAUAAUUCAAAUUGUUAUUACGUGCAGGAUUGAAUUGAAAUAUUUUCUUCCAGGUUGUUAUUUUGUUAAAACAGGUUGUUUCAAUUUUGAAUUGGAAUAUGUUAAGGAGUUUGUUUAGCAGUGUAAUCUAUCUAUUAAAUAUAUUAAAAUGCAGUACAUGAUAUCAUAGCUUGACAUAUGUCAUUCUCACAAUUCAACACGUGUCCUGUCUAAUUAAUAUUCCUUAAGACCCUUAACAAAAGUGCCCAGCUAACAUAACAAAUGAGGAUGAAAACAAACUUUAAUUCAUUCCCCUAAAUUUUAGAUUUAUAAUCCCCUAAAUCAUGCUACAAAUCUAAACUAUUUUGAUAAUAUCAACUGUUUUGAUAUUAUCCUUUGUAAUUUAAUUAUUAUUUAAUAAAAUUACUUUUUUAUGCUAUUAAUUAAUUUUUUAGAUUUAUAAUCUUCUAAAUAACUACAAAUCUAAACAGUUAAUAACAUAAUGUCAUUCUCUUAAUUUUUUAAAUUUACAAUCCUCUAAAUCACUACAAAUCUAAACUGUUUUGAUAAUAUCAACUGUUUUGAUAUUAUCCUUUGUAAUUUAAUUAUUAUUUAAUAAAAUCAUUACUUUAUCUCAACACCACCCCCUACAAUGUAUAUUCAUUUGUUUUUCUGUGUAAAAUUUGAUCAUCGCACAACAAUCUACCAUCUUCUUAUUAUAUUUUAAUUUAUUAAUUAUACAUACAUAUUUAUUGAAUAAUUCCGCCCGCAACGCACGAGUUUGUAUCUAGUGUGGUCUAAUUUGGAGUCUUUAAAUUAACUGGUUUAGAUAUUUGUGUAGAGUAUGGGCUCUAUCUACUCGUUAAUUUUAGCCUAUGUUGAUUACGUAUCUUUGAUUUUCUAAUUUUGAGAAUAUUUUAAGCUGUUAGCUAUAUCUAUAGUUCUGAAAUAUCAAAUUCUCGAAAUGAAAGACCAAGUCAUGCUAACCAUUUCAUAUAGUCGUUGGACUGAGUUCUAUAUAUUUUCUUCAUGUUUGUCUAUAGUGAGCAGGACUCUUGAAGCUUAUAGCAGCCAUAUUACACAGAUUAAUCAAGAGCUUUUCAAAGUUAUUUUCAGCUACUCAUUAUAUUGUUAAUUUAUUUCAGUUAAAAAUUAAGAGUCUAUUAUAAUCUAUAUUUAUUGUAUUAAAUUUUAGUUCAAGUCUUGUUUGGCUUGAUCGAUCCAAUAGUGGAUAGGUUUGUUCGAAGAAAACUUUUAAGGUUGCAGAGGUGCAAAUGUCUCAGUGGUGAGAAAGGUUGCAAUGAUGCAAAGGGGCAGAGGUGUUCAUCGCAGUGGAAAAUUUUAUUUGAACAGGGAGUUCUUUUUAUUAUACUUAAUGGAGUCUUAAAAGUUUAAUAAAAAGAGUCCAAUACCGGUUGGUUUUGAACGUGGAUUAAGCCGUUAGAGUUUAAGGGCAGAACCACGUAAAAAUUCUUGUCUGUGGUUUGUUAAUUCUUCUGGGUUGAUAAUUUAUUUCUCACGUUGCAUCUAAUCUCAUUCAUAUUACAUUUUAUUGUUGGUAGGAAAAGUAUACUAAUCUAGACACUAUCUUCUGUCUUUAUAACAAAAGUAAAAUUGACUCUAAAGCAGACACUUUUAUUUGUCUGUUUUAAGUUUAGCAGCAAGUUCAGCAGCAGGAAAAUAAAAUUAGUCAUUGUUAGUGUGCUUAUUUAUAGAAUUACAUCCACAUCUGUAAUUCUACUGAGAUUUAAUGAAUGUUUAUUUUGCCGAUUAAAAAACAAAGGAAAAAGAAUAAAAGUAAUAAGAUGUUCGAAACAUUUGAUUGUAUUAUUAUAUUUUUGUGAGCCAAGGUGAAAGCAAAGCCACCUAGUGGUAGUUGUUUUAUUUAUAAUAUGGUAAUAACAACCAUGAACUGAUAGUUGAUUUAUUUAUUAUAUGCUAAUAACAGCUAUCAGCUAGUGGUUGAUUUAUUUAUUAUAUUCUAAUAAACAGCCAUCAACUAGUAUAUAGUUUCUUGAUCAACUGUUCAUAGGAAGAUUACUGAUCGUUCAUUUAGGCGUUGGGGGGACUAAUUUGAACACCAUAGAUAACUAAACCCGUCUCCAUAGUCGUGUUUUCACUCCCGUCGAGAGCAAAUUUGAAAUCUCCAGAGUCAAAGCUAUUCAAGAAUUCCCCAGCUUUGAGUGAAAUCGGUGUGUUCCUCGGACAAUCCAUCAACCUAUAUCCAUUCACUUGCGUGGACCCAUCCGGAGGAGUAAGUGUAAGACUCACCGGACUUUCUAUGUUAAGGUUGUCUUUCAGCAGCACCACAAAAGACACCUCAUAAGUUCAUUUUUCAAGAGUUUCUGUCGGAUAUUUUCCAUCAACAUGUAGGACUAAGCUACCAAUUAAUUCAGCACUGGCAUCACUGAAAAAAAAUGAUAGUAGAAUUAAAGUCAGAAACUUUUGAUAUAAGGAGCUUAAAUUCAUUAAGGUGAUUUUAUUGAUUUUUUUUUCUGGAAAAUUUUUAAUGUUAAGUCCUUCUAUCUGACUAGAGUCUAGACUUCAAUAAAAUUUCUAUAGUCCUUCUAUCACUUUAAUUUAAUGACAUAGUUGCUUAUAUAUCCCUAUUUUUAACUGAAUAAAAUUCAGGUGUUUAAACACAAAUCUUGACCUUUGACAUCAAUUAAGUUAACUAAGUCUUAUUUCUACUUACGUAAACUUCCAGCCUGAAGGGUUGGCAUAAUUGAGUUCCUUUGCAUGCACAAAAGCCCAACUGCUCUGAAUAAGUCAACAGAAAUUUACAUUAUUAUAUGGAUAGAUAAGGCAAACCAGCGGUGACCAAUAAAUGAUAUGUCGAUGCCUUUAUAAAUAUAUAUAUAUAUAUAUAUAUAUAUAUAUAUAUAUAUAGAAUAUUGAC